UACUAAUCAUGACACAAUGGUCUCAAGAGUCAUGGAAAAAACAAGUGCAUUCUAGAAAUUUUUUAGUAAUAUUCAAAAUAAUAAAAAGACAUUUGUAGUUUUUAUAUAACUUUCAGGGGACAUAUAGCUUCUUAGUUGGAAAACAAGUGCAUCCUUAUAACUUGGAAAGAGGCUCAUUAACUGAAAUAAGAGUUGGAAACAGGCUGAGACAAGGUCUGAAUACAUAGGCAGCAGCAGUAGGGGGAUUCCUAAUGUUAUAAUUAUUUUUUGCUAAGCAAUUACUGCUAGAGUUAGUAGAAGGAACUUACAGUUCUAUGUUUUCCCUGAUCAAUCACAUUUUUUCAUGAACAGGUUGACUUUCUACACAUGUCAAUGCAAACUUUUGAAACAUUUGAACAUGCUUAUUAUAUAUUUUUCUGUGUGUAUACAACUUCUAUAUGCAAAAAAAUAAUUUCCUCAUACAAUAAUCAACAGAAACAUAGGCGAAUUAGCUCUAUUGCCUAUAAUAUCAACUUAUAGCCAAAUUAACAAUUACAUAAGUUAAUAUUAGUGGUAGAGUAUGUAAUAUAAUUAACAUUUUUUCCUAAUUAACAUGAAGAGUGGUGGGAGAGGCGUGGAGCUUUGUGGUUAAGCCCCACUCAUUGAGCACCAUGCUUUGGGAUGAUGUGAGUCAACCACAGAGCUCCAUUCAACUCACUUUUCUUAAAUUAGAUGAGAUUUUUCUACUCCAUUCUUUUAUGUCACUGACUCCUAAUUAGAUUAACAGGAACAUAAAACAAGGAACUUACUAAGUUCCAGCAAUCUUGGUGCUAAUAUGUGUGUUGUCUUCCUCAUCAAGUUUUGCUAAACCAAAAUCUGAUAUUUUAGAGUUGAGAUCCUUAUCCAGUAAAAUAUUAGUAGCUUUAAUGUCUCUAUGCACAAUCUUUAGCCUUGACUCUUCAUGAAGAUAUGCCAACCCCCUGGCAAUACCCACACAUAUCUUGUGUCUUGUCCCCCAAUCCAGCUUUAACUGAAAUUCUUCAGGACCUUCAAUUGUAUCAGAAGACAUCAAAACUGCUUUACUGCCAUGUCAUUAACUGAAGACAGUGAAGCACAAUGUGAUAUCAAAUUACCAAAUAAAGCGCGAGCAAGACAGUUAUUUUCCAUGUACUCGUAAACCAGCACAAGUUGAUUUCCUUCAAUGCAGCAUCCAUAGAGUUUCACAAGAUGUGGAUGUUGAAGAGCAGAAAUCAUCCCAAGCUCAGUCACGAACUCACGAUUUCCUUGCUUUGAUUUGGACGAAAGCUGCUUAACUGCUAUAGUGGUGCCGUCUGACAGAAGACCCUGCAAUUGAACUUUGGCAUAAGAUUUAUGCUGUGAAGAUUUAGAUACAUUGAAUGCUGCUUUCUACAAUUCUUUUCUGUUGGGAAUUGGAGGAAGUUAGUUCACCGAUUUUCCAGCAUACCUUGUAUACAGAACCAAAACCACCUUCUCCAAUCUUAUUGGCAACAUCAAAAUUGUUUGUGGCAGCUUUAAUCUGUCGCAAGGUAAAUGAACCAAUUUGCAAUGCUAGAACCUUCAAAUCUACACAACAUUUUGGAGCUUUUAAGAAUUUGGAGGAGUCAACAGCUAAAGUGUGCAAUCUACUAUCUAACAAAGACAUAGCAAUUCCUUCUCAAUGUACCAGAAAACCUCAUUGUAACUAUUUUGUCUGAGCAAGUUCAGGACAAUAUAUCCUAACAUCUUGAAAUUUAUUUUCUAGGAAACUCUGGCUUCGGUUGGCAGUUUGUACUUUGAAAAAUGAAAUGAGAAUGUCCUCAGGGUAUUUAGUAGUGGGGGGAAAGGAAAAUCAUAGAAAAUACUCACUUUGGAAAUGUGAGGCAAGGUUGGUAUGCUUCAAUAUCUUGUAUAUCCGAAGUUCCAGCAUUUUAUUUCAACAUCUUGAAACACAUACUUAGUAUAUAUAUGGUCGAUUGUAACCCCAAGGAGGCCCAAUACACACACACACAUCUAAGAAACAAUCUAUUGUCCUCUUCCUAUAGCCAUCUAUUUCUUCAUUUUUAAGUUUUCUAAAUAAAAAUUUAGUUCAUUAAGUGUAACAAAUGGAUUGAUGACACUUUAGCUAUACUAUGGCUUAACAAUAAAUUGUUUUCUUUUUGUGUCAAAUAGAGUUUCCAAUGCAAUGCACAAAUGUCGUGCAUCAACAGUUAUACAGGAGAAUUGUGCAACCUAGUCCCAAUCCCAAUAUUGAUGAUGCAUUGUGAUUACCCCUUCCCCAACCAGAAAGGUAGAAGAAGCAGGAGGAGUCACGCACCAACAGUUUGACAGGGACAACUGUGUGAAAUAUAAAUGAUGAGAUGUGAUUACCCCUCCAUUACCCCCCCCCCCCCCAAAAAAAAAAAGUGAUAAACCCCCGCCCCCAACAGAGAAAAAAAAAAGGGAAGGGAGAAAUAUAUUCAGAAUGCAUAACAUUCUAUUUCUAGACAGAUAUAUGUGAACAAUAUAACAGAGAUUCCAGGUAUGCAAUUACCUUGUGCCGUUUCAUCUUCACGUCCAAGACAUCCUCUCCACCAAAGGAUAACCAGGAAAAGAAAAACUACAAAAACUAUAGCAGCCACAAUCCCGACCACAGUGCCAGCAGAUAUGCUGGCUGACUCUCCUUGGAUUUUAAAGCCUGCAGUGAAGAAAGAACAACAUAUGUUUACCCACAACUGUUCAAGUAAAUGGGGUAGACAUGCAUGCAGAAAAAUAUUGGUAGCUUCUUGGUGAACACAGAAGCCAACAGAUGGGACAGCAAACUAAUUGAGAAUCAAGAGGACAUGAGAACUGCUCAGAACACUCCACAGAAACUAUCAGAUUAAGGAGCACCUCGGAACAUGUGAUGCUAAAUACAAAGGGAAAAAGAAAAGAACAAGAAAUAUAUUCUUCAUUCUCCACGCUGUUAUAAUACAGGUGCAAUGGUCGUUGAUCUGUAGCAGAAAAGCAAACGAGGCUAUCAUUUCAUAGUAUGAAUGGAAGUGAUCAAAGAUACAUAGAGAAAACAUUCUAGAUAGAAAGAAAACAAAGGCCAAUUUUCUCCUCCUAAGAGACAAAUAAUAGAUAAUAGUCAGCCACUAUGGAAAUUUAUCUGAUCAACUGUAACAGAUGCCAAUGGCUUGAAUCCAACAAUGGACAUUUGCAACCAAACCAAGUAAUUGAAUAGCCUAUUGAUGACUUCUGGUGCAAGACAAAAAAAAGAGAGUACUUUUUUCCAAUAUGAAGAUGAGUAACUCUUUCAACAGAGAAGCACCAAAAGAAACAUGGAAGCUUCUGUCUGCAUACCAGGAUAAUAGACGGAGAUAGCAGAUAUAAGAGGACCAUAAACUCCUCUGGUUGGUAUAGCAUUGGUUCCUUUCCCAGCCCAAUAUAAGCGUAUCUCCAGAGUGCCCUUGGUCACAUUGGCAGUAAAAUUUCUUAUGACCUCCUUUCCCACUCCACCUGCUUCAAUCACAAUGUUGAAAUCUUUCCACACCAAUUUCCCCUGAAAUAAUGUUUAAUUUGAUUCAAGUUGAGUGUCUCCACACUGAACAAGGUGAAACUUUCAGUCUUAACAGAAUGUACAAAUUGUGAAAAGAUCUUGAUUUGCAAAUACGAGGUAUUUUGAUAAAACAACCCAACCAUAGCACAUUGAAUGCUUUAUACGCUUUACACAUUAGAACCAGCACUACAUAAUGCCCAAAAUUUACCUGUAUAUAAACAUUAAAAGCUCGCCUUCCAAGGCUCUUAUAACUGUUGUUGCCCGUGAAACUUAUCUCCGCAAAAUGAAGUCUUACGUUGUAGAUCCCAUUCACCAGACAAAAACCAUAAUAAGUUAGAGAGAUAGCAGAACGCCGUGCAUUCAUGUAAAGCUGGGCAUUAUCCUUGGACAGUAUGGAUAUAUUGUCAUUGUUAACUAUAUAAUUAUCUGCGUUAAUAGAGUCGUCCAGGAAGUGACCAGUGCUACUGUAGCCCCAGAACUUUCCAUCCGGGAAGGAACUUGAAGCAGGUGUAAGCGACGCCGAAUCAUCGGCGUAUAUGUUGUCCCCUAUUUCAACUUCGCCCCCACCGCAAUUUAUGAAGAGGUUAUGCCGAUCUGGAUGGAGUAAAGAAAUAGCCACAAAGAGAAAAAUCAAGUUUUCUUCUUUCUGUUAAUAUGGAAGGAACUUUCCAGACACACUAAAUAAACUAGCAUUGUUUAUUGGAAAAUCACAUAGAAACUCCCAAGUUUAUGAGCAACGCAUUAUUUCACAGAGGUGGCUUUUAGAAUUUCUAGAGUAAUAAUUAUGCAUUAACCAUCAAAGAUUGACACGAUAGCCAAGAGGAGAGUUGACAAGGAGAUGCACAGAGAGUAUGAUGCAAUAUCAGGAUCCGAUGAUAAUGAUAGGAUAUACAGAAGAUCAACUUACUUUCUGGACAAGGCCGAUUUUUCAAACAUGUGGCUAGCCCACUUGUGGCAGGGUAUGAGGUUCUGAGCAAGUCAACAAAGAUUUUAAUGUCACAAUCAUCAUCAUUCUGAAAGAAGUUCAAUAAAAAAUUAAAAUGCAGGUCCUUGGAAAUCCAAGACUCUUGGUGAAAUUUUUUAUCUCAAACAUACGCAUUGUCAACUGCCGAGCUUGCGAACAAGUUGCUGUGGAGAAAAGACAAAAUCAACAUUCAGUAGAGAAACGAAAAUUUUGUACAUCUGCAGGACUAUAAAUUACUUAUAACUGCACAUUCGAGGGGAGACCUCGACUUAGACUGAAGGAAGUAGUACAUACAUAGAUCGUUCUUCACAGUCUGUGUUUGUAGCAUCGAAGUUGUUGUAUGAUAGAUCACUACACAGAGAAAUAGUCAACCGUUUCCAAAAUCUCAUCAAUUUGGAAAAUACACGGAAAGUCAUUUCAUUAAAUGAUUAUAAUGUACAAAAAGGAAGACCAGUUGCAAAAUAUGGACUGGUAAGGCAAGUGGAAAGGCGAAAACAUCACAAGGUAAUGAAAGUAAUAUGUCAUCUUUAUUCAAGAAAUCUCAUCUUAAAAUAUUAAAGGGAGAAAGACCAAUUGGAGUGAAUGGAGACUUUAGAAACUAGUCGGAGUGCAUAAAUACAUUUUUACCCAGUAAGAGUACAACAGACAUGAUAUAUAAGGUAAAGAGGCACAAAUAGAACUUUGGUUCCAAUGACUCCUAAGUCGGAUCUUCUUAUUAGAAAAUAUAUAGACCACUAUUUAUUGUUAAAACUAACUCAUAAAAGCUUCAUCCUUAUGCCUGUAAGAUAAAAUCAACUUUCUACUAGAUACACUCAUUUUGGUUGAAGAGUUUCUCAAAUACACAAGCCUAUAAACAUGUCCAAACAACUAACCAUAUUGUGCAGGUGAUGUGUUAGACAAACUUUCAAAGAGAAUUUAUAGGAAGCAAAAUUUUUCCAAAUGUCAUUUUUAUCGUUCCCAGAGGUUUGAAAAAGAUCUAGAGCUGUGAAGGCUUUUUAUGUAGGGGAAAGUGGGGGCUAACUUGGCACUUCCAAUAAAAUCCGAUUUAUAUUCUUGCAUACAAUUCAGCCUCUUGUCUUACAUAUAACUUUCCAAAAGACAGAUCCCAACAAGGAGAAAGGUACUUAUGAUAUCUCCAUUUAACUCCAUAGGCUACAAAUCAGAAUGAUGCAAGAUGGGAAUGCAAAAUUGCUUACUAUAGUGCAAGAUUAGCGAGGUAGAGCUAGACGCAAAUUCGUAAUUAAGCAAGACAUUUUCUUCGGGCAGCAAAGCUUACACUGUUUGUGCUUUCUGCAGGAUCCAAGGAUGCACUGCUCCAGUCAAUUGGUUUCCAGUCAGAUAGCUAAACAAGAUUAUUGGAAUUGAGUCAGUUCCUCAUGUACUUUUUGAACUCAAACGAAAAAUUAUAGAGCAGAUUAUAAGCAUUUCAUUAUUAGAGGUCUAGGAAAAAAUCUGUUAACUCAUGAUUAUAUAUAGAGCUUUCAGCUGGAGAUGAAAGAUAAAGGAAAUCAAUGACAGAGGAAAAACUUGAUCCUUGCAAAACUUGGAGAACAUGGAUUGCCAUAACACUGGUACAGAAAGCUGAACAUUAUGAAGGAUACUAUCAUACUAGCUUAUUAACUAUUUCCUAGCGAUAAUGUUCUUGUCCUUCUAAGACAUAAAAUAAAUAAUGAAGGAAGAUGUGCCAAACAGUCAAUCGUUGAGCAAAAAGAUGAAAAGAUGCACCAUUGUUAAACAGUCCAAGAAGCUUAAGACCAUAGUUUCUCAUCAUUUUCAAGACUAGGGACAAGACAUCAAGGUCCAAUCUGCAGACCUUUUAGAUAGCACAUAAGAACUGCUCCCACCUAACAACUUAUGGCCCUUGUUGUGGAAAGAACCAAAUAGAGAGCCUAAGGACUUUUGCUAUCUUUAAUCUCCUAUACAUCAUAAAACUGGUGCACAGGACAUGCAUUAAGUACAUACACAUACAACUGUCAAAUAUUUAAGUAACACCGAUCCAUUCAUCUCUUACAGCAUAAACAAGUAACUCUAUUGAAACUUGUGAAUCGUGCUCUUUAAGCAACAGAAUAUCAUUGAUCUACAUCUGCUCCAAGACUAGAGUCCCACCAAAAUAAUCAGUCGACAACAAAUAUAAAUUCAUAACCCAAAUCAUUGUAAAAUUCGGAUGGUGAAAUAAUAAGCAUUCAAGACACAAGGACUUUAAGGGAUAUAAACUGGAUGUGUUAUCGCGAUCUAAGUUUUAUUGAUAGCUUAACUACUUUACAGUAGGAGUUGCCUAUAGCUUGGCAAUUGGAACAGCUUUCGAUUUUAGAUUCUCAUCUAAUAUACCAAAAAGAAGCCUAAGUCCAGCAUCAAAGUACUUACAUAUAAUCUACAUCUGCCAGGCUGCUAAAGUUGUCAGGGAUUUCGCCACUCAAUUUGUUGAAGCUGAGGUCCCUGCAGAACAAUUGAAUGGAAAGGAGACAAAUAUAAUGAGAAGAUAGUUUUAACGGACUCCAACUGGACACUCUUUGAGUAUACUUUGGAGGAUUACAGACAUAGACAACAUCAAUGAACCUACAGGUCCAAUCAAUGAACCUACAGGUCCAGUUCAGUUGUUUAGACAUACAGGUCAACUGCCUGGUGCCUUUGCUUUCUACUAGACAUUCCUUUCCAGAGGCAUUCAUUGCAUAAAAUCCAUGUGCAUCAAGUUGGUCGCAUACCAUACAUAUACAAAAAUUCUGCCGUAAAUCAAAUUUGCAACUUGCAAAUUUCAAUUUAUAUAACUAGAAAUGCUAUUCCCGCAAUAAAUUGAAUGCAUCCCAUGGAAUGCAACAUAUUAUAGUUCAAAUUGGGAGAUUCCAUUUGUCUAAUAGAACCAAAACUAAAGCUAACAAUAAUUUAUUGAACAGAUCUCCUUCGUCACAUUUUAUUCAUCAUGAAUAAAGGAAUGAUGACUACAUACUAGGAUGCUAAAAGAGUAGAAUAUCAGCUUGAGUGAAUAAUAAAAUAAAAAAAUAAAAUGAGGAUUNNNNNNNNNNNNNNNNNNNNNNNNNNNNNNNNNNNNNNNNNNNNNNNNNNNNNNNNNNNNNNNNNNNNNNNNNNNNNNNNNNNNNNNNNNNNNNNNNNNNNNNNNNNNNNNNNNNNNNNNNNNNNNNNNNNNNNNNNNNNNNNNNNNNNNNNNNNNNNNUGGCUGAUGAUGACAGAAUGGCAAAAAACUGCUGUUAAAUGGAGCAUUUAUAAAAUCUUACAGAGAUAACCAGAUGAAUAAAAAGAAUUGACUUGCAUAAAGAUGCAUUUGAAGCCAUGCUCUCCUUCAUACAAAGAAUGUUAUGGCUGACAAAUAUACGACAAUCAAGCAUGAAACUCCAGUUAGAUAUUGUGGGGCUGAGACUCGAGAAUGCAAGCCACUAAAAGGAAAGUUUCCAAAUGAUCAACCACUGGAAGCCUCCAUUGAAGUUAGUAAAUUACACAAAAUGGGAAACACAACCAAGGCAAGAAUUCUUGUCGUUUCUAUUCCUGGAAAAGUGAAAACAAAGAGAGACAAGGUCCAUAUACUUUUGCAAGAAACUGUACAUUCUACGGCAGAGGCCCACAAUCACCAGGCACUUAAAUGCCACAUCACAAUUCACAAUUCAUCAAUAUCAACAGAAAAGAUCAAAACACCAUUGAAGUUGGUAAGGGACCUUCAAGCCAUCUUAAAUGGGUUCCUAACUGCAGCCAAUAGUCAACCAUAAACUAGUAGAAAUUUCAGUCAUUGAGGAUAAAAUUAUCUAUUAUGCUUGGAAUAGGAAAAGGAGAAAGCCAUUUUCCACUCACAAUAUUUUUAGCUUUGUCAUUCCUGCUAGAUAACCAGGUAGCUCUCCUGUGAGAUUGCAGCUCCUCAGAAUCCUAUAAGACAAAAGCAUUGAUGUUGUCACAUUGCUAAGACGAUUUGGCUUUUUGCAUAAAGUAAACUAUUUUUGUAGGAGCAUCGGUCUCACAGUCUUUUAAUAUUUGUACUGCUAAGUUGUGGAACUGGGGACUCAGGUCCAUCAAGGUCACUUAUGCUCCUGCAUAUCACAAUCAAAUAAGGAAAUUUAUUCGAUUGAUACCAUAUUAAAGAAAGGAGAGAUCAGAUCGAAAUGCCAAACUUCCAUACUGACAAUUCAGACAAAUUCUUCAAAAGUGUGAUCCCGGAGGGAAUUGGCCCUUGCAAUCCACUUCCUUGAAUAAACCUGAUGAUACAAUUCAUAGAUUGAAUUAGCUUGGGGGUAUAUCUAUAGAGACCGACUUAAAAGGUGAAGAAGCAUUAAGCCUUACAGUCUGGUGAGAUUUGUCCAGUUCUGGACAAAAUCGGGUAUCUUUCCCGUGAACUGAUUAUCACCAAGUCGCCUACAGUGCAUUGAACAACAAGAUUGAUAUGAGGAAGAAAGAAUAGAAAUAUGUAAAUAUUAGCAGAUUUUGUGGAAACUAAAAACUAACAGGUCCUGUAAUGCCGUCAAUUCAACAAAUCUCUGAGGCAGCUCCCCGGUGAAAUUAUUUGACGUAAGGCACCUGAAACAAGAAAACCCAAUGGUAUCACAUUGGUCAAAUGAACUUGAAUGAUGAUAUCUCAACAGAUCACUCCAAUUAAUAAAUUCCCCUCGCCAGACACAAAAUCAUCAGCGAAUAAAUAACUGGAUGAAUGAUACAGGAAUUUGCAUCCAGAGACUCACAAUCGGAGUAACCGGGACAAGUUCCCGAGCUCGGGAGGCAGAGGUCCAGAGAGCUGAUUGAUCUCGACGACUCUGAGCAGAAUGAGAAUGUUAAAAUCUCGAAACAUCAAUCAAAUUUAAAACAGCGAAGAGGCUAAACGCGAGCGUCGGGAUGAGGGGUCACUUACAAAACUUCUAGUGUGGAUAUGUUUCCCAGCUCCUUCGGGAUUGGACCAGUCAAUCGGUUUCCGAGUACAGAACUGCACUCCGCGUUUCCCCCAAUCAGUAGAAGAUACACUCGCAAUAGAGAGAGAGAGAGAGAGAGAGAGAGAGAGAGAGAGAGAGAGAGCACAUACAUGUUGAGCAACUUCGUAGAGCCCCAUUCUUUAGGAAUCGUGCCGUUCAGGUAGUUCCGGGUGACGUCACUGUUUACAGAGACAGGCGACGGCGACGGCGAAGAUGAUGAAGAAGAAGAAGAAGAAGAAGAAGAUCGAAAAUGGAGGGAGAGUGCUUACAAGUUCUCGAGAAAAGGCAAUCUGAACAGUCGAGUCGGAAGAGUGCCGGAAAGAGACUGCUCCUUCAGAACUCUGUUUUCACAAUGACACCAAGGCUUUAUUCUAUUGUGACUUGUUUUCAAUAUAAAAAAACAAUUAUGUUAUUCUAUUUUCAAUAGUAAUUGAUGAAAUAAAUAAUAGCAUGAUUGAAAUGAUAAUUAUAUAUAAAUUUGAGCAUUUAUUCAUUUAAUUAGCAAUAAACAUCAUUGUACAGGGAAUAAUACAAAAUCAAAUUACGACAAUUUGGAUAAUCCUACUUAAUGAUAAGCAAUUGUUAUUAGUGUAUUCACAAUUUUAAUACAAAACAUGAUCAUCUAUUGUCAAGAUGAUAUUUAUCUAUUAUUUAAUAUUUUAAUACAAAAUCAAGCAUCCACUUCAAAAUUCCACUAAUUUAAAUUGAAAUUUUAUUGCUUUAUCAAAAACUUUAAAGAUCUCCUAACCGUUCAAAAAACACUUUUAGCCAAUCACCCUUAAUAAAAGUUAACAUCAUUAUGCGAUAAAUAAUACAAAAUCAAAAUACGACAAUCUGAAUAAUCGUACUUAAUGAUAAGGAACCGUUAUUACUAUGUUAAUAAUUUUAAUACAAUAAAUGAUCAUAUAUUGUCAAGAUGAUAUUUACCUAUCAUUUAAUAUUUUAAUACGAAAUCGAGCAGCAGCUUGUAAAUACCAUAAUUUAAAUUGGAAUUUUAUUGUUUUAUCAAAAAUUUUAAAGAUCUCCUUACCGUUCCAAAAACACUUUUAGCCAAUUACACUUAAUAAAACUUGCCCUAUUAUUCAUUGUCAAUUGAAAGUUUGACAAGAAAUUGAUCAUAUAACUAGGAUAUGAUAAAAAAAAUAGAAGUGGCGACGCCUCUUCUAUUCUUUCUCUAUGUAUUUCAUUUCAUCUGUAUGAAUUUGACUUACAAAAACAACAAUAACUAUUAGCCAGCAUGGAUUAUUUUCACGGUUAAGUUUCAACGGCGAUCCUUGAAUUCAGUGGCUUUUGUAGGCCGAAUUUCAUUUCGAUUCCCCAAUCUGAUGAAUUUCCACUUUCUUUUUUGUAUUCAAUACAUUUUGACCUAAAAUGGUGCCCAGAAUAUUGGCUCCGUGUUCGCCACGUUAGCCAGCUAACCUUCUAAUGAGACAAAAAAAAAUUGUAAAAUUCAUGAAAUAGAGAUACUUCUCUCCAAUUUAUUGAGAGAGAGAGAGAGAGAGAUACAUGCUGGUGACAUGGCAAGCGGUGGUGUUGUCGAUGUCGCAGGUGGAAGAGCAAUUGCAGGCGACGUCGUUAGUAGUGUCAUCUAGCGGUAGUUGGUCACUCCAUACUCCUGUUCUGCUACAUGGAUCUAAAUCGAAAUCCCAGUUGCUUUUUCCUAAUGUCUCUGCUAUUUCUUUCAAUGCAGCCACUGGAAGAGAAAAGAGGUCGUCAAGCCGAAGAGACCGCCCAAUAUAUCAUGCGUAGCAAGCACAAAACGAUGUCAGAGAUUCGCCUGCGUGCACUUGGGGUUAAAUGCAUGCAUGAACAUCUUUCUAUCCGUUAAAAAAGGAAGCACAAGCAAAUACAGCUUGGUGAAGGCGCCAGCCAAAAACAGGAGGAGGAACAAGGAACGGUACGAGGAAAGCAAUACAAAGAUUGGUGGGUUUCACCUUCGUCAUCCGGCAGACAAGUGGUGGCGGCAGCGAAGUUAGUAGUGCAUAGAAGGACGAGCACUGAGAAGAGAGAUCGAGCAGAGAAGAGAAUUGCCAUCAUUCCGAGAGAGAGAGAUGAUUGUUAAGUGAGUGGUCUAGUUUCAUGCAUUUAUGUAAAGAGGAUAAAGAUUCUUCGCUCUUGUACGUCUUUAGAGAAGGAGCAAGAGUGAUGUGUGAAAGCAAGAGAGAUGACCCAAAGUCUUCCCCUUAUAGAUAUUUAUCUAGGAAGAAAAUGUCAUAAAUGAUCCUGAAUAUUAAUUAAUUUAUUUAAUAUAGCCCUAAAAUUUAAUUCAAUGUGUAAUGCCGUUUAGUUUAGCUCGUAAACUAUAUAAGAAAUGUUCAAUAUUACCAUUUUAUCAAUUUAAGUUUAGUGAUUAUAUUGAACAAAUCAUAAGUUCAUUGACUAUAUUUAACAUUAUGGUAAAGUUUAUGGAUCACAUUGAAUAAAUUAAAAGUUCAAGGGUUACAUUACAUAUCAUUUCGGUCCCAAGCUCAACCAACAUAGAGAGAUGAUUGUUAACUGAGUGGUCCAACUUCACCCAUUUAUGGAGGAAAAGAGGGAGGGCGGACAAAGACUCUCUGCUCUUGUACAUCUACAUAGGAGAGCGAAAGUGAUGUGUGAAAGCAAGAGAGACGACCCCAAGUCUUCCCCUUAUAGAUAUUUAUCUAGAGAGAAAUGCCAUAAAUGAUCCCUAAAUCUUAGCUUAAUAUGUAAUGUGGUCUAUUUACUUUUGAUUUGUUUAAUAUAAUCGCUAAAAUUUAGUCUAGUAUGUAAUGUCGUUCAAUUUAGCAUCGAGCACUCUUGCGCCAAAGAUGAACGGGUCUAAGCAAUAUGCCGAAGCUAUGGGAUGUAAAAAUACAUCAGUAGGGGAGUGUUCCGCCUUAGAGGGAAGCACCCGCGAGAGCAAGGUGGACAAAGCGGAAGCGAGAAUGUCGGCUUGAGUAAUGCAAACAUUGGUGAGAAUCCAAUGCCGCCAAAACCUAAGGAUUCCUCCGCAAGGUUCGUCCACGGAGGGUGAGUUAGGGCCUAAGAUCAUGCUAAUUUUUCAUCCUCAAAUCCGUCCUUAUGGAAAUGUUCAAUAUUGUUCUUCCAUCCAUUCAAAUGCAGGAACAACAUUGAAUAUUUUUAUAUAGUUUAAAUAAUAAAUUGAAUAAGUAUUAAAAAAAUUCAGAGAUCACAUUAAACAAAUUAUAAGUUCAUAGACUAUAUUGAACAUUAUGGUAAAUUUCAAGGACCACAUUAUACAUUAAGGUAAAGUUUAUGAACUAUUUAUAUCAUUAUUCCUUUAUCUAAAAUGGAGUAGCAAGCUUUUAUCUAACUCUUCUCAUAUAAUAACCUCUUUUUUUUUUAUAUCAUCAAUAUACCUAAUAAAAGUCUUUUCUUUCUUUUCAUUUUCCCUCUCCAUUUUGUUCUCCCAACGGCAACGGUCCGUUUUCAUUUUUCUAUGAACACAUCUCAGAUUUGGGCUAGUAGACCCUCCAUCGAUAGUAGAGUCCAAAUUCCACGAUUGUCUGAAAACUUCAUUAGUUGAUUAAGUUGUCAUGUAAAAAUUAGAUUCACCUUUUUGGACAAUUUUAUUUUCCUUUUUUUGUUAGUUCAAUCGUAACCAAUUAUUAAUUUCUUAAUAAUUCAAAAGCAAUGGGGAUGGAGACUUGAUUAUUUGUAAGUCGAUGAGACAUCUCGCAAGCCUUGUGAACCAUCAAAUCUAGCAUUUUGAUAUGCAUAAAUGGUCUCAAUUUAGAAUAAUGCACAUGUAAUUGGUGAGAUUGAAUAGGUCGAAUAUGGAUGAUGGAUAUAUUGGAUAGAUUAUCUUGACAGUAUGUUAAUAUCUCUUAUCGUCAAACAAUAAUUGAGUUGUACGGCUGUAGAAUAAGAAAAACAGUUCGUCCCUUACUCUAUACCAUUCCAUAAUGGUUGCUAGAGGUGUAAAUGGUUCGGUUCGGUUCGGUUUUUUUGAAAAACCGAACCGAACCGAACCGUUAGAAAAAUCUUCCGAAUCGAACCGAAACCAAACCGAACCAAAUACGAACCCAACCGAAAUUUCAGUUCGGUUCGGUUCGGUUCGGUUUUUCAGUUUUCGGUUUUUAGCUUUUGAUUUCGGUUUUUGUUUUUUUUUUUCUGUUAAACUUAGAUUUCUCCACUUUUAUUUAUCCAUUUUUAUUUGUUGGUUCGGUUCGGUUCGGUUAACCGAUAAAAACCAAACCGAACCGAAAAUUUUCUGUUUUUAAUGAAAAUCGAACCGAAAAAACCGAAUUUUUUGGUUCGGUUCGGUUCGGUUUGGGAACUGACACCCCUAAUAUUGGUUGCUUGUACGUCAACAUAUCUAAAGUCUCUAUAGACGUUGACAAGAGUUUCACUUUCACCCACUCACUCUCGAAAUAGAUUAAUCCAAGUCGACUAUGCAACUCUCUUUCUUAAGGUGCCCAUGAAAGAAAUACUAGAAAAAUUAUGAGUUAAGACAAUGAAAAAUCUCAACUUAAUAUCCUAAAUUAAUUUUUUUAUCACAAAAUAUAUGAACUGGUAUAUUUAUGGAGUUUUACUAUUUGAGCCGAGAAGAGAAUUGUCAUCAUUCUAGAGAGAGAGAGAUGAUUGUUAGGUGAGUGGUCUAGUUUCAUGCAUUUAUGAAGGAAAAGAGGAAGGGGGACAAAGACUUUUUGCUCUUGUACGUCUGAGAGGAGCCAGAGUGAGUGAGUGGUCUAGUUUCAUGCAUUUAUGAAGGAAAAGAGCAAGGGGGGACAAAUACUUUUUGCUAUUGUACAUAUGCAGAGGAGGAGCGAGAGUGAUGUGUGAAAGCAAGAGAGACGACCUAAAGUCUUCCCCUUAUAAAUUUUUAUCUGGAAAGAAAUGUCAUAAAUGAUCCGAACAUUAAUUAAUUUGUUUAAUAUAAUCCCUAAAAUUUAGUCUAGUGUGCAAUGCCAUUUAGUUUAGCCCGUGAACUAUAUGGAAAUGUUUAAUAUUAUCAUUCAAUUAAUUCAAGUUUAGAUAUUACAUUAAAUAAAUCAUAAGUUCAGUGACUAUAUUUAACAUUAUGAUAAAGUUCAUGGAUGACACUGAAUAAAUUAAAAAUUCAAGGGUUAUUUUACAUAUUAUUUUGGUCCCAAGCUAAACCAAGACAGAGAGAUGAUUGUUAGUGAGCAGUCCAACUUCAUGCAUUUAUGUAGGAAAAGAGGGAGGGAGGACAAAGAUUCUUUGCUCUUGUACAUAUGCAUGGGAGAGCGACAGUGAUGUGUGAAAGUGAGAGAGACGACCCGAGUCUUCCCCUUAUAGAUAUUACUACUAAUCUUUGCUUUGGCCUAACAUGGCCCUCUUUUAUAUCUGUUCCACGUUAGAAGUUGUAGCCACGACCGUAGAAAAACCACGACACAUGAUAUAAAAUUUAGAUUUUUAAGUUAUGCUAGUUUUGCGAAGAAUAAGUAUUUUAAAAAAUAUUUUUCUAAAAAUAAUUGUUUGUAUCGUUUGAAAUAAUUAAUCAAUGAAAAGCAUUUUCUUUAUUAACAACAAUUUAUAUCUAAAUACGUUUUUGGGCAAUGAAAAUAUUCUUUGUUUAUACAGUUUUGUAAGUGAGAGCCUUAAGCAAGAUGUCAUCUUGUACGCAUGUCUGGUCAAAUUAACGUCAAGUCAUUGAGGGUUGUUUUAAUAUUGUCAACCAACGCAAUUAUAUUUAAAACGGUUUAGGAGAGUUUUGAAAAUUCCAUGUUUUGAAAAUUCCAUGAAUUCUAAGUAUGUGAGGUGUGUUUGUUUUGACAAAAUAAGUGAUUUAGAAAAUAUAUUCCGAAAAAUGAUCACUUAUAUCAUUUAAAAAAAUUAAUCAAUGGAAAAUAUUUUCAUAAUUAAUAACAAUCUAUGCCUAAUUAUUUUCGUAGGCAAUGAAAAAAUUUCUAUUCAUUUAUUUUUCUAAAUAAUAUAAACGAUCAUUUUUUGACAAAUAUUUUUCAAAUAACUCAUUUUUUAUGAAACAAACAUGUAUGUAAUAUCAUGUAGAUGUAGACAAUUUUCAAGCCCAUCGUGUUAUUCCUAUGAAGUCGAUCGACCAAUGUAUCUAUGUAAUUGAUAUAUCUUGAGCAAAAGGUCAAACACUCACAAUGUAACCCUCGUUCCUCUGCAUGACAUUUGUUGCGAAAACCGCACUUGAACCCUGUUAAAAGCCUAUGAUGUAUAGCUUCGAUAGCAUCCAUGAAUAAAAGAUAUGAGGAGACUGCUAAAUUGAGAGAAGGAUUACCUUUCAAUAGGAUCCAUGUAUAAAAAUUACACCGGUCCGUCAAGCUUGCUUCAUCUACUAAGAGAAUAAUCAAGCGAACCAUAAUGAUGAAGAUUCCGGAAGGAAUAUUUUUUUGUGCAUUUCAUCUACUAAGCAACGGCGAUGAAGAAGAAGAAGAAGAUUGAAAAUGGAGAAAGGGAAGAUGGAGAGAGAGGGACUUACAAGUUAUGGAGGCGGAAGAGCGCCGGAAAGAGACUGCUCAUUGAGAACUCUGUUUUCACAAUGACACAAAAGGCUUUGUUCUAUUGUUAUUUUUAUUUUAUAAAAAAAAAUGUUAUUCUAUUAUUAAUAGUAAAUGAUGAAAUAAAUGCUAGCAUGACUGAAAUGAUAAUUAUAUAACAAUUCGAGUAAUAAUUCAUUUAAUUAGCAAUAAACAUCAUUGAAUAAUACAAAAUCAAAUUACGACAAUUUAGAUAAUCGUACUUAAUGUUAAGCAACCAUUAUUUCUGUAUUAAUAAUUUUAAUACGAUAAAAUGAUUACAUACGGUUAAGAUGAUAUUUGCUAUUAUUUAAUGUUUUAAUACAAAACUCGAGUGGCCAUGGAUGCACUCGUGAAGACGACUAAUUUAAAUCGGAAUGUUGUCGCUUUAUCAAAAACUUUAAAGAUUUCAUUUCUAUUGGAUUGUUUAGAAAACACCUUUACCUGAUUACCCUAAUAACACUACCCCUAUCAUGUUUAGAGGUAAAUCAUUGUCAAAACUGAAAGUUUGGCAACAAGUUGAUCAUGUAACCAUGAUACGAUAGAAAUUACAAGUGGGCGACAAUUCUUUUAUUAUUUUUCCUUCCAAUUUCAUCUCGAUGGUUUUGAAUUUCAAAACGAAAAUAACUAUUUGCAAAUGCGGUCUUAUUUUCACGGGGUAAGUCUUGAUCACGAUGUUUGUAUUUAGUGGAUUUUGCAAUCGAACAGCCGAAGGGAACCCAAUGAAUUUCCAUUUUCUUUUUGCACUCAAUACAUUUUGACGCAAAAGUAUAGGCCAAUGUUUCCGGUGUCAAUUGAUAUGUAAUUUUCGUGGAUGUUUGUGGAAUACCCAUUGGACAAGAGGAGGGGACAGGGAAGGACGUACGAGGCUGAGCAGACGCAGGAACCGUCCGACCGGAAUUGGUGGUCGGCGCCAAGCCGGCAGGACAGCUGGCGGUGGCAGGAGCCGUGCCCGCCCAUCGGUCGGCCAAGCUUAAAAGCGAGAGAGCGGUGUGAGUUGAUGAGGGGUUCGGACAGAUUGAAAUCGGUGGGAGAGAGUGAGCCUAGAGAGAGAGAGGCAGAUGCGUAGAGAGCGAGAGCGGGGAACGAGAGGGAGCCUCGGCCGAUACCGCGGUCGCGCACGAACCCUGUCCGACGACCACGGCCGGUCGACAUCCUCAAGCCAAACAGCUAAACCUUUCUUUUUUCCUCUUUUUCUGCCCUGUUUUUGGGCACGACGGGCCGGAGCUCGCGACCGUCCGGCUCACGCGAACUCCGGCCCCAACCAUCCUUGUUGGCUGCUGCGUGUGUCGCUGUUCAUUUGGCGAGAGUCUCGGCCCAGGUUGAGUCACGGUCAAGCCGAAAACCACUCGUUUUCGUAGCGCACUCCACCUGUUCGGUAAGAUGCCUGAAUGAGAUCCGUUUCAAUUCGCCCUUUUUGGUCGGAGCCAUCUGUACUGAGCCCUACCUUGUCGAGUUGCUCACGAGGUGUCGGCACUCCCGGGCGUCGGCUGCUUGGCCGGUUCAACACGCCCGCGCCGUCCCCUCCGCUGUUUUUGUUUUCAGCCAAGGAGAGGAAUGUCUCGGUCGGCUACAUCACGAGUCAGGACCGAGUGAAGAGAGCCGCCAAGGCCAAGGUGUCUCAGUCGGUUGACCGUGAGGUGGCCGGUCCGUGGCUGCCAUCCGGUUGUCCGCGGAAGCCCCCGGCCAUCGUGGCUCGGGUAUCCCACGAGAGCCUGCCGCCGCGUCACUGGUCCCAUUCGGGCUGAUCACCCAUUCCGUGUCACCUAAGGCGACGCCUAGGUACACCGCCCGUUUGGGCGGAGACGAGCGGCGUUGCCCAGCGUCGUCGUCUCCGUCGCGGCGGAGAAGCUGCGAACCUGGUCGGUUCGGCCGAAUCCCGAUCGGGCCGGCUCGCGGAUCUGACUGAUCCGGUUCGUCUAUUUCUGUGUUUUUUUUUGGUGGGACUAUUUCUGUGUUGGUUUGAGCAUUUUGGGCUAGGGCUUUUUUUUAGAUGGGCCGGGCUAAAAAAUUAGAGUAAGUUGGGCUGGGUUUUGUUUUUUAAAAUGAGUCCUGGCUUGGCCGGACUGGGCCCGUGCGCUAAGCCCAGUCUGGCCGAGGGCCUAGUGCCCUGGGACCCGGGCCGACGGACCCGGGUCGGAUCCGGAUAUCGGACCUGGCUCCUUAUUAUCGGAUUAAAUUAAUUUUCAUUUUUAAUAUCUAAAAAGUGAAAAAGUGAAAAAUUAAUUAAAAAAUUAUUUUUUGAGUAGUUUUUCUAGGAAAAUCCUUGAUAAAAAAUCAUGCUCAAAAUUGAACAAAUUCUUUAGAACUUUAUAAUAGGGUUUGCAUAUUUGUUUUUCCGAGAUGAAGGCUCUUGACUGUGCACUUAAAUAUGAUUUUCUUUGGCCAAGUUAGGAAUGGCAUUUUUUUUUUUUUUGGUUUCUUAGCAUUAAAUUAUUGUUCUUCCUUGCAAUUUAUUAAUACUUCUUUAGUUGCUGAUUGAUAUUUUAAUAAUUGUACACUUGCAUGAUCACUUAAUAUGUUAGUGAAUAUGUUUAAAAUCAAUCCAUAUUGUUUAAGCUACCAAUGACUCUUCAUUAGAAAAUUUUUAUAGCAUCAAAGCUAAAAUUGAAUAUUCAAUGUCACAUGGAGAUGGGUUUGGGAUAGCUUGUGUCUAAUUGAGGAGCGUAGGCUCGCUUCUUAAGCAUUACCUCUAAACUUUUGUCUUUUCCCCUCGGGACGGAAAAGAUUGAUUGCGAUAGGUAUAUCGUACAUAUACUUCGAUUGGUUGUGGAAAAUGCCCUUGGCUAGAAAGUACCAGCCCAAAAGUUUAAGAACAAUUGGCUGCCCCUAUGUUAAAGUAGGGAGAUGGAAGUCUAGCUCAAAAUCUUUUCUAUUGGAUAAAACUAUUAAGAUUGAACUUACAUGAAAGGUAAUUCACUAAAUUAUCUAAGCUAUAUGUGAUAAUUAAAGAAAACUAAGAUAACCUAAUUUUAAAGUCUUAACAACUUAGUCAAGCCCGUUUUCCAGAACCAAUAUCUAUUCUUUAAAAAAAUUAGAUUAAUUUUUUAAUUCCAAAAAUGUAGACUUGAGUUGGGCCCUCGGACUCAAUCUGUUAAUGGGCUAGGAUCUAGUCUCACGUAUUUGCUGCCGUUAAUACCCAAACUGGGCUCUUCCACCAAGCCCUCUCAAUUUCUCUAGACCCGUUUCAUUUUUGUUAAAAAAACACACCAACCCACGCUCAUCUUAACGGAACUAAGCUCAUAUCUGUCAACUAAAGACCUAAAGCCCAUCUUAUUUUGUCUUCCACAUUUUGCCUUCUUUUCCUAUGAAGUUAAUUUCUAUUUUCUACUUUACCUGUUAUUCCCACCAUCUAUUCUAAGAACGUUCCUUGUUGCCCAACCAUAUAGCCCAAAAACCUUCAAUAAUUGCUAGAUAACCACAAAAUAACUAAAGCUUAAGCAAAGAUCUACUAGAAAUCGCACAGUUUAUCUUUGACCAACACCGAUCUGUAGAACAUGAUUUGCCAUCAUUGCUAGAUGAACAUUCGAUUCAUUGGUCGCCACCAAAGACUUACCUGACGUCCGUACUAACUCUACCGUGAAAGUGCGCUCUAAUAUUGUUUCUUGCAACUUAAGAGAGCUUAAUUUUUGUCUUUGUUGGCUAUGUCGGGUGCUUCUUGGCCGUCUUCUGAUUUCGGAAAGUUGUGCUAAUGAGUUUUCUUUUGCUACAUAGACACGAACACCUCAGAGCUUGAUAGCACCCUUUUGAGAUAUUCUGACUUCAAAUCAAAAGAAGAAGUAAUCUUUGGUGGAAGUUUGAUAGAUCUUAGUCUGGCUUCUUCUUCACCAUAAUAGCAACAAAUCAUGAUUAGACAAAAGAAAAGGGACAACAAUAAAUCAAGAUGAUCAAUGACUACAAACAAACAAAUUAUCACAGAACACGGCAAACAAAUAAGAUCACACCUCGAACUACUUACCAUCUAGUGUGCGCAAGCAUCUCACUAUAAGUAUCAAUGAUCUCAUACUUAGUAGGAAUGCCCUUUGGCUUCUACAUAAAGAAGAGCUAGUGCUUAUCAUGGAGAGACAUCCUCUCCCUUGGGAGGGGGACAUGUUGCCUUGAGGUGGAGGGUUUGCAUCCCUUGGUUGUGCACGGGUUACAUGUCCCAACACAAAUGCCUUGUUGUAUUUAAAUUACUGGGUCGGUCAUUAAGAGCUUUCCUCUCGUUAGCUCAAGCAUUACUUCUCACCCAUUCACCAUGGGACUUGGUGUCACAAAGAACUUGUUUGUCCAUGUUGUGACCUACUUGCCUCGAAGGCCAAUUCCAAUGGAGUAAGUUCAGACAUAUUUGUUCAUAAAACAAUCUAAGUAGCAUUUCUAUGAGAGAUGACUUUAACGCAUCGUUUAGUUGGUGAUCCACACCGGACUCAUUAAUUAUGAAUGGGGGUUCUUUCAAGUUCAUACCUCGCAUGACAGGUAUUUAUUUUAGAGUUCUUUAGACACUCUAAAUAUCAAUUAGGAGUCGCCACUAGCCUUGUUUAUGAAGAUUAGGUAGAUUAUCCAAUCAAGAAAUGGGAGCAUUUUCUCGAUUCCUACAGAACUAGAAAUCAAUAAGUUUAGGGACGGGGUUACGCUAAUGUUUUUAUUAGUGCAUUUUCAGUACCUAAUCAGUUGAGUUAUCUAAAUGAUCAUGCAUUUGUUCUUUACCAUUUUCAUGAUAUUUAGAAUCUCAUUAGGUGAUCACGCAUGGAUAGUUCAUUAAGGAAUCUAAACUAGUUAUAAUUCUAGCAUUUAAGAAAGGAAAUGAGUGAAAAAAGGAAAGUGCAUUGCGUAAAGUAAACUAUUCAAAGUGCAAGAACAUAGACAACCUACACCAUUCGAAGUGCAAGAACAUAGACAACCUACAGCUUAUCGAGUCUUUAUUACAAACUUGAAUUAAAAACCUAAAACAUGAUUAGGCGACAAAUUGGGUACAAAAAAAGAUCAGAUUCAAUGAUAAGAACUGCAGCCACCUCCUUCGUAGUUUGCCUCAAUCGCGUUAACUUCGCACUUGAGCCAAUCAAACUAUAAUAGCAAACAAGUCAUUGAUUUGAAACAAUAGCAAAAAAGAACAAACGAGUUGUUGAUUUCAAAAUGGACCUUCGAAUUGGCCUUUGUAUUGCAUACAUAACGACCACCCCAAAUUACUUAAUUGGUUAAUUUGUGGUUAAUGAUAAUUAGUCAUCAUUUGUAUUCACAACACGGUGGUCCAUAUCAAUUAACCUUAAAUCAGGAUCUAAGCGUUCAUUGAUUUUCCGUUGAUCAUGCACCAUAUCUAGCCAUUCCUUCAACAAGUACACAAAUACACAUGAAAUUGAGUAUGUAUUCAGGUUAAUAGGCCUUGUUUCUCAAAUAAUCAAACAAAAUUAAGUGAAUUAAUAAUAGGUCACUUAAUUAAUUUACUGAAAAUGGGUCGAUUAUGUUUAAAAGUGAUUCAUUAAUCAAAUUACGUUCAAUUGACAUGAUUCGGGUGUCAUUGGAAAGUCUAAGAGUCUUCCUAAUCGAAGUAUUAUUAUAUAUAUGAUCUAUUGAAAUUUUUUUUGUUUAAAUAUAUUUAAUUGUUGAAUUUGGUGAAUCUCACGCGAAAUACCACAAAUUUAAAAUGAAAUUUUGUCAAAUUCAACCAGCAGCACAUGCUGCUGGUGACCAACCGUGAGCUCGACGGCACUCACCCACCGGUGAGUUUUGUGUUUCCCAGGGAAAACAAAUCUUUGUCAUUUUUUGGCUUAUCUACUCCCACGCGCUCUGCCACGCGUGGAGGACGGCCCAAUCAACGCUCGAGAAGCUUCUAUCAUCCCAUUGCCGUGGCGGACACGCGCUGCUGCUCCGUGGAACAGAGUAGGCGUGGAAAUCAUUAGCUUUGUCGCCACCCGCCGCAUUUCUCACGAGAUCAUCCCCGCCCCCGGGGCGGCGGACGUGGGAGUGAUUGGAAAAAUGAAGAAAAGAUUUUGUUGAUAAAUCCCUUACUAGAAUAAAAAUAAAAUAAGAAUAUUAAUCACUAAUUUAAAAAUAAUGUUCCUAACGUAAAUAGUUAAUAAAAAACCAAUGAAUGAAUGUAAAUAUAUCUUACACGUAACAUUAAAAAAAUAUGAAUCAAGAGCAAUAAACUUUUCGUAUUUGGAGCAUAAUCUAAUAUCAAAAUAGCAAUAUAUAUUGAAAAUCGAAAAUUCCUCUUUACUUAAAGCUUUUGGGAUAUGCUAUAUAAGAAUAAAAAAUCUAUCUAUUUUUUAAUUUUUUUUUGAAAAUAGUGUUUAAUAAUAGUCAAUAUGGCAACAUAAGAUUAUAUUGACAAAUUGAGAAGCCAUUUUACAAUGGGGUGAACUUGUCAAAUAGAAAGCAAAAUCUUUAUUUGUUGUACAAUUUUAUUAAAGACCGAAUGUCAAAUCCGCUACUUAUUAUUGAACCUGGAGUAAUAUAUACUUUGUUAUAAGAUUUAAGGUGAGUGGCUUCUACAAUGGGGUGCAAAAUCACUCGAAAGUUUAGUAUGAACAAAUUGUUUCUACUGUCUGCUGUUGGCAGGCACAUUUGUGUGCACAAUAAUCUUUGAAAAGACAGAUUCUUUUUUGGGUCACGAAAUAAGUUGUUGCGAGGGAGCCGUGCAGCCGCACCGGAAUGGGACCAUUACAGAACAUAGAGAUGCCCAUCGACUAAUCAAAUCAAUGCCAUUUCCACUUUUUCUGCACCUAAGGAAGCGAUAGAAGGCAAGUAGGGAGAGGGAGAGUAGUACCUGGACAAGGAGAAGCCGCUGCUGAGGGGCUGCCACUGGUACUCAGCGAAGGCAACGUCGAGGCGGCCGUUCGGGAGGCAGGCAAACUCGCGCUCGAUGAGGGGGCAUAUGGAGGAGUCGUGGAGAGGGUAGGACGGGUCUGCCACCCAGCUACCCCGGAACACAUCACACCGGCCCGGGGGGGGGGGGGGGGGGGGGUUNNNNNNNNNNNNNNNNNNNNNNNNNNNNNNNNNNNNNNNNNNNNNNNNNNNNNNNNNNNNNNNNNNNNNNNNNNNNNNNNNNNNNNNNNNNNNNNNNNNNGGGGCUAGGAAUUUAUAUAGGAUUUAGGAAUUGCAACAGAUCUGCUUUUUUUUUUUUUUUUUAAAUUAAAUAGCGGUUUGGCUUUGUGUUGACACCUAAAUUUUGGUGACCUGUUUAAUCAUUUAUUGCAUUAAAAAAUUAGGGGCUAAUUUUAUUCCUGAAAAAAUAUUAAUUGCAUAACAUAUAGAUUUAUGUGUAUUUAUUUUGCAUUUUUUGCAUUUAUUUAUUGGACCGGCGAUGGAUAGGUUUGAAUUAAUGGUUCUGAGCUUUAAAUUGAUGAGUCGGGCUAAACCUACGAAGAGAGCGAAUCGGCCUAAGCCCAUAUCCUCGGAAGAUUUUACGGGUUUAUUUUUGUGAGAUUUCAAUUCAAAAGCAAAUAUUGUGUUUGGAAUAGAAAUCUUCGUGGAUAUGGUUUUGGAAAAUAAAAAAAUCCUAAUUCGUGGCCUAUAAAUAGGUUAAUUCACUAGGGUUUAGGAGGCCACACAAUUGAGAAUACAAGGCCACAUGGAAAGAGGGAGGUCGGCAACAUACACUGAGAGCAAAGAAGCCGAGAGGGAGAGAGAGACAUAGGAAGCCUUCGUAGAAGACGAAAGGGCGAGGCCGAUCCAUCAUCAGUAUCUUAUAUUUGCAUCCCACUAUCGUUCUUUUCCUAAUUUUUUUAAGGGUUAUGCCUACAUCUUCCACAUCAUAGAAAACGCCAAGGAGAGACCCCCCGCAUUCUGAUUACUGACAAUCCUAAGAGGCUUUACGGCGAGUGAUCAGGGAACAAAUAGCAAAGCUCGAUGUUUAGAGUGAUUCAAGCUUAUUGCCAAGUUUCCAGUGACGCCCUCAUCAGUUGCGGUGCUGGUCUUUCGCAAUAUUGCCGCGCCAAGCGAGUUCCUCCAAGCCCUGCCGCACCGCCUCGACAAGCUGCUGUCCCCAACGAGAGUCGCCUGUUGACUUGACGUUAAGCCUGAGCUGUCGUCGAGCUGGUCCUAUUCCCUGCGAAGUUUCUGUUUUGUAGGUCCAUUGGCACGAACCGCUGUCACCACUCGCUGCCAUUGUUCACCGUUGCCCUGCCAUGCUGAGCCGUGAAAAUCCGACGUGAGAUGCUCUGAUGCCGUCCUUUGGCCCGAUGCCAAGACAAGCUGCCGUCCCGUUGAGCUUGGUCAAAAUUCAGCAAACAUCCGAGUCACUAAAAUCUGCGCAAGAGAAGGGCACACGUUCUUUGAGUAAAGGAGGACGUAUACACUGAAAGGGGGAGGAUUUCGCACACUUAUUUUAUAGAAAUUUGGAGCCACUUGGCUAUUCUAUCACGUGUAGAGUUUUUUUAGCAGGACUUUUGGUGAAUCCGGAGCAAGUGGCAGCCCCUGGACGUUCCUCCCACAUCAGCACCAUGUCCUUGUAACAAUCCAAGUGCUUCAUUGAAUAGUCCGGGAGAACUUCACCAACACGUUUGCCGAUCCGACGAUCCCUGUAUUGCCGCAGCCACCACCUUGACGAAAGUUAUUGUUUUGCAGUCGCCUCUCGAAGUUUACGUGUAGAUGUUGAACCAAUCACACUUUGUGACUACUCGCGGAGCUAGAACCUUUGUUGCGCGUGAUUCGAGUUGCAGUCACGAGCCCCAUCGUGNNNNNNNNNNNNNNNNNNNNNNNNNNNNNNNNNNNNNNNNNNNNNNNNNNNNNNNNNNNNNNNNNNNNNNNNNNNNNNNNNNNNNNNNNNNNNNNNNNNNNNNNNNNNNNNNNNNNNNNNNNNNNNNNNNNNNNNNNNNNNNNNNNNNNNNNNNNNNNNNNNNNNNNNNNNNNNNNNNNNNNNNNNNNNNNNNNNNNNNNNNNNNNNNNNNNNNNNNNNNNNNNNNNNNNNNNNNNNNNNNNNNNNNNNNNNNNNNNNNNNNNNNNNNNNNNNNNNNNNNNNNNNNNNNNNNNNNNNNNNNNNNNNNNNNNNNNNNNNNNNNNNNNNNNNNNNNNNNNNNNNNNNNNNNNNNNNNNNNNNNNNNNNNNNNNNNNNNNNNNNNNNNNNNNGAUUCGUCAAUUUAUUUUCCCAAAUUAAAUGGACAUGGAUGAUAUCUUGAUUGAUUUGGUGCCGUGCGAUUCUUGAUGCCUUUAUUUAAUUGCUCCCGUAAAGGAAAAACCCAAAAAAAAUAUUUGAGUUAGGUUAAAUGCAUGUUAGGAUAUUACUUGUUUUAAGGUUAUGUUGCAUGUUUAGGAUAGGAAAUUUAUUUCGAAUUUCUUAAAUAAAAAGACCAAAAACAUUAAUUUAGGAUAUCAUAUUUUCUUCUCAUUAAUUUAAAUUGCACGUUUAAUUAUUUGGCAAUUUUAAUCUCGAAUUUUAUAAAAAAAAAAAAGAGAAAACCUAGAAUUAGGGCAUUCUUUGCACGUCAUUGUAUGUUAGGAUAAAAUUGCACGUAAUUUAAUUUUAGAUAAUAUUUUUUAAUUUAUUAUAAGUUUAGAUAAAUUUUUUAGAUAGAUUGCAUCUUAGGUUAGAGAUUGCUAAGUGAAGAUAAUAUCUUAGUUUAAAUUAGGAUUUGACCUAGCCCAAUUCUUAAUAUAAGUUGGAUAGAAUCUUAAUCUAGCUAGUUAAUCUUUGUAUUUUUCUUAAUUUCGAAAUUUUAUGGAAAAUACCAAAAAAUUGUCUCUAGAAUAAAUCAAUCCCAUUCUUUAGGAUAGACUGCAUUUUAUUUAUGUCAUAUAGUUUAGGUCAUAUUGCCAUGUCAUACCAUUCCAUGUUAGAUUAGUAGCAUCUAUUGCAUGAAGAAUGAUUCCCAUUAAAUAAGUGAAAAAGAAAAACAAAAUUUGCGUGUUAAUUAGAGAUUAUAUCUAGGACCGUCGAUGUGAAUUCUGAUUUAACACUGCAGAUGUUUUCGUUACUUUGAGGUAAGUUCCUGUAAUUUAUUCAUUGCUUUCCUUGGAUGUUAAAUUGGUGAUUUGCGCACUCGCAUGAUCACCUCACAUGUUAGGGAAAUAGAUUUAAAAUCAAUUCAAGUUGUUUGCCAAACAUUUUUUGAAAAUAAAAGAGAAAGGUACCGAAAGGGCGUUAGAGAAAUUUAACGUAACCAAGCUCUCGAAUUUACAAUCUCUGGUUUGUAGAAGUAAAAUAAUUCUCCCAUUAUUUUACUUAGGUGUCUAAUCGAUCUACCGUAAAUUGAUUAGUAGCGACUCUUAAAUAAAAUAUGUCUGCAUGUUAAGAAUUUAAACAUAAGUCGCGAAUUGGUAUGGACUUGAGAGAGCUUGAGUUAAGUCUAGGCUUAAUAAUCCAUUAACGAAACUCUAGGUGGUUCACUCGAAAAAUUGGUCAUGACACUUUGCUUGGCUGAGCUAUAGUUGUAGGGAGUAGUAGCCAAUCACUACCAUUGAUGUUGACAUUUCGAAUUGGUGAGGUCAACAACUCGCCGUGGGACAACAAGCUAGUCCCCUCGGAUCUCAAGGAGAGCAAACAAAGCCAUUGAGAUUUUUAACUUGUUUAAUUCUCGACAUUAACGUAACACUGUUUUGGCUACCUAAGCAUAUGUCCUUAAAAGAUUUCAAUUGGGAUUUAGUUCACACAUUAAGAUCCCUAAAUUUAAGAUUACCAAGAAGGCAAAGCCAGGUAUAGAAUUUGAUAAAGAUAUUGACCAAUUGGGAAUAUAGGAUAAUGCGGGUACUAACAUGCAAAAAUAAGAAAUGCAUCCAUAGAGUCCAACAUCUCUAUAAAUCAAAUGGACAGGAAGUGAAGACCUUGCUGCCUUCCUUUGGUGAGCCUAAACGCUUAUGUCACGGGCCGACAGUUCCCUUGGCCGCGGAAUGACCCGUGCAGCGCUGGCAAGCGGAAUUCGCCAGGCAAGCCUUUCUUCUAUAGCGGUUCUAGUGAACAAUACGGUGAAUGCUUUUUUGUACGAGAUCCUACCACGCCCAACUUCGCUCGGGCGUCUAGUUCAUUAAAUGAGACAACAGAUCUCUUUAGGCUCAACAACUGGUUUCGGCCUGCCAUAGCCUCGUCAAGAGAGCAGCAUUAGCUCCCGACCAAUUUGUGCACGAGAGGCCAACUCCACCUUCAAAGCUUCUAAGUGAUAUAAUCCUUCUAUUUUUAGCAUCAACCGUCCUGAUGCCACUCCCAUGGACCAGUUGUAUUUAUCCCUUUUGCCUUCUCACUCUUCACUUGAUAACCCCAAGCACCACUCACAAGUAUCACAAGUACGGGAGGAUUUACGGAUUGUGACAUUCUCCCCCACUCAAUUUCGCAACGCCCUCGUUGUGAUCUAUUAUGUCGCUUCCUUGCGUCCCUUAACCAUUGAUACGCCACUUUUGGGAUUUCACAUCGAAUGGUCACGCUCGCCUAACAAAACAGGUUUUCCUCCAUUAGUAGCCUCUUUUGAUCUCCACUGUUCGGCCAUUCUCGGUCACUUGCGCUUUUUUUGGCAAGUGUGGUAUUUUUCGCUAACUGGCAUCUUUUGGCAAUACCAUUUCUUUUGCCUACUCAGCUUCUUUGACCUCAGCAGACCAAAUGGAGAUUUUUUCUUUGUUGUAAACGUGGCAGUAGACCCCUUCUUUGAAUUUACUGAUCGAUCCAGGAACGUUAUCCUUAUUCAGCAAGGGUUCGGUUCUUCUCCAACUCCCAAGUUGCUCAGUGAGGAACCGACUCAUCCUAGCACCCAUUGUCAUCCUAGGAGCAAAGAGCCUAGCUUCGUUUGAGCAUCUUUUGCCCCGGCCAUUCACUUUUCGCCCACUAGGACCGGUGUCGCGACCCGAUCUCGCCGCCCCCUUUGAAAUGAUAUCUAAAGAUGGGAAAGGUUGGGUUUAGGGGUACUUGAUCUCGAGAUCACGAGCUCUCCGAAGCUCGUACCUGCGUGACAGUAGGUUGUCGCGAUCCAUACCCACAUAAGCGACACACCUAAAAAAGGGAGUCGAAUGUGGAUAUCGAAUUUAAGGGUACUUUUACCAUGGUAGCCCUCUCGAUAGUACGCUCCACCCAUUAGGAUGGCAUCACUUCAUCCUUUGGGCUACCCCCACAUCGAGUAUGCUAAACCAUAGUGAGUUUCAUCGAAACUCAUACCCCGCGUGACAACGGAUUUAUUUAUAUGAUCUAGGUAUUUAACAACCUAAAAAAUAUACAGGAGUCGCCACUAGCCUCAACUUUGGGGGUCGGCUAGAAACCCAAUCGAGGGUCGGGAGUGUUCCCUCGAUUCCUACGCAACCAGAUAUCUAGGUUCGGGGACUUGGGUUACGCUAAUAUUGCUAUUAGCGCCCUUUCGGUACCUAAACAGUAUGUUGUGCUUUUCCUAACAUGUCCAUACGUUUCUUUUUAUAUAUUUUCAGGAUCAUCAAUUCCUAUACUAAGUGAUCAUGCGUGGUUGAUCAUUUUCAUGCUAUUCUAUUUCUAAAAAAUAAAAUAAAAAGGAAAACAACCAAUGAAAUUGAAAUUACAAAACAUGAAGUAAACAAUCAAGAAAAGCAAUUAAACCUAUCAGGCAGUCCUAAAAAAAAUAAAAGAGAAAACAAACGAGAAAGAAAGGAAACCCGCAACUCGUCGGGUUUUAUACAAUGCAUAGAACCCGAGACAUAUGUCGGGAAAACAAAAAGUACAUAACAAUGGUCGGAAUGGACAUCGACCUCCACCAUCUUCACGCCUUACACCUUCUCCAUCUUCGGGGUCCUAAUCUAAACCUAGCUUAGGAAACUUCUAGCUAAAUGCAUACAAUGGAAAGAGACGAGCAAACGCAUCAAAACAAUCAAAAGCAAGACAUUUUUUAUAUUAAAAAAAAAAAAGAGUAACUAAAGUCACAAGGUCUCUGGAUCAAAUUCAAGGUGAUAUCCCAAGAUUCAUCAUUAUUAUAUGUCACAUCUAAAUUCUUCAUCACAGAAACUAGACACUCAACAUAAGCUCAAUAAAAACGCAAUCAAUGGCUAUCUCAUUCUAAAAUUUCUAUGGCAGGUGAAUCAGCAUAUGAGGAACAAACUUCAUGAAGAAACAUUCUAAAAUUCUAGGCACGUGAAUUUAUAACAUCCUGGAAGAGAUCAAAGUCAAUCAAAAGUAGAACAGAGCGGCAAAGCAAACAUACAACUCUUUUUUUUAAAUUUUUAUGUGAAGGACAACUUUCAUGAAGGACCUAAUCCCAAACUUCUCACAAAAAAUUCAUACCAAAUUCACAAGUAUUUGAAGCUAUAAAAACAAAGCAUGUAUUCUAAAUCAAGAGUAUUUCCAAAUUUCAAUAUCAGCAAAUUCACGCAUGAACAACAAAUAUCAAUUGCAAUUAGCCAAAUGGGUGCAUGAUAUUCACAUCAAACGGGGUUCAAAUAUGAUAAUGACUCUCAUGAAAGAUUCAACUCCAGCAAAACAUGUUUACUAACUCAAAUUUGAACACAUGCAUCAGGUCUCAAACAGGACAGAUUCUGGACUGAACUUUGGACAUGUGAAAAUCAUAUCAAAUGAGAUUCAAUCAGGGCAUUCUAUAGCUCAUUGGAAAGAUUUUCGAACCAUCUUCGACUUGCAUGAAGACUUCGAACACAGAAAACCACAACAACCAGCUCAUAUUAAGUCAUUUGCACAGAAGGUCAGAUCAGCAAAAGAAACAGAAUAUCAGAGCAGAAUCAACAGACUUUGUAAGUGGUUUUCAGCAAGCAAACGACGUCAAUUAUGGGCAUGUGACAUAUCAAAUCAAAGCUUGAGAAGUCUAUUUUAUAUGUCUAGAAGGGCUCGAAAUCAAAAAAACUCGUCUAACACCUAGUUUUAGUCAAAGCAGUAAGUGACAGAUCAGGUAUACGAAAUUGCAGAUCAAGACAAAUCAAGCUCAAGUUCAUGAUCAUUGACUAUCAAUUCACAGAAAAUCAUCCAAUAUCGUUGUAUAGAAGCAAUGAACAAAAGGAAGCACUCACAAGAGAGGCAAAGUCAGCAAACAUAACCUCUGUUCAAGUAUACUUGGAGUUUCCUCAAUCAAGCAUGUCAAUCACUGUUAACGAUAUAAAAGACUCAUUCACUACCAUCCAAUUUUCAUUAAAGCAGAACCAUCAAUAUAUUUGAAAUGGAUAUACAGUUGAUGAAUCAAUUAGUAACACGGCGCACCCAAAUGAAUGUGUACAUGACGACUAGAGCAGCAACUUAAUGCUCUCACAGCAUGUAUUCGGUAUUCGAGAUGGUAGCAUUCGUUCAAUAUGCUUGUGAUCUCAACAUGUAUAAAGAACCAACCCAGUAACAUUUUUUAUAAUAUGUUUGCAGUUGGACACAGUAAACAUAGAUCGAUAUAUUGUGAUGCAUAAGAAGGGAAUGUGCAUGGAUCAAUUCAUUUUCGUUCAAGAUGCUAUUGGUCUAAGUUCUGGAAUACUUAGAUAUCAGAUUUAUUUCAAGUACACGUUGGAUAUGCACCUAAUCCAAGAAUUUCAGUAACAAAUCCUAAAAAUGAAUAGCUACUAAACUCUAAAACAAAAGGAAACGAAAUAUGAGUAAAGUCUAUACGACAAAACUAAUGUAUCAAUCAAGCAAAGUGAAGCUCUCAAUCAGAAUCUGAAUUGAAACACACAUUGAUCUAAUUCAUGAAUUUUAUCAAACAGAUGGUAGAUAUUUCUGUCAAAUGAGCUAGAUGCAGAAAUUAGAGAGACAUCUUAUCACAAAGAGGCAAUGCAGCAUGCUCAAGGUCAUUAGGAAAACCUCACACGUGACUAGAUUUCGCUGGUGGAAUUGAGUAUUCGGUUUUUACCUUUAGCAGAAACAGAGCAUGUGGAUUUACCUUGACGAAGAGUAAUAUCUGACCACGAUUGGAGAAUGGAGGUCCUAAACACGUCGGCACCUGUAGCUUGAGCGAAAGAUCGGAAACCGUCGCUCUAGUAGACGCUGUCGCCGUUGGCUUCAGAGCUCAAUCCCUGGAAUCGAAUGGAUUCCUCUGAACUCAGCGAAGUAUCGAAAACUAUCACUCUCCGAGCUCCUCGAUUGGCUGUUCCGUCCUCUAGGGUUUGAGAGAGCUCGGAUCUGCAACUUCAACUGCGGCAUCAAAGAACGGCACUCGGAUUCGGAGAUCCGCUAGGCUGAACAUCAGGUCUGGGCCGAGGUUUCGGAGACGGGGCUGCGACGGAUUCGAUGCGCUCAACCAUUGAAAUCGAGUGUCUGCAGCAGAUCCCUAAAGCGAGAGCGAGAGGGAGAGGGAGCGUCCGUCGCCAUCGUUGCUAUCAUCGCCACCGUCUUCGUCGUUGUCACUGCGAUGAGGAAAAAAAACCCUCGCGAAUCUCCGGUGAUAAUCCUCACUGAUCGAGCUCCGAUCCCCCCGAACUCCCUCAAACCAAAAGCGAUCAAGAAGUAGAAACCGAUUCCAGAAAGAAUCCCCUUUCGAGAGAGAAUCCUCCGCGUCCUCAGAUCCCAGAGAGAGCUUUUUUUUUUUUUUUUUUUUUUUUUUUUUUUGAGGAGCUAGAGAGAGCUCGCGGGCGUAGAGAGCUUCCGAGUGAGAGAGCCCGUGUGAGGAGAGAGAGUCCUUCUGAGGAGAGAGAGUGCGUCCGUGGAGAGAGCGUGCGUCCGUGGAGAGAGCGUGCGUCCGUGGAGAGAGAGAGAGAGUGUGCGAGCGUUCUUCCCCCCCUUUUCCUUUUUUUUUCUUUUAUUCUUUUCAUCCCUCCUUUUUCUUGUUUUCUUUUUCAUUUUCAGUUUUUUUCUUUUGCUUUUCAUUUCGUUUCAUUUUUGUUUUGUUUUCAUUUUCAUUUCAUUUUUUAAUCUUUUGGGCUCUUUAUUCUUUUUUUUUUUCUCUUUUUCUUUUCUUCUUUUUCCUUAUUUCUAAUUUUUUUUUCAUUUCAAACAAUUUUUUUAACUUUUGCGAAUUGAAUGUUUAAAAUGUCGACAAAAAUUUCGGGUGUCAACAACCGGUACCACUAAUAUUUAUCAGUUUGACGCACUGGUGCGAGAAGUUUGAUUCUUCGACUUACUCACUUACUAGAGGGAUUCAUACUCUGUUACCACUUGUCAUGGACCGACAAUUCCCUUGGUCGUGGAAUGACCCGUGCGGCGCCUGGCAAGCGUAAUUCACUAGGCCAGACUUUCUUCUAUAACUGUUCCAGCGAACAAUACAGUGAAUGCUUCUUCAUACGAGAUCCUACCACGCCCAGCUUCGCUCGGGCAUCUAGUCUAUUGAGUGAGAGUGCAAAUCUCUUUAGGCUCAACAACUAGUUUCGGUUUGCCAUGGCCUCGUCAGGAGAGUGGCAUCAGCUCUCGACCAAUUUGUGCAUGGGAGGCCAACCCUGCCUUCAAAAGCUCCUAAGUAAUAUAAUCCUUCUAUCCGAGAAUUUAGAGCACCAAUUGUCUUGAUGCCACUCCCACGGACCAGUUGUGUUCGUCAUUUCUGCCUCUUUGCUCUUCACUUGAUAACCCCAAGCACCAUUCACAAGUGUCACAAGUACGGGAAGAUUCACAGACAGUAACAUUUAAAUGUCACCAAGAAUCCAAGGCAAGGACUUAGAACACGGAGACAAUUAAUAGAAAUGUAGUGUGUUGACGGGGCAGUAAUCUACAUUUGUACGAAACAGUGACUAGACGUGCAAGUUUUUACAGAUUUUUUUUUUUUUUUUUGGUGGAUGUAGUAUUCUGUAUUAUCAUUUCUCACAUAUGGGAUAGAUGAAGUUGGCGGAGCAUCAUCCACACUAAAGAUAAAAUUUGACACUUCCUUCAAAUAAUUCUUGAGGAGCAACGUAUAACAGGCCUAGCUCAGGGAGUGAAACACAUUCGGAGCAAGAAUCUGCCACUUCGCACAUCUCGCCAUUCAAACAAUGAAAAGCUUCCAUAAUAGAUUCCCACCCUGGCAAUGGCAACCAUCCACAUCAUAAUUGCAUAAAGAAGUCUCAACAUCGUCUUUGUAUGAUUAACAAUAUCGAAAGAAAUGGCACAAAUACAACCAUCAAACAACAAGCCAUCGUCUUUUGGCUUUCCCCAAUAAGUUGUUUACAAUACAAAAUUACUGCACCGCAUAAUAGUCGUCGUAUUCUUUAUAGUAUCCAUUUCAGUUUCAAACGUGAACAAAAGACAAACUUCGAAGCAAAAUUUAGGAGUUCCUUUCGAUGGAUUACCAAAAAAAGCCCUAGUUCUUUCAAAACCAAAUUAACUCGAAACAUAGCAAGCCAUUUCUUAUUUUCAGUUCUGCCAGCAAUCAGUAUCCGGAUUUAUCGGAUAGAGUCAUUGGCGGAUGUAGAAGAAGCAGUUCCAGUCCACGGCCCAUCAGUGAGCAUGCUCUUGGUGAUAUUCUCAUCAACUGCCUGAUCUUCGUCACCUUAAAAAUGCUUCCUCAUGGCCUCAAUUGUCUCCUCCGUUAUGAUAGCGCCCUCAGAGUCCAGCACUGGAACAGCAGCCUUGCCUUCAAGCAUGCUAACCACAGAUGACAUCGGCGGCCUGAGUGCUGGAGUUGCAUUAGUACACAGCAGAGCUACCUUUAUCAUCGCCAGCACCUCCUUUUCGUCAAAAUGAGAACCCAGCCUCUGAUCAACUAGAUCCAUCAAAUUUCCUCUCUCCUUCAAAACUCGUGCCUAGAAACAAAAAUGGAAAGGAAGAUAAUUUCCCUCAAGCUACAGGUACCGAUCAGUUGUAGAAUAUGCUCAGAAUACUAAAACGGGAGGAAGGAGAUAUAUUCUGCCCUUGAUAAUUUCAUGACAAAUGCAGUUGAUAAACACCCGCUAGUUUUUCAUCUUCGUUGUAAGUUAUAUUUGACAGGGACUAAUAAUGAUUAUUUUAGCUAAUGAUUGGCUUACUUAAAGCAAAAUAAAAUCUAUUUUUUUGACUCAAUUACAUGGAUGUGAAGAAGUCAAAUCUAAAUUGAAAAUAUAUCAAUAUUUGGGUCAAGCAUGGUCUUGAAAACUUUUUAAAUCCAAUACUAAUUGUCAAAACUGCAAAGUACUCGACCAACUUGUUUGGCGCUAAUGAAACUACGGGGAGUAUGAAUGUCCCGCAUAAAACUAUGAAGACUAAAACAAAAUCAACCCAACUUUUAAGAACCCCAAAUUUCAAUGAAUAGAAUUGUCUUCAAUCCAAAAAAGAAUCUACAUGAUCCCUUCUUUCAGCAGGCAGCCCAUUGUUUCAAGUUUCAUUGUGUCACUAGGUAAAUUCCAGUUUCAGUUUCUUAGAACCAGACUAAUCCAUGACCACCCCCACCCCAAGUCGCUCAUCUUGAGCAGGAACACCAUAGGCCGGCUACUGCAAGGAUUACUUGCUCCUUUUAAAUUUAGUAUAGACCAACAUAACAAGAAUAAUUGGAUUAAUUUUAAAUGACAAAUUGCACUUAACAGCAUGACAAUUCGUUAAACAGGUUUCAAUAGCUGGUAACUGUAACUCUCAUUUGCAACCAUUAAAAGUGCACAUGAGUAGUUCUAUUCUAUGUUCACACUUCCUUAAUCCAUCUCUCAAUCGGCACAAGCAGAGAUUUAAAUAUCAUAAUAAGAAACUUUUGAAUGCUAGAGUUAAUUACCCAAUUGAGUAGAUAAAAGCAUUUCUCCUUUUGGUAACUGGUGUUGUUGCUCCGGCCACUAACAACUUCUAAGGCAACAAUGCCAAAACUAUAGAUGUCAGCUUUUUCAGUGAGGUAACCAUGCAUCGCAUACUCUGGUGCCAUCCACUGCAUAACAAGAAAAGAGCUUGUGUUUGCAACAUGACAAAUGUCUUAAAUAGCACUUACUUAAUAUUUUAUUCCAAAGACCAUCCCUCUUAUCUUCCUAAAAUACAAAAUAAGGAGAUAUUCCUAAUCAUGACACAAUGGUCUCAACAGUCAAGGAAAAAACAAGUGCAUUCUAGAAAUUUUUUAGUAGGAUUCUGCUGAGAAUAUCCAAAACAAAAAAAAAAAGACAUUUGUGGAUUUUAUAUAACUUUCAGGGGACAUAUAGCUUAGUAGUUGGAAAACGAGUGCAUCCUUAUAACUUGGAAAAGAGGCUCAUUAACUGAAAAAAGAGUUGGAAACAGGCUGAGACAAGGUCUGAAUACAUAGGCAGCAGCAGGAGGAUUCCUAAAGCCAAGCCCAGGGGCAAGAAAACUUCUUAAUAUUGUUGUUGUCGACGUUGCUCUAGCAAUAGAAAAACAGCCUUACAUUUUCUCACUAGCUUUCUAACCCUUGUGAUUCAUGUGCUUGCUUUAUAAUUUUGAUUUUAUUCUUUUUCUGUGUGUAUACAAGUUCUAUAUGCAAAAAAAUAAUUUCCUGAUACAAUAAUCAACGGAAACAUAGGUGAAUUAGCUCUAUUGUCUAUAAUAUCAACUUAUAGCCAAAUUAACAAUUACAUAAGUUAAUAUUAAUGGUAGAAUAUGUAAUAUAAUUAACAUUUGUUGCUGAUUAACAUGAAGAGCAGCGGGAAAGGCGUGGAGCUUUGCGGUUAAGCCCCAUUCGUUGAGCACCAUGCUUUGGGAUGAUGUGAGUAACCACAGAGCUCCAUUCGACUCACUUUUCUUAAAUUAGAUAAGAUUUUUCUACUCCAUUUAGUUACUGUUGGCACGGUGAGUUUUGAACUUGACAAGGACUGGCCAGUCAACCACGCAACGAGGGGACAGUCUUCUAUGACGUUUGCAUGCAUUGGCUGUGGGAGUCUCUAGAGACAAUUAUUCGUUCUUGCCAACAUUGAGAACCCGACCACCAUGAUUUGGCAAUUUGCUUUUGCGUUCAUACUCCAUAAGGCAGAAUUUAUGCUAUUGAGCUUCAUUGAAUUUUCCGUGUCCCUCUUUUUUUUCUUGUGACAAGAAACUUUCCACGUGGACUUUUCAUCGUGUUCACAAGAAAUGUCGAUAUUUCACAUCUACACGAUAGUUCCAUGAAUGUCUUCACACAUUACACUAUGAAUGGAUCAAUACAUGCAUUAAUGCAGCUGAGAGUUGAUUCAGAUGACAAUUAGAGUAAGUGCGGGUUGGGUUGAAGAUCUUCAUUCAACUGCAAAUGUGUCAAAUGCAUGAAAAUUAUCAUAUUAGAAAGGCGGAAUAUGAUUUUCAGCAUAUAAAUAGUAUGAGUCGAAGUGUCUAAUGUGAUCUAUCUUGAAUUUUGGGAUGACCAACACAUGUUUAAAUUAUAUAUUCCUUUGUUAUAGUCCAUCAACUAGGACAUCGAUAUGUGACAAAGGAAAGUCAUCCUUAAGACUUGCUUUAUUUAGGUUGCCAUAGUCAACACAUACUCUGACCUGUCUGUCCUUCUUCAUGACUGGAACUAUGUUGGCGAUCUAGUUAGCAUAGUGAGUGAUUUCAAUGAAAUCCACUUUCAAUAGCUUUAUGACUUCCUCCUCAAUUUUCUUAGACAACUUAGCUUUCGUCCUCCCGAGUUUCUAUUUCACAGGUAGAAUAUUAGGAUUGAGUGGUAGUGCAUGUUCCACGAUCUCAGGAUCUAAAUUGACAUGUCAGUAUAAGACCAAGCGAAAACAUCUUGGUAUUCCUUUAGGAGUCUAAUUAAUCUAUCGGUAUCUGUUUGAGAAAGACCUAUCCUAAUCUUGAUUUCAUUAGGGUUUUUUUGGGAAAAGUACCAAAAAAAUCUUAAACCUAUUGCAUUGGUACCAAUUCAGUCAAAAACUUUUCAAUUGGACCAAUUCAAUCCUAAACCUUUUAAUAUUGGUACCAAUUCAGUCAAAAACUUUUCAAUUGGACCAAUUCAAUCCUAAACCUUUUAAUAUUGGUACCAAUUCAGUCCAUCCGGCCAAUUUUUUCCGGUCGACGCUGACGUGGACGUUGGCUGGUGACCGGAUGCUAACGUGGCAGUUUUUAUUAUUAUUUUAUGAUUUUUUAUGAUUUUUUAUGAUUUUUUAUUAUUAAUUUUUUAUUUUUCAUGUUAUUUUCUACCUUCUUCCUGGGGAUGGCCGGCGAGGGUCGUGGCCCUCGGCCGGUGACGCGGCUUCGCCCAGAUCUGGGCAGGGCCAGCCUCGCCCUGGCCUUGCCAUGGGAGGAGGGAGAGGAGGAGGGACGGGAAGCGAGCGAAGGACGAGCUGUGGGACUGGCACCAUCAGAAGAAGGAGAGGAGUGUGUUGGGGCGGCGGGCUAGGGUUUCAGAGGCGAAGAUCGGGCGGAGGAGCGGCGGUGUGAGGCGUGGGAGGUGGGAGACCAGGGCCUCGAAUUGGGAUUUCAUGGAGGUGAGGGCGGCGGUGACAAGGACGAGAAGCUCUGGGGUCGACAGCGAAGGAGUCGCCGGGGACUCAACGGCAAGGCUAGGGCAAGGCUAGAUCUGGGCUAAGCCAUCUCGCCUGCGGCCCUGGGCGAGGCCGAGUGAGGGUCGCGACCCUUGCUGGCGGCUGGCAAGGGCUUCGUGGCCCUCGCUUCCGCCUUGGUGAUGGCUGCCAUGGCCUUGCUAGCUGCGGGCGAGGCUGGCCUCGCCUAGAUCCGGGCGAAGCCGCCUCGCCGGCGACCCUGGAGAGGCCGGCCGAGGGCCGCGACCCUUGCCGGCGGCAGGCGAGGUCUUCGCGGUCCUCACCCAGUGGCCAGGGAGCCUCACUGGAGUCUCGCCGGCCACCGCCAGGAAGAAGCCAGAAAAUAACAGGAAAAAGAAAAAGAAAAAGAAUAAAUAAUAAAAAAAUUAAUAAAAAAUUCGAAAAAAUCAUUAAAAUAUUAUGAAAAUUGCCACGUCAGCGUUCGGCCACCGGUUGACAUGGCAGUUUUUAUUAUUCUUUUAUGAUUUUUUUUGAAUUUUUUAUUAUUAAUUUUUUUCUUUUUCCUGUUAUUUUCUACCUUCUUCCUGGCGGUGGCCGUGAAGCCCUCGCUUGCCAUCGGCGAGGGUCAUGGCCCUCGGUUGGCCUCUCCCAGGGCUAUUGGCGAGGCGGCUUCACCCAGAUCUGGGCGGGCCAGCCUCGCCCUGGCCUUGCCGCGGAGGAGGGNNNNNNNNNNNNNNNNNNNNNNNNNNNNNNNNNNNNNNNNNNNNNNNNNNNNNNNNNNNNNNNNNNNNNNNNNNNNNNNNNNNNNNNNNNNNNNNNNNNNNNNNNNNNNNNNNNNNNNNNNNNNNNNNNNNNNNNNNNNNNNNNNNNNNNNNNNNNNNNNNNNNNNNNNNNNNNNNNNNNNNNNNNNNNNNNNNNNNNNNNNNNNNNNNNNNNNNNNNNNNNNNNNNNNNNNNNNNNNNNNNNNNNNNNNNNNNNNNNNNNNNNNNNNNNNNNNNNNNNNNNNNNNNNNNNNNNNNNNNNNNNNNNNNNNNNNNNNNNNNNNNNNNNNNNNNNNNNNNNNNNNNNNNNNNNNNNNNNNNNNNNNNNNNNNNNNNNNNNNNNNNNNNNNNNNNNNNNNNNNNNNNNNNNNNNNNNNNNNNNNNNNNNNNNNNNNNNNNNNNNNNNNNNNNNNNNNNNNNNNNNNNNNNNNNNNNNNNNNNNNNNNNNNNNNNNNNNNNNNNNNNNNNNNNNNNNNNNNNNNNNNNNNNNNNNNNNNNNNNNNNNNNNNNNNNNNNNNNNNNNNNNNNNNNNNNNNNNNNNNNNNNNNNNNNNNNNNNNNNNNNNNNNNNNNNNNNNNNNNNNNNNNNNNNNNNNNNNNNNNNNNNNNNNNNNNNNNNNNNNNNNNNNNNNNNNNNNNNNNNNNNNNNNNNNNNNNNNNNNNNNNNNNNNNNNNNNNNNNNNNNNNNNNNNNNNNNNNNNNNNNNNNNNNNNNNNNNNNNNNNNNNNNNNNNNNNNNNNNNNNNNNNNNNNNNNNNNNNNNNNNNNNNNNNNNNNNNNNNNNNNNNNNNNNNNNNNNNNNNNNNNNNNNNNNNNNNNNNNNNNNNNNNAGUGGCUUCUGUUUUCCCUUGUCGGCGACCCUAGGAGAGGUCGGUCGAGGGCCGCGACCCUCGCCGGUGGCAGGUGAGGUCUUCGCGGCCCUCGCCCAGUGGCCGGCGAGCCUCACCAGAGGCUCGCCGGACACCGCCAGGAAGAAGCGAGAAAAUAACAAGAAAAAUAAAAAAAUUAAUAAAAAUUAAUAAAAAAUUCGAAAAAAAUCAUUAAAAAAUUAUGAAAAUUGCCAUGUCAGUGUCCGGCCACCGGCCGACGUCCACGUCAGCGCUGGUCAGCCAAAAUUGGCUGGAUGGACUGAAUGGGUACCAAUAUUAAAAUGUGGGGAGACUGAAUUGGUCCAAUUGAAAAGUUUAUGACUGAAUUGGUACCAAUGCAAUAGGUUUGGGACUUUUUUGGUACUUUUAUCAGGUUUUUUAAAUCUCUUAAAUUCACGAUGAUUGAUUGUUUAGUAGUGGAAGGUUUGAAUUUCUCAUGUCUGAGUCAUAGGGGUGUGCAACGGAAAUCACCCGAACCGGGACCUGACCGGACCGGACCGGACCGGCCGGUUUUAGGCGGUUCCCACCGUUGGCGGUCCGGUUCCUGGUUCCUAAUCUUGGAACCGGAGGCCGGUUGGUUUGGUUCCCGGUUCCAAGGUGGGAACCAGACCGACCAGACCGGACCAAAUUUUUUUAUAUAUAAUUUAUAUACAUAUAAUAUAUAAACACAUAUAAUAUAUGAAUAUUAUAUAUGAAACUUAUUGCAAUUACAAUUGCAAUUGAGGUAACAAUCUUCUAUGUGGCCAAGAGACCACCAAAGCUUUGUUGUUACUCUUUAUUUAUAGAGAAAACUUACUUGUUAGUUUCAUUUUUUACUAGAUGUGAGACAAGGCUCUAGGAGUUCCUCGUUCUCACACUCUCUCUCUUGCUCCCCUCACUUGCAAACAACAAGGCACUUCAAGCCUCAAAGAGUCUGAUAUCGACUAAACAUUCAAAGCAUAGAAGAGAGAUUGUCUAUAAAACCUAAACUAAGCACAACCUUUAAUCAAAUUGUUCAUGGCUUUUAUGCUUAAAAUUAAGCGUGAAACACAUAAACUGUGAUUGAUAUUCACGCAAGUGAAGUGUGAAUAUUUUGCACGUGGCGCAUGGAAACAUGUGUGAGUAGUUUUAUUAGAACGUCUGGGAACCGAAUUGGAUUGAUCGGUCCGGAGCAUGAUUUUUCUUUAGUGAAAAAGGAAAAUGCCGAUUGUGGACCCNNNNNNNNNNNNNNNNNNNNNNNNNNNNNNNNNNNNNNNNNNNNNNNNNNNNNNNNNNNNNNNNNNNNNNNNNNNNNNNNNNNNNNNNNNNNNNNNNNNNNNNNNNNNNNNNNNNNNNNNNNNNNNNNNNNNNNNNNNNNNNNNNNNNNNNNNNNNNNNNNNNNNNNNNNNNNNNNNNNNNNNNNNNNNNNNNNNNNNNNNNNNNNNNNNNNNNNNNNNNNNNNNNNNNNNNNNNNNNNNNNNNNNNNNNNNNNNNNNNNNNNNNNNNNNNNNNNNNNNNNNNNNNNNNNNNNNNNNNNNNNNNNNNNNNNNNNNNNNNNNNNNNNNNNNNNNNNNNNNNNNNNNNNNNNNNNNNNNNNGAUCGAUCACCCCUACUGAGUCACUCCCUUUCAAUAGCUCUGGGAUCAUCUUAAUCUUUUGAAUCGGAAUAACUGAGUUCUAAAGAAUCUCUUGGAUUCAAAUUCGAGCCACAUAUAUAACUAUGAUGAUAAUGCAAAGUGUCAUGCCUAAGAUGCAACCGAAAAUGGUUUGUAAAUAUAAUAAAUGCAAUGUAUACAAAUGUCAUGAAAAACUUUUUUUAAAUUUCAAGGUUUUGAAAAAUUUAUUGAGAACUUACCUUCAUGUCAUCGGACAUCCUUAUACUUACAUGCACCUAGUCUUGGUAUUUUCUAAAUUAUUUUGAUCUUAAAUGCACAUGUCAUCAUUUAAUGACAAGGAUUCAAAGACAAUGGGAGAGGUCCGCCACUUAUUUUGAGGGAGAAUUACCCAAAAAGUUUUAAUUUUUUUUUGACUAAUUUAGUCAUAAAUAUUUUACACUGGUGCUAAUUUAGUCUAUUCGACUAGUUUUGGCUGGCUGACACUGACGGUAUCGCCAAUACUAAUGCGAACAAUUUUUAAAUGAUAUUAGAUUUUUAUUUUAUUUUUUUCUUAGUCCUUUUUUUUUUCUCUCUUUUUUUCCCUACUUUAUUCCUUCUUCCUCUAGCCGGCCGCCACUGGCCAAUUGUGAGUUUCGCUCCCUCUGGCCAUUGGCGAGAGAAUCGAGGUCGGAGUUGGGUCGGUGUCACACGCGCAGGUAAAAGCGGAAGUUUACGACGGUGGUGCCUCUGGGUUCAGUUUCCAGAGAUGUUGCCUGCAUUGUUCUUGUCGUGAUUUGCUCUGUGGUCUUCGAGUGCGAUGGUCAACUCUUGGUACCAGAUGAAGGUACGCGAGAAUAACUCAGCCCUUUGCUUUAACGGCUGUCUAAGUUUUUCUUUUUGACCCACUGUUUUUGGAAUGACUGCUCUGUGAGUUCUGAUCGUGAAUCUCUUUCUUGCUUUUCUCUGUUGAGGGAUGACAAGUUAGUCAUUAUCCAUUUUGCCCUCGUAAAUGAGCCCCUUAAGGCUUUAACUUGUUUGAUUUUUUUUUUUUUUUUUUGACACUAACCUAUGACCUUUUUGGCUUUGACUCAAGAAUACAGAACCCAUCGAACAGAGUGAAUUACUGUGCUGAUGAGGUAGUAAUCCAUCUGAGGAGAAUAGUGACUAGAAAUGCAAGUUUCCGCAGAAAAAUUUUCAUGUGGAUAUAGUAUUGUCUUUUAUCAUUUCUCAAAGAUGGGGUAGAUGAAGUCAGCCGAUCAUCAUCCACACUAAAAGAGAUAAAAACUCAAAUUUUCUAAGAAUAGUUCUUGAGUAGCAAAAUCUAAUGGAUCGAGUUCGUGAACAAAACAAAUCCAAAAGCAAGAAUGUCCCACUUCGCACAUAUUGCCAUUCAAACAAUGGAAAGCAUCCAUAAUAGAUUCCCUCCGUUGUGCUGGCAACCAUCCACGUCGUUAUUGUUUGAAGAGGAAAUGUUGCAACAUUCUCUGUGUUUCAAUAACAAUAUAAAUAAAACCAUCAAACAACAAACUAUCAUCAUUUGGCUUUCCAAGUAAUUAAUUCACAAUACACAAUCACUGCACUGCAUAAAAGUCCCCGUUUUCUUUGUAGUAUCAAUACCUUCAGUUUCAAAUGUAACCCACUGAAUGGAUUACCAAAUAAAGCCCAGUUCUUUUAAGAACUAAUUAACUCAGAACGCUGCAAACCAUUUCUUCUUCUAUGUUCUGGCAGUAAUCAGUAUCCAGAGGUAUCCGAUAGAGAUCAAUAGCAGAUGGUAAAGAAGCGAUUCCGGUGCCCAGCCCUUCAGUGAACAUACUGUUGGUGAUAUUUUGACCAACUGCCCGGUCUUUGUCACCUUUAAAAUGCUUCCUCAUGGCCUCAAUUUUCUCCUCAGCCUUGAUGGCGCCCUCAGAGUCCAGCACUGGAACAGCAACCUUGCCUUCAAGCAUGCUAACCACGGAUGACAUCACCGGCCUGAGUGUUGGAGUCGCAUUAGUACACAGUAGAGCUACCUUUAUCAUCGCCAACACCUGCUCUUUGUCAAAAUGAGAACCCAACCUCGCAUCUACUAGAUCUAUCAAAUUUCCUCUCUCCUUCAACUCGCGUGCCUAGAAACAGAAAUUGAAAGUGAUAUUUCUUCCUCAAAUUUCAGGGAUCAUUAGCAGAAUACAGGAAGAAGGAAAUAUAUCCUGUCCCCCAAUAAUUCCAUCACAAAUGCAGUCGAUAAACACCUGAUAGGUUUUCAUCUUCAUUACAGGGAAUAAACAGAAGAAAAGAAUUCAAUGAGUCAAUACAGAUGAAACAUGAUUUUUUUUCACAUAUUUAGAUAAAAAGUUAGUAAACUUCAGCAUUAGUUGAUCUCUUAAUAACGGUUAUCCAGUUGCAAAAAAUUUACCAGCACCGCUUUAUAAUCACCAGCACUUAUUGAGUAUUACCAGCACGAAUAAUUUGUCAGUUUGUCAUUACAUGACAUGGUAGCAUCAUCCAUCAAUCGUUUACACCAUUAAUUGCAUUUUACUCACAAUUCCAGUUUAACAAGAAUAACUUGACUACGAAAAUUAGGUGAAAAUCAGAUUUAACAAGUACGAGCAAUGAUUAUUUUUGCUAAUGACUGGCUCACUCAAAGCAAAAUAAAUUCUAAGGACUUAAUUAGAUGAAUGUGAAAAAAAUCAAAUCUAAAUUUUAAGUAUAUGAAUAUUUGGGUCAAGAUGCAGUCCUGAAAACUUUUUGAAUCGACAGUAAUUGUCAAAACUCGAAAGUACUCGAAGGACCUUUUUGGCCGUAAUGAAACUACAGGGAGAACGAAUGUCAUGCAUAUAACUAUAAACACCAAAAUUGAACUACCCCAAAGUUUAAUGACCCAAUUUCAAGGAAUAUAAUUUUCUUCAAUCCAAAAUCUACAUGAUUCCUUUGGUCAGGAGGCAGCCCAUCGUUUUGAGUUUCAAUGUGUCACUAGGUAGGCUCCAGUUUCAAUUUCUUAGAACCAGACUAAUCUGUGGCCGCCCACAACCCCAAGUCGCAUGUCUUGAGCAUGAACACCAUAGACUGGUUGUUGCGAGGAUUGCUUUCUCCUUUUAAAUUCAGGGUAGACCAACAUAAUAAGAAUGGCAAAUGCACUUAAUGGCACGGCAAUUCAUUAUAAAUAACUGCGACGCUCCUCUGUAACCACUAAAAGUGCAUAAGAGAAGUUAUAUACUAUGCUCACAGUUCCAUCUUUCCACUGGCACAAACAGAGAACUUAAAACGGAUACGAUCCUAAUUGAAAACUUUUGAAUGCUAGAGUUAAAUACCCAAUCGAGUAGAUGAAAGCAUUCAUCCUUUUUUUGGUAACUAAUGUUGCACUGGCCGCUAACAACUUCUAAGGCAACAACACCAAAGCUAUAGAUGUCGGCUUUGUCAGUGAGGUAACCGUGCAUUGCGUACUCCGGUGCCAUAUAUCCACUGCACAACAAGAAAAGAGCUUUCAUGUGCAACAAGGCAAAUGUCUUAAAUAGCACGUACUUAAUUUUCCUAAAAUUCAAAAGAAAGAGAUAUUCCUAAUUGUGACACUAUAGUCUCAAGAGUAGAGGAAACAAAUAAGUGCAUCCAAGUGAAUCUUAAAAAUUUUCUAAUAGAAUUUACCGAGAAUAUUUUGAAAAAGACUAUUGUUGUUCCAUAUAAUUGUCAGAGUGCAUAUAUGAGUUUAUAACUCGGAAAAGAGGCACUCUGACCCAAAAAAGAGCUGGAAACAGGCUGAGCCAAUGUCUGUGAAUACCUGGGCAGCAGCCGCAGGAGGAUUUCUAAAGCCAAAGCCUAGAGGCAGAAAAGCUUCUUGUUGUCAUCGUUGUUGCUGUUCCAAUAGACAGCCUUUCACUUCCUUGCUAGCUUUCUAACCCUUGCGAUACAUGUGCUUGCUUUGUAUAUUUUGGUAUUAUUUUUUUGUAAUUCACUUGAAAGUGCAUCAUCUAAGUUGAUGUCAUGUGACACAUUUACUAAAAUUGUGUUUUUCAUACAAAGGAGUAUAUAUAGAUAAUUUAUAUUGAAAUUUCAACAUUAAGUAGUUGUUCAUUAAAUUGUUUUGCAUUGAAUUGAUUGCCAUUGGAAAACAUAAUAAAAAAAAUUAAAUUACAUAUCAAUAUAGUUCGUUAAAAUGUAUUGCAUUAUAAUUGCAUCAUAAUAAUUUCACAAGCUUUUUGUUUGAGGGGACACAUUAGGUAGGGCACACUAAAUUACCUUAUGAAAUGUUUAUCUUGAAUUGUUCCUAAUGUAGUAAAAGGAUCAUGUAGAAUAUUAUCAAUGUUUUGAGCAAAAUCUAGCAUAGGAGGAUAUGAAUUUUCCGGAAUUAUAUUAUAUUAUCUAAGUUAAUUGAGAAAACUGAACUUAAUAAUGUUGCAGUUCUUUUUUCUUUUUUUCUUUUUUGAUUGAAUUCAGGUUAGAGUUAGUAGAAUGAACUUAUAGUUCUAUUUUUUCCUAAUUAAUCACAUUAUUUUCAUCAACAAGUUUAAUUUUCGCACAUAUUAAUAAAAAUGUCUGAAACAUGUGAACAUGCUUAUUAUAUUUUUCCAUGUGAAUACAUCAGAAACAUGGGCAAACUCUACUGCCCAUAAUACUAAAUUUUUUUAAAUAACAAUUACAUAGUCAAUAUCAAAGUAUAAUUACUUAAUGGUAGAGUAUGUGACAAUUAACAUUUUUUUUCCUAAUUAAAGCGAAGAGUGGUGGGAGAAGCAUAAAGCUUUGUGGUUAAGCCACAUUUGUUGAGCACCAUGCUUUGGGAUGAUGUGAAUCCACCACAAACCUCCAUUCAACUCACUUUUUCUAAAUCAGACUAAAUGUCUCUAUUCCAUGCUAUUGUGUUGUCAUUGGCUCCUAAUUAGGUGAACAGGAAUAUAAAACAAGGAACUUACUAAGUUCCAGCAAUCUUGGUGCUAAUAUGUGUGUUGUCCUCCUCAUCAAGUUUUGCUAAACCAAAAUCUGAUAUUUUAGAGUUGAGAUCCUUAUCCAGUAAAACAUUAGUAGCUUUAAUGUCUCUAUGCACAAUCUUUAGCCUUGACUCUUCAUGAAGAUAUGCCAACCCCCUGGCAAUACCCACACAUAUCUUGUGUCUUGUCCCCCAAUCCAGCUUUAACUGAAAUUCUUCAGGACCUUCAAUUGUAUCAGAAGACAUCAAAACUGCUUUACUGCCAUGUCAUUAACUGAAGACAGUGAAGCACAAUGUGAUAUCAAAUUACCAAAUAAAGCACGAGCAAGAUUGUUAUUUUCCAUGUACUGGUAAACCAGCAAAAGUUGAUUUCCUUCAAUGCAGCAUCCAUAGAGUUUUACAAGAUGUGGAUGUUGAAGAGCAGAAAUCAUCCCAAGCUCAGUCACAAACUCACGAUUUCCUUGCUUUGAUUUGGACGAAAGCUGCUUCACUGCUAUAGUGGUGCCAUCUGACAGAAGACCCUGCAAUUGAACUUUGGCAUAAGAUUUAUGCUGUGAAGAUUUAGAUACAUUGAAUGCUGCUUUCUACAAUUCUUUUCUGUUGGGAAUUGGAGGAAGUUAGUUCACCGAUUUUCCAGCAUACCUUGUAUACAGAACCAAAACCACCUUCUCCAAUCUUAUUGGCAGCAUCAAAAUUGUUUGUGGCAGCUUUAAUCUGUCGCAAGGUAAAUGAACCAAUUUGCAAUGCUAGAACCUUCAAAUCUACACAACAUUUUGGAGCUUUUAAGAAUUUGGAGGAGUCCACAGCUAAAGUAUGCAAUCUCCUAUCUAACGAAGACGUAGCAAUUCCUUCUCAAUGUACCAGAAAACCUCAUUGUAACUACUUUGUCUGAGCAAGUUCCUGACAAUAUAUCCUAACAUCUUGAAAUUUAUUUUCUAGGAAACUCUGGCUUCGGUUGGCAGUAUGUACUUUGAAAAAUGAAAUGAGAAUGUCCUCAGGGUAUUUAGUAGUGGGGGGAAAGAAAAAUCAUAGAAAAAACUCACUCACUUUGGAAAUGUAAGGCAAGGUUGGUAUGCUUUGAUAUCUCGUACAUCCGAAGUUCCAGCAUUUUAUUUCGACAUCUUGAAACACAUACUUAGUAUACAUAUGGUCGAUUGUGCCCCCAAGGAGACCCAAUACACACACACACAUCUAAGAAACAAUCUACAGUCCUCUUCCUAUAGCUAUCUAUUUCUUCAUUUUUAAGUUUUCUAAAUAAAAAUUUAGUUCAUUAAGUGUAACAAAUGGAUCGAUGAUACUUUAGCUGUACUAUGGCCUAACAAUAAAUUGUUUUUCUUUUCUUUUUGUGUCAAAUAGAAUUCCAAUGCAAUGCACAAAUGUCCGUGGCAUCAACAGUUANNNNNNNNNNNNNNNNNNNNNNNNNNNNNNNNNNNNNNNNNNNNNNNNNNNNNNNNNNNNNNNNNNNNNNNNNNNNNNNNNNNNNNNNNNNNNNNNNNNNNNNNNNNNNNNNNNNNNNNNNNNNNNNNNNNNNNNNNNNNNNNNNNNNNNNNNNNNNNNNNNNNNNNNNNNNNNNNNNNNNNNNNNNNNNNNNNNNNNNNNNNNNNNNNNNNNNNNNNNNNNNNNNNNGGACCCAGGUAAUGGAUGAUGCAUUGUGAUUACCCCUUCCCCCACCAGACCGUCCAUUACCCAAAAAAAAACGAUAACACCCACCCCCCCCCCCCCCCCCCCCCCCCCCCAAAAAAAAAAAAAAGAAAAGAAAAAAAAGAAUAGGGAAGCGAGAAUUGAAUUCAGAAUACAAAACAUUCUAUUUCUAGAUAGAUAUAUGUGAACAAUAUAACAGAGAUUCCAGGUAUGCAAUUACCUUGUGCCAUUUCAUCUUCAUGUCCAUGACAUCCUCUCCACCAAAGGACAACCAGUAAAAGAAAAACUACAAAAACUAUAGCAGCCACAAUCCCGGCUACAAUGCCAGCAGAUAUGCUGGCUGACUCUCCCGGGAUUUCAAAUUCUGCAGUGAAGAAAGAACAACAUAUGUUUACUCACAACUGUUCAAGUAAAUGGGGCGGACAUCCAUGCAGGAAAAUUUCGGUAGCUUCUUGGUGAACACAGAAAACAAUAGAUGGGACAGCACAUUAAUUGAGAAUCAAGAGGACAUGAGAACUGCUCAGAACACUCACNNNNNNNNNNNNNNNNNNNNNNNNNNNNNNNNNNNNNNNNNNNNNNNNNNNNNNNNNNNNNNNNNNNNNNNNNNNNNNNNNNNNNNNNNNNNNNNNNNNNAAGUAUCAGAUCAAUGAGCACCUUGGAAAAUGUGAUACAUACAAAGGGAAAAAGAAUAAGAAAAAGAAAUAUAUUCUUCAUUCUCCAGGCUGUACUAUAAAAUACAGGCGCAAUAGUUGUUGAUCCGCAGCAGAAAAGCAAACGAGGCUAUAGUUUCAUGGUCUGAAUGGAAGGAUUAAAGAUACAUAGCGAAAACAUGCUCAGAUAGAAAGAAAACAAAGCAAACCAAAGCCAAUUUUCUCCCUUAAGAGACAAAUAAUAGAUAACAGUCAGCCACUAUGGAAAUUUAUCUGAUCAACUGUAACAGAUCCCAAUGGCCAGAAUCCAAAGGGGACAUUUGCAACCAAACCAAGUAACUGAAUAGCCUAUUGAUGACUUCUGGUGCAAGACCAGAAAAAAGUACUUUUUUCCAAUAUGAAUAUGAGUAACUUUCUCAACAGAGAAGCACCAAGUGAAACAUGGAAGCAUCUGUCUCCAUACCAGAAUAGAUGGAGAUAGCAGAUAUAAGAGGACCAUAGACUCCUCUCGUAGGUAUACCAUUGGUUCCUUUCCCAGCCCAAUACAAGCGUAUCUCCAGAGUGCCCUUGGUCACAUUGGCAGUAAAAUUUCUUAUGACCGGCUUUCCAACUCCACCUGCUUCAAUCUCAAUGUUGAAAUCUUUCCACACCAAAUUCCCCUGAAAUAAUGUUUAAUCUCACUCAAGUUUAGUGUCUCCACACUGACCAAGCUGAAACUAUCAGUCUCAAUAGAAUGUAGAGAUUGUGAUCAGAUCAUGAUUUGCAAAUACGAGGUAUCUAGAUAAAACAACCCAACCAUAAGAUAUUGAAUGCUUUAUAUGCUUUGCAUACUAGAACCAGCACUACAUGAUGCCCAACAAUUACCUGUAUAUAAACAUUAAAAGCUCGCCUCCCAAGGCUUCUAUAACUUUCAUUGCCUGUGAACCCUAUCUCCGCGAAAUGAAGGCUUACAUUGUAGGGCCCAUUCAUCAGACAAAAACCAUAAUAAGUUAGAGAGAUGGCAGAACGUCGUGCAUUCCUGUAAAGCUGGGCAUCAUCCUCAGACAGUACGGAUACAUUGUCAUUGUCAACUAUAUAAUUAUCAUCUUUAAUAGAGUCAUCAAGGAAGUGACCAGUGCUACUGUAGCCCCAGGAUUUUCCAAACGGGAAGGAACUUGAAGCAGGUUUAAGCGACCCUGAAUCGUCAUCGUAUGUGUUGUCCCCUAUUUUAACUUCACUCCCACCACAAUUUAUGAAGAGGUUAUGCCGAUCUGGAUGGAGUAAAGAAAUAGCCACAAAGAGAAAAAUCAAGUUUUCUUCUUUCUGUUAAUAUGGAAGGAACUUUCCAGACACACUAAAUAAACUAGCAUUGUUUAUUGGAAAAUCACAUAGGAACUCCCAAGUUUAUGAGCAAUUCAUUGUUUCACGGAGGUGGCUUUUAGAAUUUCUAGAGUAAUAAUUAUGCAUUAACCAUUAAAGAUUGACACGAUAGCCAAGAGGAGAGUUGACAAGGAGAUGCACAGAGAAUAUGAUGCAAUAUCAGGAUCUGAUGUUAAUGAUAGGAUAUACAGCAGAUCAACUUACUUUCUGGACAAGGCCGACUUUUCAAACAUGUGGCAAGCCCACUUGUGGCAGGAUAUGAGGUUCUGAGCAAGUCAACAAAGAUUUUAAUGUCACAAUCAUCAUCAUUCUGAAUGAAGUUCAAUAAAAAAAUUAAAAUGCAGGUCCUUGGAAAUCCAAGUCUCUUGGUGAAAAUUUUUCUCUCAAACAUACGCAUUGUCAACUGCCGAGCUUGCGAACAAGUUGUUGUAGAGAAAAGACAAAAUCAACAUUCAGUAGAGAAACGAAAAUUUUCUACAUCUGCAGGAUUAUAAGUUACUUAUAAAUGCACAUUUGAGGGGAGCCCUUGACUUAGACUGAAGGAAGUAGUACAUACAUAGAUCGUUCUCCACAGUCUGUGUUUGUAGCAUUGAAGUUGUUGUAUGAUAGAUCACUACACAGAGAAAUGGUCAACCGUUUCCAAAAUCUCAUCAAUUUGGAAAAUACACUGAAAGUCAUUCCGUCACAUGAUUAUAAUGUACAAAAAGGGAGACCAAUUGCAAAAUAUGGACAGGUAAGGCAAGUGGAAAGGCGAAAACAUCACAAGGUAAUGAAAGUAAUAUGUCAUCUUUAUUCAAGAAAUCUUAUCUUAAAAUAUUAAAGGGAGAAAGACUAAUUGGAGUGAACGGAGACUUUAGAACUGGUCAAAGUGCAUAAAUACAUUUUGUACCCAGUAAGAAUACAACAGACAUGAUAUAUAAGGCAAAGAGGCACAAAUAGAACUGUGGUUCCAACGACUCCUAAGUCAGAUCUUCUUAUUAGAAAUAUAUAGACCACGAUUUAUUGUUAAAACUGCCUCAUAAAAGCUUUAUCCUUAUGCCCGUAAGAUAAUAUCAACUUUCUCCUAGAUACACUCAUUUUGGUUGCAGAGUUUCUCAAAUACACAAUCCUAUAAACAUGCCCAAGCAACUAAUCAUAUUGUGCGGGUGAUGUGUUAGACAAACUUUAAAAGAGGAUUUAUAGGAAGCAAAAAUUUUCCAAAUGUCAUUUUUAUCAUUCCCAGAGGUUUGAAAAAGAUCUAGGGCUGUGAAGGGCUUUUUGUAUAGGGGAAAGUGGGGCCUAACUUGGCACUUCCAAGAAAAUCCGAUUUAUAUUCUUUCAUACAAUUCAGCCUCUUGUCUUACAUAUGACUUUCCAAAAGACAGAUCCCAACAAGGAGAAAGGUGCUUAUAAUAUCUCCAUUUAACUCCAUAGGCCACAAAUCAGAAAGAUGCAAGAUGGGAAUGCAAAAUUGCUUACUACAGUGCAAGAUUAGCGAGAUAGAGCUAGACGCAAAUUCGUAAUUAAACAAGACAUUUUCUUCGGGCAGCAAAGCUUACACAUUUUCUGCUUUCUCCAGGAGCCUAGGAGGCACUGCUCCAGUCAAUUGGUUUCCAGUCAGAUAGCUAAACAAGAUUAUUGAAAUUGAGUCAGUUCCUCAUGUACUUUUUGAACUCAAACCGAAAAAUUAUAGAGCAGAUUAUAAGAAUUUAAUUAUUAGAGGUCUAGGAAAAAAUCUGUUAACUCAUGAUAUCAAUAUAGAGCUUUCAGCUGGAGAUGAAAGAUAAAGGAAAUCGAUGACAGAGGAAAAACUUGAUCCUUGCAAAACUUGGAGAGCAUGGGUUGCUAUAACACUGGUACAGAAAGCUGAACAUUAUGAAGGAUACUUCAUACUAGCUUAUUAACUAUUUCCUCGCGAUAAUGUUCUUGUCCUUCUAAGACAUAAUAUAAAUAAUGAAGGAAGAUGUGCCAAACGGUCAAUCGUUGAGCAAAAAGAUGAAAAGAUGCGCCAUUGUUAAACAGUCCGAGAAGCUUAGGACCACAGUUUCUCAUCAUUUUCAAGACUAGGGACAAGACAUCAAGGUCCAAUCUGCAGAUCUUCUAGAUAGCGUGUAAGAACUGCACCCACCUAACAACCUAUGGCCCUUGUUGUGGAAAGAACCAAAUACAGUCCAAGAAGCUUAGGACCACAGUUUCUCAUCAUUUUCAAGACUAGGGACAAGACAUCAAGGUCCAAUCUGCAGAUCUUCUAGAUAGCGCGUAAGAACUGCACCCACCUAACAACCUAUGGCCCUUGUUGUGGAAAGAACCAAAUAGAGAGCCUAAGGACUUUUGCUAUCUUUAAUCUCCUAUACAUCAUAAAACUGGUGCACAGGACGUGCAUUAAGUACAUACACAUACAACUGUCAAAUAUUUAAGUAAUACUGAUCCAUUCAUCUCUUCCAGCAUAAACAAGUAACUCUAUUGAAACUUGUGAAUCGUGCUCUUUAAGCAACAGAAUAUCAUCGAUCUACAUCUGCUCCAAAGACUAGAGUCCCAUCAAAAUAAUUAGUUGACAACAAACAUAAAUUCAUAACCCAAAUCAUUGUAAAAUUCACACGGUGAAAUAAUAAGCAUUCAAGACACAAGGACUUUAAGGGAUAUAAACUGGAUGUGUCAUCACAGUCUAAGUUCUAUUGAUAGCUCAACUACUUUACAGUAAGAGUUGCCUAUAGCUUGGCCACUGGAACAACUUGCGAUUUUAGAUUCUUAUCUAAAAUGCGAAAAAGAAGCCUAAGUCCAGCAUCAAAGUACUUACAUAUAAUCUACAUCUACCAGGCUGCUAAAGCUGUCAGGGAUUUCGCCACUCAAUUUGUUGAAGCUGAGGUCCCUGCAAAACAAUUGAAUGGAAAGGAGACAAAUAUAAUGAGAAGAUAGUUUUAACGGACUCCUACUGGACACUCUUUGAGUAUACUUUGGAGGAUUACAGACAUAGACAACAUCAAUGAACCUACAGGUCCAGUUCAGUUGUUUAGACAUACAGGUCAACUGCCUGGUGCCUAUGUUUUCUACUAGACAUUCCUUUCCAGAGGCAUUCAUUGCAUAAAAUCCAUGUGCAUCAAGUUGGUCACAUACCAUACAUAUACAAAAAUUCUGCCGUAAAUCAAAUUUGCAACUUGCAAAUUUCAAUUUAUAUGACUAGCAAUGCUAUCCCCACAAUAAAUUGAAUGCAUCCUGUGGAAUGCAACAUAUUAUAGUUCAAAUUGGGAGAUUCCAUUUGUCUAAUAGAACCAAAACUAAAGCUAAUCAUAAUUUAUUGAACAGAUCUCCUUCGUAACAUUUUAUUCAUCAUGAAUAAAGGAAUGAUGACUACAUACUAGGAUACUAAAAGAGUAGAAUAUCAGCUUGAGUGAAUAAUAAAAUAAAAAAAUAAAAUGAGGAUUUCAAAAAACAGGAAAGCAUGAUUCUGCAGUCCAAUAUAAUUAUCAAUGGAGAAAUUACAACCUAGUCGAACCUAAAUAAAAGGAAAUGGAGUAUAUGAUAAGCCGCACAGAACCACAGAAAUUCGGUUAUUCAAAAUGUUAACAAAGAAUAAGCAUUGAUGGUUGAUGAUGACAGAAUGGCAAAAAACUGCCGUUAAAUGUAGCAUUUAUAAAAUCUUACGAAGAUGACCAGAUGAAUAAGAAGAAUUGACUUGCUUAAAGAUGCAUUUGAAGCCAUGCUCUUGUUCAAACAAAGAAUGUCAUGGCUGACAAAUAUACGACAGUCAAGCAUGAAACUCCAGUUAGAUAUUGUGGGGCUGAGACUCGAGAAUGCAAGCCACUAGAAGGAAAGUUUCCAGAUGAUCAAGCACUGGAAGCCUCCGUUGAAGUUAGAAAAUUACACAAAAAUGGGAAACACAACCAAGGUAAGAAUUCAUGUGGUUUCUAUUCGUGGAAAAGUGAAAACAAAGAGAGACAAGGUCCAUAUACUUCUGCGAGAAACUGUAUAUUCUAUGGCAGAGGCCCACAAUCACCAGGCACUUAAAUGCCACAUCACGAUUCACAAUUCAUCAAUAUCAACAGAAAAGAUCAAAACACCAUUGAAGUCAGUAAGGGACCUUCAAGCCAUCUUAAAUGGGUUCCUUAACUGCAGCCAAUAGUCAACCAUAAACUAGUAGAUUUUCAGUCAUUAAGGGUAAAAUUAUCUACUCUGCUUGGAAUAGGAAAAGGAGAAAGCCAUUUUCCACUCACAAUAUUUUUAGCUGUGUCAUUCCUGCUAGAUAACCAGGUAGCUCUCCUGUGAGAUUGCAGCUCCUCAGAAUCCUACAAGAAAAAAUCACUGAUGUUAUCACGUUGCUAAGAUGAUUUGGCUUUUUUGCAUUAAGUAAACUAUCUGUGAAGGAGCAUCGGUCUCACAGUCUCUCAAUAAUUGUACUGCUAAGUUGUGGAACUGGGGACUCAGGUCCCUCGAGGUCACUUAUGCUCCUGCAUGUCAAAAUCAAAUGGGGAACUUUAUUUGAUUGAUACCAUAUUAAAGAACGGAGAGAUCAGAUCAAAAUGCCAAACUUCCAUACUGACAAGUGAAACAAAUUCUUCAAAAGUGUGAUCCCGGAGGGAAUUGGCCCUUGCAAUCCACUUGCUUGAAUAGCCCUGAGAAGACAAUUCACAGAUUGAAUUAUUUUGCAGGUAUAUCUAUAUAGACCGACUUAAAAGGUGAAGAAGCAUUAAGCCUUACAGUCUGCUGAGAUUUGUCCAGUUCUGGAUAAAAUCAGGUAUCUGUCCCGUGAAAUUAUUAUCACCGAGUUGCCUACAGUGCAUUAAACCACAAGAUUCAUAUGAAGAAAAAAGAAUAGAAGUAUCUAGAUAUAUUAGCAGAGUUUAUGGAAUCUGGAAACUAACAGCUCCUGCAAUGCCGUCAAUUCAGCAAAUCUCGGAGGCAGCUCCCCAGUGAAAUUAUUAGACGUAAGGCCCCUGAAACAAGAAAUCCCAAUGGGAUCACAUUGGUCAAUUGAACUCGAAUGCUGAUCUCUCACUCAACAGAUCACUCCAAUUAAUAAAUUCCCCUCGCCAGACACAAAAUCAUCAGCGAAUAAACAACUCGAUGAAUGAUAUAGAAAUUUGCAUCCAGAGACUCACAAUCGAAGUAAGCGGGACAAGUUCCCGAGCUCUGGAGGCAGAGGUCCAGAGAGCUGAUUGAUGUCCACGACUCUGAGCAGAAUGAGAAUGUUAAAAUCUUGAAACUAUCAAUCAAAUUUGAAACAGCGAAGAGGCCAAACGCCAGCGUCGGGAUGAGUGGUCACUUCUCACUUACAAAACUUCUAGUGUGGAUAUGUUUCCCAGCUCCUUCGGGAUUGGACCAGUCAAUCGGUUUCCGAGCAGAGUUCUGCAACCACGUCAUCGCGUUUCCCCCAGUCAAUAGAAGAUACACUUGAGAGAGAGAGAGAGAGAGAGAGAGAGAGAGAGCACAUACAUGUUGCGCAACUUUGUAGAGCCCCAUUCUUUAGGAAUCGUGCCGCUCAGGAAGUUCCAGCUGACGUCACUGUUUACAGAGACAGAAGACUCCGACGAUGACGAGGAUGAAGAAGAAGAAGAAGAUCGAAAAUGGAGAAAGGGGAAAUGGAGAGAGAGAGAGAGAGUGCUUACAAGUUCUGGAGGAAAGGCAAUCUGAACAGUGGAGGUGGAAGAGAGCCGGUAAGAGACUGCUCCCUAAGAAUUCUGUUUUCGCAACGACAUAAAGGCUUUAUUCUAAAAUAUGUUAAUCUAAUAUUAAAGUAAUUGAUGAAAUAAAUAAUAGCAUGAUUAAAGUGAUAAUUAUAUAACAAUUCGAGCAUUAAUUCAUAUAAUUAGCAAUAAACAUCAUUAUAUGAUGAAUAACAUAAAAUCAAAUUACAACAAUUUAGAUAAUCGUACCUAAUGAUAAGCAACUGUUAUUAUCGUAUUAAUAUUUUAAUACGAUAAAUAAUCAUAUACUGUCAAGAUGAUAUUUAUCUAUCAUUUUAUAUUUUAAUAAGAAAUCGAGCGGCCACUUGUAAAUACCACUAACUUAAAUUCGAACUUUAUUGCUUUAUCGAAAACUUUAAAGAUUUUUUUAUUGUUCAAAAAGCACUUUUAGCCAAUUACCCUUAAUAAAACUAGCCCUAUUUUGUUUAGAGGUAAUUCAUUGUCAAAAUUGGAAGUUUGACGAGAAAUUGGUCAUAUAACUAAGACAUAAUUAAAAAUACAAGUCGCUACGUCUCUUCUAUUUUUUCUCUUAGCAAUUCAUUCUAUCCGUACGACGGUCACAAGAUCGGUUCGGUGUUCACAAGGUGCACAUUAACUCUAUGAAGAGAGAGAGAGAGUUACAUGCUAAUGACAUGGCAAACUUUCUUGUUGUCGGCGCCGGUGAAAUUGCAGUCACAAGUGACGGCGUCAGUAGCCAUAUUAAGCGAUGUGUCGUUGUCAUACCAUCCACUUUCUAUACUGCAUGGAUCUGCGCUGUAUUUCCAGCCUAAUUUCCUCAACGUCACUGCUAUUUCUAUCAACGCAUCCACUGAAAGAGAAAAGGGUCGACAAAUCAAAGGAAGGAACAGCAAUAUCUCAUGCAGAAUAAGGACAAAUGACGUCAAAUUCCCGUGUACUUGAGGUUCAAUAUAUGUGUAGCAUCUUUCCUUACCUCUGCAAAGAAGCAAAAACAAAUACAACUCGGUGUACGUGCGAGCCAAAAACAGGAGGAGGAAGAGGAACAAUAUGAAGAAAGCAAAACCAGAUUGUUGGGUUUCUUUAUUUUCUUUACCUUCGUCGGGAGGCAAAAGAUUGGUGGCAAUAGCUGAGUUAAUGGCGCACGAAAAGACGAGCACAGAGAAGAGAGCUCCAGGUGAGAAGAGAUUCGUCAUCAUAUCAGUCUCAAGUUCAACCCAGAGAGAGUGAGAGAAAUCUCACUCUCUUUAACCAGAGUCUAGGAAGGCAAAACUUGGCUAAGUGAGAGAGGAGAGAGAGAGAGAUGACUAUCAAGAAUGUGUGGUUUAACUUCAUGGCAUGUAUGUAUAAAAAGAGGGAGAGUGGACUUGGACUUUCGCUUGUUGUCCGUCUGUAAGUGAUAGCGAGAGCGAGUCAAGAGUGAUGGCUGAAAGUGAGAGACGAGCUGCCAAGUCUUCCUUAGAAUUGAUGUUUAUCGUGUACCUCAUAAAAGUCUUUUUAUUCUUAUCAUUUUUUCCUCUUUCAUUUUGUUCUCCCAAUAACAAUAGUCUUUUCAAUGGCUUUGAUUUUGCUAUGUCCAAGUCUCAGCAGAUUUAGGUUAUUUUUAGUCAGAAGAAGUACACUCAAGUAUCAAAACUUAACAAAAAGGGAUAUUUAAGUGCCAAAAAUUAGGAGUGGCAUUAAGUGUCCCACUUUAAAAAAAAAAAUGGGAUACUUAAGUGUCACUUCCGGUAAACCCCGCUGAAAAUCUUAAGUGACAAUUUUUUUUUUUCUCGCCUACAUGGCUCGCCGAAGAGCUAACUCAGUAAAAAAACGUAAAAUGACGUUGUUUUGGCACGAAUUUAAAUUUUAAUAUAAAAAAUAAUUAAAUUAAAUUAUAAUUUUUUUUAAAUAAAUAAUUUUUUAAAAAAAGGAAGGGAGGAAGAAGGUGGCUGAGGGCUGAGCCCUCGCUGCCAUCACCUCCCUCUUUUUUUUUUUAAAUUUUAAAUGCUUUCAAUAAAUUUAGUUUUAAAUUUAAUUAAAUUAAUUUUUAUGUUAAUUAUUUACCACGUCAACAACAAAAUGACAUCGUUUUUGUAUUUGUCUAGCCACAUUAGCGUGCAAAUCAACGUUGUUUUGCAUUUAUCUAGCCGGAAAUCACCACGUUAAUAGUUUGAUUGGAUUUUCUCACCGUCGGUAUUUAAAUGAUUCAUUAUGCUUCAAUUUUAGCAUUUAAAUGUCACUUUCCUAAUUUUUAGCACUUAAGUGUUUCUUCGUGCUAAGUUUUGGCACUUAAGGUGUCCGGCACUCUUUUUUUUUUUUUGGUAACGUUUAAUUUAUUCUUCUUUUUCAUUUCUCAGAUCAAUAACAUUGUUACAGGUAUCUGGCACUCUUUUUUAGUCUAUAAAUGGCGGAAUCCAAGUUCUCUAACUCUUCGGAAACUUCAUUAGCUUGUUGACUUAUUUGUAAAAUAAUUAGAUUCACUAUUUUUGGGACAAAUCUUUUUUCUCCUCUUUCUUUUUACUUUAGUUGUAAAAAACAGAGGUAUGGCUGCAGAGACCCGAUUAUGUGGAGGCCAAUGAAAUGCCUUGUAAUCUCUACAAACCGAUUAACUUCAAUCUUUUGGUAUGCGUGGAUAAUCUUAAAUCAUAGUUUGCACGCAAUUAAUGAUAUCAUAUAUGUUGAAUAUAAAUAAUGAAGAAAUUGUCAUGUCAAAUUCGAUAAGAAAAAAAGAAUCAUAUAUGUUGAAUUUGGAAUUCCUAGCCAGUGGACGGUAUAAUAAUCAUAAAUACUCGGACAAUAAUUGAGAUGGAUGGUCGAGGACUCCAAAACUUUCUUCACCUUGGUCUGUCCCAUUCAUUAAUGGUUGCUUGGACAUUAGCACAUCUCAAGUGUUAUCGAUGUUGACAAGUGUUUCACCCGCUAACAAUGGAAUGCAUUCGAAAUAGAUUAAUCCAAGUCAACUAAACAAGGCUAUCACUUGAGCCGCUCGCAAAAGCUAUUUUAACUAAUCCAGAUAUUACUCAAAAGUCAUACUAGAAUAAUUAUAUAUAUAGGUCAGACACGUGGAGAUGCAUGUAUCCAUGCACGACUUUGCUAUUUCUUUUUUUAUUUUUUAUUUUUUUGGGCUUCUAAAAAGUCAAAUAAUUCUUUUACCAUUCCCGGACUUUGUACAGUUAGAGAUUCGGAAAAAAAAUUAAAAUAAAAACUAUUCUGAAAAUAUCCCAAUAAACUUUUUUUUCCUUAAAUGAUGUGGUCUACAGUGUUAUCCUUUUUCGUAAAUCGGUACUAAUUUUAGCACGAUUAUUUAUUCGGCGAAUAAAAAUGAACCCAAGUCCUUGUCUCCUAGAUUUUCAGACUAAACGGUACAUCCGAGUGGAGUACUAAGCACACAAAUCAGUGAUUUUUCUGUACCUAGUCAUCAUAAAAAAGACUGAAAUUCUCCGAUUGCAAUGAAUCAUGAGUAUGUUCUAGAUUUUGGUCGAAUUUGAACCCACAUAAGGGGGUUUUGUUACUUCGACGGUAGAUACUAAUAUUUUCUUUUGACCUAACAUGGCCUCUUUUAUCUCCGUUUUUAUGUUAGAAAUAUGGACACCAACCGCAGAAAAACCGCAGCAUGUCAAAUAAAGUUUAGGCUUAAAGCAAAUAAUAAUCAUCCCUAGACUGAGCGCGUAGGGAUAUACACAAUCCCAAUGGAAUACUCGGACGCUCCACAAAUGUCCCAAAGAUGGGAUGUGCGUCUAGGACGUUAGGAAACAUGUGAAUUCACUUUUAUUAUUCUUGUGGAGUCCAUUGACCAAUGUAUCUUCGCAAUCACAAUAUCUUGAAAAAAAAGGUCAAACGCUCUCUCACAAGGUAUUCCUCAACAAUUGAUCCCUCCACAUGACAUUUGUUGCGAGCAUCGGACUUGAACCCCAUUAACAAGCCAUCACACAGAUGAUGUCCGUGUAUAAAGGAUAAAUUGAGGGAAGGAUUGCCUUCAGUAGAAUACAUGUAUUUAAUUGCACCCGUGCACCAAGCUUGACGAUUCGUCUAUUAGGUGCACCACAAAAGUAGCGAAGAAUCCGUGAGGAAAUUUUUUUCUUAUAUGACUAAAAACCAAGCUUACUUCUCGUUUCGGAAAGAAUGACGCAAAUUUAAUAAUCGCUGGUGUCUCAUACGAGAAAUCUUUCUUCUCUGGUUUCGUGUAGUGAAGAAAGACAUCAACUUUAACUUUUUGAACUUCACCAUCGUUAGAGUUUAACAUGGAACUUUCAAAGCUCACAUGUUGAAUUUAAUUGCAUUUCUUGACAAGUCUUGUGCAUGACGUCGUGCAUGGAACGGAGAUAAAAGAGGCCACGUUAGUCCAAAGCAAAGAAACGUAUUUUCCGUCAAGCACAAAACCCUCACGAAACCGUGCAGAGUGGGACAAUUUUCAUGCCUGUUUGGGACAUCUAAUAAUCAUCCCCGAGAUAUUAGGGACGGUUUGGGAAAUGGCCUGAGCAUGUUGGGAUUUAUGCUGUCCUAGUGGAAUACUGGUAUGCUCCUCUACAAACAUCCAACGAUGGUACAUGUGUAUGGGACGUUUAAAAACAUGUAAAUUCAUCUUGCCAUUCCAAUAGGAUUAAUCGACUAAUGUAUCUUCGAGAUCAAUAUAUCUAGAACAAAAGGUCAAACACUCUCUCACGAUGUAUUCCUAAAAAACGAUCCUCCGCAUAACAUUUGUUGUGAACAGCAUACUUGAACCCCAUUAACAAUCCCUUUACCCAAAAAAGAAAACCCAUUACAAUCCAUUACAUAUGGCUUAGACUAGUAUGCACGUGAAAAGGACAUCAAGAGACGAAAUUGAGGGAAGGAUUACCUUUCAAUUGGAUACAUGUAUCUAGAUUGUGUUGAUCCACCAAGCUCGCUUCAUCUUCUAAGCGAAUGAUUAGGUGAACCAUUACAUUUAAGAAUCCGGGAGGAAAGAUCUUUUCAAUAUGACUAAAAAGUAAUGCAACGCGAUCUUAGAAUUAAUCAAGCCACCAGGGAUCGAGCAUCUUGAAACAUGGAUCUCUAGAGAAUGCCGAUAACUCACAAACCACUGUCAACACUUGUUUCGGCGUGAGUUCUCUUAAAUUAGAGGGGGAUCACUACCCUUAAACCUUUGCCUUGCCAUAUGUGUUUGACAAGUUCUCAACUUGUAUACAAACCUCAACUCCGCUAAAUGUGGUUGGAGCAAAUCUCUCAAUUAAGAUAUUCUAUACUUCUGUAUAUUAUUCUGUGAUUUUGUAUAUCUUUUUUUCUUAUUGGUCUUGAUUUGUUAAUUUAGAUAGUUGUUAUGUAAAGUCUAUAAAUAAGUGCAUGUACUCUUCAUUUGAUGUUGUACAGAAUAUAAUAUUUUUCUGUUAUUAUAAUCAAUGGAUGAAGAAAAUCAAUUCGUCCAAAGAGGAUCUAGUCAGUUUACUUUGUUCUAGCCGCCUGAANNNNNNNNNNNNNNNNNNNNNNNNNNNNNNNNNNNNNNNNNNNNNNNNNNNNNNNNNNNNNNNNNNNNNNNNNNNNNNNNNNNNNNNNNNNNNNNNNNNNNNNNNNNNNNNNNNNNNNNNNNNNNNNNNNNNNNNNNNNNNNNNNNNNNNNNNNNNNNNNNNNNNNNNNNNNNNNNNNNNNNNNNNNNNNNNNNNNNNNNNNNNNNNNNNNNNNNNNNNNNNNNNNNNNNNNNNNNNNNNNNNNNNNNNNNNNNNNNNNNNNNNNNNNNNNNNNNNNNNNNNNNNNNNNNNNNNNNNNNNNNNNNNNNNNNNNNNNNNNNNNNNNNNNNNNNNNNNNNNNNNNNNNNNNNNNNNNNNNNNNNNNNNNNNNNNNNNNNNNNNNNNNNNNNNNNUUUUUAAUAACAUUUUGAUUUUUUUUAAUGGUUUUUCUUGUGACCUUGCCUAUGGCUAGAGGGAGUUGGCCAGCAACCCUUGCCUACCCUAGAUCCGAAAACCGAGAAAUAAAGUAAAAUAAAGUAAAAAAGAAAAAAGAAAAAAACCAUCUAGAAUGGAGUCGUAAAACUUUUGUCCAACUCUCUAAGAGAGAGAGAGAGGACCUCAAGUCUUCCUCUAAUGUAGGGAUAUUCCAUCUAGAAUGGAGUAGCAAAGCUUUUGUCCAACUCUUCUUACCUAAUUUUGUUCUUCUAGUGACAGUAGUCUUUCCAUUGCUCUAAGUUUCCUAUGACCAUGUCUCAAAUUUAGGCUAUUAUAUAGUUUAUUGAAGGCAGAGUUCAAAUUCCACGAUAAUUCCACGAUUCUUAGAAAGUUCAGCAACUCGUUAAGUUUUUCAAAAAAUAAUUAGAUUCACAUUUUUUUUUGGACAAAUCUUUUUUUCUCCUCUUUCUUUUGACUUCAGCUGUAACAAAUUACUAUUCUUUUGAAAAUAAUCAAGGGCUACAGCCACCAAGACCCAGCUACAUGGAGGCCAAUGAAACACCCCGCAAGUUCUACAAACCGGUUAAGUCCAAUUCUCCGGUCUGUAACUUGAUAUAAUUUGUGCGUCAUUGGUGGUAUCAUAUAUAUGGAACAUAAAUAAUGGAAAAAAGUUGUCCUAUCAAAGUUGUUACAAAAAAAAAAAACCAUAUAUGUUGAAUUUGGGAUCUAAUGUCAAUGGACAUAAUGAUAAUAUCUCAAGACUUUUUAGGACAAUAAUUUAAUUGUACAACCGUGGAAACUAAAAUAUUUGGCACCAUGGUCUAUUCCAUUCAUUAAUGGGGGCUUNNNNNNNNNNNNNNNNNNNNNNNNNNNNNNNNNNNNNNNNNNNNNNNNNNNNNNNNNNNNNNNNNNNNNNNNNNNNNNNNNNNNNNNNNNNNNNNNNNNNNNNNNNNNNNNNNNNNNNNNNNNNNNNNNNNNNNNNNNNNNNNNNNNNNNNNNNNNNNNNNNNNNNNNNNNNNNNNNNNNNNNNNNNNNNNNNNNNNNNNNNNNNNNNNNNNNNNNNNNNNNNNNNNNNNNNNNNNNNNNNNNNNNNNNNNNNNNNNNNNNNNNNNNNNNNNNNNNNNNNNNNNNNNNNNNNNNNNNNNNNNNNNNNNNNNNNNNNNNNNNNNNNNNNNNNNNNNNNNNNNNNNNNNNNNNNNNNNNNNNNNNNNNNNNNNNNNNNNNNNNNNNNNNNNNNNNNNNNNNNNNNNNNNNNNNNNNNNNNNNNNNNNNNNNNNNNNNNNNNNNNNNNNNNNNNNNNNNNNNNNNNNNNNNNNNNNNNNNNNNNNNNNNNNNNNNNNNNNNNNNNNNNNNNNNNNNNNNNNNNNNNNNNNNNNNNNNNNNNNNNNNNNNNNNNNNNNNNNNNNNNNNNNNNNNNNNNNNNNNNNNNNNNNNNNNNNNNNNNNNNNNNNNNNNNNNNNNNNNNNNNNNNNNNNNNNNNNNNNNNNNNNNNNNNNNNNNNNNNNNNNNNNNNNNNNNNNNNNNNNNNNNNNNNNNNNNNNNNNNNNNNNNNNNNNNNNNNNNNNNNNNNNNNNNNNNNNNNNNNNNNNNNNNNNNNNNNNNNNNNNNNNNNNNNNNNNNNNNNNNNNNNNNNNNNNNNNNNNNNNNNNNNNNNNNNNNNNNNNNNNNNNNNNNNNNNNNNNNNNNNNNNNNNNNNNNNNNNNNNNNNNNNNNNNNNNNNNNNNNNNNNNNNNNNNNNNNNNNNNNNNNNNNNNNNNNNNNNNNNNNNNNNNNNNNNNNNNNNNNNNNNNNNNNNNNNNNNNNNNNNNNNNNNNNNNNNNNNNNNNNNNNNNNNNNNNNNNNNNNNNNNNNNNNNNNNNNNNNNNNNNNNNNNNNNNNNNNNNNNNNNNNNNNNNNNNNNNNNNNNNNNNNNNNNNNNNNNNNNNNNNNNNNNNNNNNNNNNNNNNNNNNNNNNNNNNNNNNNNNNNNNNNNNNNNNNNNNNNNNNNNNNNNNNNNNNNNNNNNNNNNNNNNNNNNNNNNNNNNNNNNNNNNNNNNNNNNNNNNNNNNNNNNNNNNNNNNNNNNNNNNNNNNNNNNNNNNNNNNNNNNNNNNNNNNNNNNNNNNNNNNNNNNNNNNNNNNNNNNNNNNNNNNNNNNNNNNNNNNNNNNNNNNNNNNNNNNNNNNNNNNNNNNNNNNNNNNNNNNNNNNNNNNNNNNNNNNNNNNNNNNNNNNNNNNNNNNNNNNNNNNNNNNNNNNNNNNNNNNNNNNNNNNNNNNNNNNNNNNNNNNNNNNNNNNNNNNNNNNNNNNNNNNNNNNNNNNNNNNNNNNNNNNNNNNNNNNNNNNNNNNNNNNNNNNNNNNNNNNNNNNNNNNNNNNNNNNNNNNNNNNNNNNNNNNNNNNNNNNNNNNNNNNNNNNNNNNNNNNNNNNNNNNNNNNNNNNNNNNNNNNNNNNNNNNNNNNNNNNNNNNNNNNNNNNNNNNNNNNNNNNNNNNNNNNNNNNNNNNNNNNNNNNNNNNNNNNNNNNNNNNNNNNNNNNNNNNNNNNNNNNNNNNNNNNNNNNNNNNNNNNNNNNNNNNNNNNNAGGGGAAGUGCUUCUGCUAUACCUUGAUACUAUCGCUAUCUUUUUUUUUUUAGAUUAGAGGAACCGCCUCACAGCGAGUGCUCGGUGUAAACCCCCGGGGGCUCUGGCGCGGGGACCCACCUCCCAUGGCACCCCUCUUAAGUCGCGCUUUAAUGCGUACGUAGUGACUUGAACCUCCCCCUUCCACAAUUAGGGCCCGUUUGGUUCAACUUUCGGGAAAUGCACUUGGGAGAAUGCAAAUAUCUUUGAGAUAAAGGGGUUUCCCGAAAUGCUACACUGUUUGGUAAAUUACAAUCUCAAGUAGCUUUGAAAAGCAAAGACACCGUUUGGCAAAACUUGCAUUUCCAAUUAGCUUUUGCUAUUUUUUUAUUUUUUUAAAGUCUGAAAAUAAAAUCCGGUGGCCGGCAGACUGCCGGCGAACAGCCGGACGGCCAAUCUGGCCGCCGGACCGCCAGAUCUGGCGGCCUGAGGUCGCGGAGGCCAGAUCUGGCUGUCGGACCACCAGAUCUGGCCUCCCGACGGCCAGAUCUGGCGGCGUCGCCUGCUUGCGCGACCCAGGCGGUGCCGCCUGAGGUCGCACGGACGCAGGCGGCAUCGCCUGGUCGCGCGACCCAGGCGACGCCGCCUGAGGUCGCGCGGACCCAGGCGACGCCGCCUGAGGUCGCGCGGACCCAGGCGACGCCGCCUGAGGUCGCGCGGACCCAGGCGACGCCGCCUGAGGUGGGGCGGACCCAGGCGACGCCGCCUGGGUCGCGGGUCGCGACGCCGCCUAGGUUGCGGUCGCGCCACCUAGGCGGUGGUCACUGGGGACGCGCGACCCCCGCGGUGGUGGUGGUUGCUGGAGAAGCCGAACUCUGAGGCGGCGGAGAAGAAGAUGAGCCGAGCGGAGAAGAAGAUGAGCCGAACAAGAAGAUGAACAGUAAUUUUUGCAUUUCUGGAAUGCCCAAUGCCCAAUGCUGCCCUUCCCCAGCUUUCAGCAUUCAGCCUUCGGAAUGCUCAUAUUUGGGCAAAGGGGCUUUCAAAUAUUUUGCCAAACACUAAAAAUUUCCCCCGAGGGGCUUUGGGGGCUCAAAGCCCCUUGGGAAUGCCCAACCAAACCGGCCCUUAGAGGGGGAAAGGCCGAACCAACUCGUCCACAACGGGGUGGGUUAAUUGUAUUUAUAUCAAUUAAGUCGUAAAUUUUUUAAUUGUAUCAAUUCAAUUCUAAACUUUUUAACAAUUGCUAAUAUAAUCCUGAUUGGCAGAGGAAGAAGGAAAAAGAAAAGAAAAUAAAAUAAAAUAAAAAGUUAAAUAAUGUGGAUUUUAAAUUACAAAAAUUAUCUACAUAAGCGUCAGUUGUGCCACAUAAAAUGACUAGUGGGCACGUAUGAUAUCCACAUCAAUAAUUUCCUAUCGAGAUUAGCCAAUGAAUUUAAUUGAAAAAAAUUAAAGAUGUUUAGGACUCAAUUACCAUAGUUAAAAAGUUUAUGAUUAAAUUAGUAAUAGUCCAAUAUAUUUAUGAUUUAAAAAAAAAAAUUCCAUCUUUCUCGAGCUGCUCAUAAAAGCUCUUUUAACUCGGUCCACAUACUACAACAAUUAAUUACUACCAGAAAAAGUAAUAUGUAUAGAUCAGACACGUGUGGAGAUGCAUGUAUCCAUACUUGACUGUCAUUGUUUUUGGCUUCUAGAAAAGUUCAAUAAUUUUUUAACUCAAAUAUUUGAAAAAUUAUAAAAAUAUUAUAUGAGAACUAUUAUGACAAAUGAAAGGUUUCAAGUGCUUAUAAUUUUUUUUAAGUCCAAAUUAUGUGCGUAGAGAUUUAAAGAAACUUUUAACUGUUUAGAUAGUCAUAGUAAAAAAAAAAGGCUGAAAUUUUCCAACUACGGGACGAGUCAUGGAAUCGUAGGGCCGGCCCUUUUUUUCUACCCCCGGGCCGGAGGGGGGGUGUUGUGUCAAAAGUCUAAGACUUAGAUCAAAUAAUAAUGGUUCCACGGACGACGUCAGGCACAAGACCAUCUUCUAUGUAUGUCUAAUCAGAUUAAUGUUGAGUGGUUGGGGGUUAUCUUAAUACUGUCAACCAACGUAGUUUUAUUCAACACGCAAGUUUGGUGGCUUUGAAAAUUCCAAGUUAACUUUAAGCGAUGCAUUCUAAGCAUGGAAUCUCGUCACUUAUCUUGAAGUCUUUCUUGACUACAAGAAAACCAUGUAGAUUGUAACCAUUUUUUGUUGGAUGUUUCAAUAGUCUUGAAAUUUUGAAAGCCAUUUUAUUUUUAACGAUUUUCGACCGUCAUCAAUUUAUAACUGUUUUUGCCCGCCAUUAAUUUAUAAUGGGUUUAUAAUGUUUUCUAAAUGGUUGGAGCAGAUCUCUCAAUUAGAUAAAUAAGAAAAUAGUCAAAUCUCAAUCACCUCUCUUUUUUAUCUUCUAAUUAAAGAUAAGAGAUUUCUCGAGCCCUAAUUAGUCAACUAGAUUGUUAGAGAUAUAUUAAAAAUAUUAUGUGAUUCUGUAUAUUAUUAUGUGCUUAUGUAUAUUUUCUUUGAUUGGUCUUCAUUUGUUACUCUAGAUAGUUAUUAUAUUAAGUCCCAUUGAAUAGGCUCAUAUACUCUUUAUUUGAUGUUUUACAGAAUAUUACAUUUUUCAGUCACUAUAAUUCUCCAUUUGGAUGAAAAAAUUAAACUCCUCCACAGUAGAACCUAGUCAGUCUACUUGCCUAGCCGCCGAAGCAUUAUUAGUACACCACACUAUGAGGUCGCUUCCUUAAAGGUGAUUCGAUGUUUGACCUUUUAAUUACUUUUUUUUUUGGUCGAAAACCUUUUAAUUACUAUUGGCAUGGUGAUUUUUUAACUCGGCUAGAACUGCCCAGUCAACCAAGCAACAAGGGGACCAUCAUUUAUCGAUGGUAAUGUUCUACGAUGAGAAACAUGCAUGCAUGCAUUGACGACUGGAGUCUUUGGAGACAAUUAUUCGUUCAUGUCGACAUUGAGAACCUGACCUCCAUGAUUUGGCAAUUUGCUUUUGCGUUCAUACUCAAUAAGGCGAAAUUUAUGCUAUUGAGCUUCUUUGAAUUUUUCAUGUCCCUCUUUUUUUCUUGUGAUAGGAAACUUUCCAUGCGGACGUUUCAUCAUGUUCACAAGAAAUGUCGGUCUUCCACAUAUGCAUGAUGGUUCCAUUAAUGUCUUCACACAUUACACUGUGAACGUAUCAGUACAUGCAUUAAUGCAGCUAAGAGUUGAUUAAGACACCAAUGAGAGUAAGUGCUGGUUGGGUCAAAGAUCUUCAUCAAUUGGUGAAUGUGUCAAAUGCGGUUAAAUUAUCAUUUUUGGUAGGCAGAAUAUGAUUUUCAGCAUAUAAAUGAUAUGAGUCAAAGUGUCUAAUGUGACCCAUCUUAAAUUUUGAGAUGGCUGACAUGUAUUUAAAUUCUCUAUUCCUUUAUUAUACUCCAGCUCGAUUUACAUUUUCUUAGUCUUGAUCCUUUCUAAUUUAUUUUCAUCUUAAAUGCACUUGUCAUCCUCCAAUGACACGUAUUAAAUGAAAUGCGACUAGAUGAGGUCCGCCACUUUUUUUAGGGAAAAUUACAAAAACAGUCAUCAACUUUUUUUUUUUGGGUCAAUUUAAUCCUAAACCUUUCUCAUUUGUUCUAAUUCAAUUAAUCCAGUCGGUUUUGGUUGGUCAGCAUCAGCCGUUUGGCCCAUCCUGAUGUGAACAAUUUUUAAAUGUUAUAUUGUGAUAUCCUGAUUUUCGAGUCUGAUUUCGAUGAGAUGAAAUGGACUUUUCAUCGACGUGCCUAUAGCAUUUUUCUUUGAGUUGGCCACUCACGAGUUAACUAGCCUAUCAUGUGAAGCCAUUAAGGAAUCUAAACGCAAUAGACAUGAGAAUUCGACCAGGAAUCGACUGCUCGACCAUGCUAAUCUGCAAGGGUCAUUACAACACACCGACAAAAUCGAUUAGAGACCGGAGAUAGGUCGAUUUGAGAGAGGUAUGUGAUUAGUGCGUGGGUGAUUCCACCUAAUUGCAAAUUUUUUGUCGAACAGUACUAGACCGAUUUUUCUGUCAUUUCUAUACCCGGUGUCCGUAUUUGAAAUCUCGAGAUUUUUACGAUAAUUGAGUUGCCAAUAUGUCGAAGACGUACAACUUGUCUCGAAAAUAAUCAACCACGGGCCAAUUGCAUUAAAAAUUCAUAAAAGCUACCUAGUAUAUUAGGAUGUGCUAAAAUCACGUCAGAAUGAAAUUCACUGCGAAAUUGAGCUCAAUUUUAGAAAUUGAAAGUUCUGUCGUGUCACAAUUCGUUUUAGGAAUGUCAGCUCAUCUUCCGAAAAAUUUUCAGAGAUUUCAGGAUUUUUACGGAAAAUCGAUUCGGAAAACGAACGGAAAUUCGGUUUAGCUCAUUUGAAGGGAAUUUCAACUUCUAAGCCGUGCUGCUGGAUGAUUGGAAUUUAUGGACAUGUGUGGGAUUUUUCUUCAAUGAAAUGGGACUUCGAAUUGGAGGAAUUGAAGAAGAAAUUGAAGCUGAAGUUGAGUGCCAAAAAUGUGAAAUUCGGAUCUUUGGCUUGAGGGCUGAUUUUUGGCAUCAAGUUGGUUAAUUCUUGGAUUAUAUUUGCUAGAAAGAAAUAGGAGGACAAGGUUUGAAUGCCUAUAUAUUUAUCUUUGACCAAUUCCCUUGUUCCAAUCUCCUUAGCGGAUCCAUCCAGCUGCGCUUCACGGACGCUGCUUCUUUUCCAUUUCUUCGGUGCAGCUUCCUCCACGUCGCCAAAGACCGCUGCUUCGGUCUCCUUUAUGCGCCGCCCCUUCGAAGCCGACAUCAUCAACUCCUGCUUAUCUUCAUUUUUUUACCUUCAUUUCACCCUCUCUUCCACGUGCUGCUCCAUUAAAAUUUCCCCUCACACCGUGAGCUUCAAGCUGUUGUGAAGACCGAAGCCACUCAUCCCCUUCUCCACUCACACACGCCCACCACCACUCACUGAUUUCCCUUUUGCAAGCCACGCAUCAACUUCGGUCAACUAAAGAACUCCUUUCGCCCAUUGUAGACUCUCCUGCGAGCGGCCCACUCGUCCAAGCAUCCACUUCCUUCGGUUGAAGCCCAGCAAAAGCCACGCCGUUGAUUUCUGCAUAUGCUGCCUUCACGCCCGCGACCCAGCUUUCAUCUUCACGAAGCCUCUCUGUUUUGUUGACCGCGAAACCCCACAUCUCGCCGUUCCCUUCCACCGAAGCAUCACCGGGUCUUCUCCUCAUAGGGCCACGAAGACAACUUGCUUUGAUUGUUGACCGCCAGCUCGCCCGUGGGGUCUCCUCGAAGCCGAGCUUUGUUGCCGCGGCCCGCUCGUCCAGCUUUCGUAAUUCAAGAUCAAGCUCAGCUUUGCUGAGCUGUUUUGGACCUGUUUUGGCCGGUCCAAGCUUCUGUCGGCCUCGCCGUGAGUUCAAGUUCUAGCCGCCGUCGCGCCGCCGUCGCCGUGAGCCGAUUUUCGUGCUAACCGGUGAGUUGCGUUCUAAUCCUUUAUUAGUGGGCUAAUGACACUUGGAGGUGUGUUAGUUAGCUAGUUGGUGGAUUAGUUAUGUUAAUUAGGCUUAUGAUGGCUUAGUUAGAUUAAGUAUAUAGUUAGUAGUUAGUUAGUUUAUUUAGUUUAGUUAAAUGGAUGAGUUAGGAAUUAGUUAGUUUAUUUAGUUAGUGUACUUAGAUUAAAUUAUAUAGGAUGGUUAGAUUUAAUUGUUAGUUAGAUAAUUUAGUUUAGUUAGUUUAGGUUAACUUAAUUAAAUGCUUUAAAUUUAUUUAUUUGUAAUUUAUUUAAUUUUCGGUAAUUUAUUUAAUUAUUAAUUAUUUUCUAGAAAUUAGACCGGGGUAGCCGGUGACCGGAAUUUGUACUGAUUGCAAUGGUGCGUUCAAUUUAUGCAAUUGGAUGUUAAUUUGUGCAAAUUGAGUGCUGAUUGGAAUUUUGAAUAUUUAAUUCCAAAAUUUGUGAAAUUUGAUAUUUAUUCCAAAAAUUCUGGAUGUCGAAUUUUAAUACCAAAAAUGGUUUUAUAUACUAUAUAAAAUAGUAGGAUUUUAAAUUGGAGAUUAUGAAUUUUUUGGGUUCAAUCUGAUCGUGUACCUACACAUGACUAUAUUACCGCGUAUUUCUAAUUCGAAGAAAAUAGGCCAGGUUCACUAUUUUAAUUGAGAUAUUUGAGUGCAUUGCACAAAGUCCUGGGCCGAGAUUGAUUAGUCGUGUGUUGGUUAAGAGAAACCGUCUUGGGCUGUUAAGCGGGACGUUACUCAUUCAUUGGGACUCGGGUCGCAGUAGAUUCUAGACCUACGCCCCUUCAAAGAAGCCGUCUAAUUAAGAGACGUCGCCAUGCUCAAAGGGGGUGAGACGACACCUGGCAAUGCCAGAAGACCGCCAAUUUUGGAGUUGGCCAUACCUUAAGGGGUGUAAUUAACAAUUAGAACGCAUGAUUGUUGAGUUUGAUGCACCUGAUUAUGAGAUCAAAAUUAUGUGGCAUGGAACAAGUUCUUUGUGAUUAAUUGAAUUGAUGAGGUGUUCCAGUUGUUAUAUGCAUUACGAUAUGAACUGUACUGACGUGCAGGAAGGAAACUGAGGCAAGGAAAGUCCUCUGUGUUAAGUGAGUGGUUGUGUGGUUAGGACACUUCCAAGUGUAUUUCCCUUCUAAUCGGAGUUUAGACCGUAAGCUCGCUGAGAUUUAUAACUCACCCCGUCUCGGGCUUAAAAUUUUCAGGGCCAUAGAAAGAGGACCUGGAGCUAAGCUGAGGUGACCUAAAGAGUGGGUCAGAUAGGACAACCUCUUUUUGAGAACUGGUCUUUUGGUUAUAGACUUGUGUAAAUGACUCAGUAUGUUUAUAAAAGUGUGGUUUGGUUGUGAAUGUGAUAUCCUGCUUUUCUAUUCCGAAAUGAUUACUGUCAGGGAAUUUAUUUUUGCUUCUGCAUGUGUAAUAAAAUGAAAGGGUCGGCGACUCAUCCUGGAAAGUCGCAUAAUUUUUAUUGACCAGAAGGAGAUGGACACGCGCUCGAGGAUUGGGGCGUGACAUAUAUUAUUUUUUUUUCAAUUUAUUUAUUUAUUUCUUUUCUUUUCUUUCUCUUUUUUUCCCCUUCUUCAUUCUUCCUCUGGCCGGUCGUUGCUGGCCAAUUGCGAAGCUCGCUCCCACUGGCCACCGGCGAGGGAAUCGAGGCCGCAGUUGGGUCGGUGUCACGCACAGGUAUAAGCGGAAGUUAACGACGGUAGUGCCUCUGGGUUCAGUUUCCAGCGAUGUUGACUGCACUGUUCUUGUCGUCAUUUGCUCUGCAGUCUUAAGCGUAUGAUGCUCAACUGUUGCCACCAGAUGAAAGUAAGCGAGAAUAACUCAGCCCUUUCCUUUAAUGGCUGUUUAAGUUUUUCUUUUUGACCCUCUGCGUUUGGGAUAAUUGCUCUGUGUGUUCUGAUCGUGAAUCUCUUUCUUGCUCCUCUGUCGAGGGAUGACAGGUUAGUCAUUAUCCAUUCCCGCCCCCGCCUCUCAAAUCUCAGGGUGGGCAAAUGAGCCCCUUGAGGCUUUAACUUGUUUUUUUUUUUUUUUUUUUUACAUUAACCUAUGACCGCUUUUGGCAUUGACUUAAAAAUACAGAACCAUUGAUGGAGUGAAGCACUGUGCUGAUGAGGUAGUAAUCCAUCCGAAAAAAAUAUUGACAAGUUUCUGCAGAAUUUUUCAUGUGGAUAUAGUAUUGUCUUUUAUCAUUUCUUAAAGAUGGGAUAGAUGAAGUCGGCCGAUCAUCAUCCAUACUAAAAGAGAUAAAAACUCAAAAAAUUUCUAAGAACAGUUCUUGAGUAGCAACAUAUAACGGGUUGGGUUCGUGAAUAAAACAAAUCCAAAAGCAAGAAUGUCCCACUUAGCACAUAUUGCCAUUCAAACAAUGAAAAACUUCCAUAAUAAAUUCCCUCCGUUGCGUUGGCAAGCAUACACAUCGUUAUAUUUUAAAGAGGAAAUGUUGCAACAUGCUCUCUGUUUCAAUAACAAUAUUACAAAUAAAAAAAAAACCAUGUAUACAACCAUCAAACAACAAACCAUCGUCAUUUGGCUUUCCAAGUACUUAGCUCGCAAUACACAAUCACGGCACUGCAUAAAAGUCCCCAGUUUCUUUGUAGUAUCAAUACCUUCAGUUUCAAAUGUAAUCCACUGAAUGGAUUACCAAAUAAAGCCCAGUUCUUUCCAGAACUAAUUAACUCAGAACGCUGCAAACCAUUUCUUAUUCUAUGCUCUGGCAGUAAUCAGUAUCCAGAGGUAUCGGAUAGAGAUCAACGGCAGAUGGUAAAGAAGUGAUUCCAGUGCCCGACCCUUCAGUGAACAUACUGUUGGUGAUACUUUCACCAACUGCCUGAUCUUUGUCACCUUCAAAAUGCUUCCUCAUGGCCUCAAGUUUCUUCUCAGCCCUGAUGGCGCCGUCAGAGUCCAGCACUGGAACAGCAACCUUGCCUUCAAGCAUGCUAACCACAGACGACAUCACUGGCCUGAGUGUUGGAGUCGCAUCAGUACACAGCAGAGCUACCUUUAUCAUCACCAACGCCUGCUCUUCGUCAAAAUGAGAACCAACCCUCGCAUCAACUAGAUCUAUCAAAUUUCCUGUCUUCUUCAACUCAUGAGCCUAGAAACAGAAAUGGAAAGUGAGAUUUCUUCCUCAAAUUUCAGAGAUCAUUAGCAGAAUACAGGAAGAAGAAAAUAUAUCCUGUCCCACGAUAAUUCCAUCACAAAUGCAGUCGAUAAACACCUGAUAGGUUUUCAUCUUCAUUAUAUGGUAUAAACAGAAGAAAAGAACCGAAUGAGUCAAUACAGAUGAAACAUGAUCUUUUUCACAUAUUUAGACAAAAAUUUAUUAAACUUCAGCAUUAGUUGAUCUCUUAAUAACGGUUAUCCGGUUGCAAAAAAAUUACCAGACUGCUUUAUAAUCACCAGCACUUACUGAGUAUUACCAGCACGAAUAAUUUGUCAGUUUGUCAUUACAUGAAAUGGUAGAAUCAUCCAUCAAUUGUUACACCAAUCAUUGCAUUUUACUCACAAUUCCAUUUUAACAAGAAUUACUUGACUAAAAUUAGGUGAAAAUUAGAUUUAACGGGUACUAGCGAUAAUUAUUUUCGCUAAUGAUUGGCUUGCUCAAAGCAAAAUAAAAUCUAAGGACUUAAUUAUAUGCAUGUGGAAAAAGUUAAAUCUAAAUCGUAAGUAAAUGAAUAUUUGGGUCAAGAGGCAGUCCUGAAAACUUUUUGAUUCAACAGUAAUUGUCAAAACUCAAAAGUACUCAAAGGACUUGUUUGGCCCUAAUGAGACUACAGGGAGAAUGAAUGUCACGCAUAAAACUAUAAACACCAAAAUUGAACUACCCCAAAGCUUAAUGACCCAGUUUCAAGGAUUAGAAUUGUCUUCAAUCCAAAAUCUACAUGAUUCCUCUGGUCAGGAGGCAGCCCAUCGUUUUGAGUUUGAAUGUGUCACUGAGUAGGUUCCAGUUUCGAUUUCUUAGAACCAGACUAAUCCGUGGCCACCCCCAAUCCCAAGUCGCACGUCUUGAGCAUGAACACCAUAGACUGGUUAUUGCAAGGAUUACUUUCUCCUUUUAAAUUCAGUGUAGACCAACAUAAUAAGAAGAGUUGGAUUAUUCUGAAAUGACAAAUGCACUUAAUGGCACGUGCAAUUCGUUAUAAAUAACUGCGACGCUCCUCUGUAACCACUAGAAGUGCAUAAGAGAAGUUAUAUACUAUGCUCACGGUUCCAUCUUUCCACCUGCACAAACAGAGAUUUAAAAACGGAUAUGAUCCUAAUUGAAAAAUUUUGAGUGCUAGAGUCAAAUACCCAAUCGAGUAGAUGAAAGCAUUCGUCCUUUUUUUGGUAACUAAUGUUGCACCGGCCACUAACGACUUCCAAGGCAACAAUACCAAAGCUAUAGAUGUUGGCUUUGUCAGUGAGGUAACCACGCAUUGCGUACUCUGGUGCCAUAUAUCCACUGCACAACAAGAAAAGAGCUUUCAUGUGCAACAAGGCAAAUGUCUUAGAUAGCACAUACUUAAUUUUCCUAAAAUUCAAAAGAAAGAGAUAUUCCUAAAUGUGAUGUUAUGGUCUCAUGAGUAGAGGAAACAAACAAGUGCAUCCAAGUGAAUCUUAAAAAUUUUCUAAUAAAUUUUACCGAAAAUAUUUUGAAAAGAAAAAGACCAUUGUUGUUCCAUAUAAUUGUCAAAGUACAUAUAUGAGUUUAUAACUCGGAAAUAGGCACUCCGACCAAGAAAAGAGCUGGAAACAGGCUGAGCCAAUGUCUGUGAAUACGUGAGCAGCAGCCGCAGGAGGGUUUCUAAAGCGAAAGCCUUGAGGCAGAAAAGCUUCUUGUUGUCAUUGUUGUUGCUGUUCCAAUAGACAGCCUUUCACUUCCUCGCUAGCUUUCUAACCCUUGCGAUACACGUGCUUGCUUUGUAUAAUUUGGUAUUAUUAUUAUUUUUUUAAAAUUCACUUGUAAGUGCAUCAUCUAUGUUGAUGUCAUGUGACACAUUUAUUAAAAUUGUGUUUUUCAUACAAAGGAGUAUAUAUAGAUAAUUUAUACUGAAAUUUUUAACAUUAAGUAGUUGUUGUUCAUUAAAUUGUUUUGCAUUGAAUUGAUUCCCAUUGGGAAAACAUAAUUAAAAAAUUAAAUUACGUAUCAAUAUAGUUCGUUAAAAUGUAUUGCAUUAUAAUUUUAUCAAAAUAAUUUCAUAAGCUUUUUGUUUGAGGGGACACAUUAGGUAGGGCACACUAAAUUACCUUAUGAAAUGUUUAUCUUGAAUUGUUCCUAAUGUAUUAAAAGGGUCGUGUAGGAUAUUAUCAAUCUUUUGAGUAAAAUCUAGCGUAGGAGGAUAUGAAUUUUCCAGAAUUAUAUUAGAUUAUAUAAUUUAAUUGAGAAAACUGAACUUAAUUCAUGUUGCAGUUCUUGUUUUUACUGAAUUCAGGUUAGAGUUAGUAGAAUGAACUUACAGUUCUAUUUUUUCAUAAUUAAUCACAUUUUUUUUCAUAAACAAGUUGAAUUUUCUCACAUAUUAAUGGAGAUGUGAUGCAAGCCUAGGUAGGCUUUCUCAAACAAUAGGAUCGGGAGAGUGACUCGCACACGGAAACAGGACAAACAGGAAUUUCAGCACCACGCAAGCUCAGGAGAACAGUUGUAUCUUUGUUGAUACAGAUCGGAUCGACUUGAUUCUAAAGCCAAAUGAACAAAGACUUCUGGAUCUACAAUUUAUCUGUUUUGGGUUUUCUGAAAUAAGCACUGUAGGAUAGUCGAAAUUGGGUUGGAAAUAACGAACAGAAUAUGAAAAGAUAGAAACUCCGUUGGUUGCUCUUCUAGGCCUCCAAGGAAGUUGAGGGGGCACCGAUUCUUCAAGAUCGAUGACUGCAACUCUUCAAGGAUGCAGAUUUCAAAAGCUCCGACUCUUCAAGGACGAAGUGAAAACUCUUCUAGGUUUUCAAGGGUUGAACUCUACAAGGUUCACGAUACUUGCUUCAAGCAAAGUUUUUCAUUCAUCAAAAGCUAUCCGUCUUCUACAAGAAAUUGGGCUUAUAUCGUCAAAGAAAUAAAGACGGAGCAUUGAAACUAGGAGAAAUAAAGACAGAACAUUAAAACUAAGAGAAAUAAAGAAGGACAUUAAAAUUAGCAGAAAUAGUAAAAGCAUAACGUUUUCGUGGCAAGGUGUCUUUCCAACUUCCGGGAUGGACUCAAAAUGUCGUUAUGGCUUCUCGGUUUCAUCGAGCUUUAAUGCGGGCCGAUCUUCUUGGUCGAGAGAGCCGGUCUUCAAUGUAGGCUGCAUCAUCCUCCCCAUCUUUAAAAGAAUUCGUCCUCGAAUUCUUGCCAUCAUCAUCAGAAUAAUCUCCCACCCUACUAGGUGCCAAUGUAAUCUUCUUGCCUCCAAAUUCAAAAGAAUAUGUAUUUCGAUAACCAUCAUGCAUAGUCCUCUUAUCGAAUUACCAUGGUCGACCAAGAAUAAUGUGACUAGCAUCCAUUGGCAGAACAUCACACCAUAUUUUGUCACUAUAAACAGAACCAAUGGAUAGAUUAACAAGGCAUCGUUUUGAAACAGUUACCUCAGCACCUAUCUUCAACCACAACAUUUUAUAAGGCGUAGGGUGCGCUUUUAAUUCCAACUUCAGCUUGUUUGCCGCUACUUCAGAAAUUAUAUUCUCACAACAACCAGAGUCAAUAAUUAAUUGACAUACCUUUCCCAUGAUUGUGCAAGCAGAAUGGAAAAUAUUGGUACGUAACCACCUAUCUCCAAUGUCAUCUCGAGGAGUAGGAAAAAUUUUCCUCACCAUAAGAAGUUCUCCAGUGUCAGCAUGCACUAUUUGUUCAUCAUCCGCAACUUCUUCAUCAUUUUUCAACUCCUCUUCAAGUGGAUCCUCAGCAUUCUCAUCAGAAUUAUUAUCCACCAAGAAGGCUUUACCGGCCGGUCGAUUCUUAUUGAUUCGACAAUUGCUAGCACGAUGACCCAACUCCCCACAAGAAUAGCAACGUAUUUCGGAUGUAGCAGGUUGAUUCGAAACAUGGGGUUGAGUAGAAGGCUUACUAGCAGAUUGCUGUCUCCGAGAAUGAGAGCGCUCCAUUUUGAGUGCCCGUUGGUGUGCAUCUCCUAAGUCCCAAAUGUCGAGGACUUCCAAGGCGUCUUGAAUGUAAAAUUGAAGACCGUUCAAGUAUUUGUUCACAAGCACAUCCUCUGGGUCCUGGAUAUAUCACCAACUCAUUGAAUCAUUGGUGUAUUGGUCCACCGUUCGCGUACCUUGUUUUAGAUUUUGGUACCGUUNNNNNNNNNNNNNNNNNNNNNNNNNNNNNNNNNNNNNNNNNNNNNNNNNNNNNNNNNNNNNNNNNNNNNNNNNNNNNNNNNNNNNNNNNNNNNNNNNNNNNNNNNNNNNNNNNNNNNNNNNNNNNNNNNNNNNNNNNNNNNNNNNNNNNNNNNNNNNNNNNNNNNNNNNNNNNNNNNNNNNNNNNNNNNNNNNNNNNNNNNNNNNNNNNNNNNNUGUUAGCCAAUCAACAAUUUCAUCAGGAGACUCAUACCUGUAAAUCUGGAACAUCUUUCUUGAUUUCCUUUCCCAAUCUGGCUCACGAAUAUGUUGUAAACGAUGUCGAACAUUCCUCCGACCGUGAAUAGAUUGAACACUCUCCGAAGAGGAAGAGUCACCAUGGGAAUCUUCAGUCCUGGAACGGGGUGGAGAAUUAUUUGCUUCAGCCCUCAAUCGCUGAACUUCUUGCGUCAAUUCGUCAAUUUGUCGUUGCAUAUUCUCAGCAAGUGUGUGCAAUUCAUUGAGGGGAAGGGUUCUGCCGCCACGACGCCUAGCUUGUCUUGGAGGCAUUGUCCUCUCCUCCAAAGCUCUGAUACCAAAUGAUGCAAGCCUAGGUAGGCUUUCUCAAACAAUAGGAUCGGGAGAGUGACUCGCACACGGAAACAGGACAAACAGGAAUUUCAGCACCGCGCAAGCUCAGGAGAACAGUUGUAUCUUUGUUGAUACAGAUCGGAUCGACUUGAUUCUAAAGCCAAAUGAACAAAGACUUCUGGAUCUACAAUUUAUCUGUUUUGGGUUUUCUGAAAUAAGCACUGUAGGAUAGUCGAAAUUGGGUUGGAAAUAACGAACAGAAUAUGAAAAGAUAGAAACUCCGUUGGUUGCUCUUCUAGGCCUCCAAGGAAGUUGAGGGGGCACCGAUUCUUCAAGAUCGAUGACUGCAACUCUUCAAGGAUGCAGAUUUCAAAAGCUCCGACUCUUCAAGGACGAAGUGAAAACUCUUCUAGGUUUUCAAGGGUUGAACUCUACAAGGUUCACGAUACUUGCUUCAAGCAAAGUUUUUCAUUCAUCAAAAGCUAUCCGUCUUCUACAAGAAAUUGGGGUUAUAUCGUCCAAGAAAUAAAGACGGAGGAUUGAAACUAGGAGAAAUAAAGACAGAACAUUAAAACUAAGAGAAAUAAAGAAGGACAUUAAAAUUAGCAGAAAUAGUAAAAGCAUAACGUUUUCGUGGGAAGGUGUCUUUCCAACUUCUGGGAUGGACUCAAAAUGUCGUUAUGGGUUCUCGGUUUCAUCGAGCUUUAAUGCGGGCCGAUCUUCUUGGUCGAGAGAGCCGGUCUUCAAUGUAGGCUGCAUCAAGAUGUCUGAACCAUGUGAACAUGCUUAUUAUAUUUUUCCAUGUGUAUACAUCAGAAACAUGGGCGAACUCUAAUGCCCAUAAUACUAAGUUAUUUUAAAUAACAAUUACAUAGUUGAUAUCAGAGUAUCAUUACUUAAUGGCAGAGUAUGUGACAUAAUUAACAUUUUUUUCCCUAAUUAACGUGAAGAGUGGUGGGAGAAGCAUAAAGCUUUGUGGUUAAGCCACAUUUGUUGAGCAUCAUGCUUUGGGAUGAUGUGAAUCCACCACAAACCUCCAUUCAACUCAAUUUUUUAAAAUCAGACUAAACGUCUCUAUUCCAUGCUAUUGUGUUGCCACCAGCUCCUAAUAAGGUGAAUAGGAAAAUGAAGCAAGAAACUUACUAAGUUCCAGCAAUCCUGGUGCUAAUAUGUGUGUUGUCCUCCUCAUCAAGCUCUGCUAAACCAAAAUCUGAUAUUUUAGGGUUGAGAUCCCUAUCCAGUAAAACAUUAGUAGAUUUGAUGUCUCUAUGUACAAUCUUCAGCCUUGAUUCUUCAUGAAGAUAUGCCAAGCCCUUGGCAAUACCCACACAUAUCUUGUGUCUUGUCGACCAAUCCAACUUUAACUGAAAUUCUUUAGAACCUUCAAUUGCAUCAGAAGACAUCAAAACUGCUUUACCACCAUGUCAUUAACUCAAGUCAGUGAAACACAAUGUCAUAUAUAUUUACCAAAUAAAGCACGAGCAAGAAAUCAUCCCAAUCUCAGUCACAAACUCACGAUUUCCUUGCUUGGAUUUGGAUGAAAGCUGCUUCACUGCAAUAGUGGUGGUGCCAUUUGAGAGAUGACCCUGCAAUUGAAUUUUGGCAUUGAUCUAUGCUGUGAAAAUGUAGUUACAAUGAAUGCUGCUUUCUACAGAUCAUUUUUGUUGGGAAUUAGGGGAAGUUUGUUCACUGAUUUUCCAGCAUACCAUACAGAACCAAAACCACCUUCUCCAAUCUUAUUGGCAUCAUCAAAAUUGUUUGCGGCAGCUUUAAUCUGUCGCAAGGUAAAUGAACCAUUUUGCAACCCUAGACCCUUCAAGUCUGCACCAUGUUUUGGAACUUCUAAGAAUUUGAAAUAAUCAACAGCUAAAGUAUGAAAUCCACUAUCUAACAAAGACAUGGCAAUUCAUUCUCAAUGUACCAGAAAACCUUUAUAUGACGUUUUGGUCUGAGCAAGUUCAGUACUGAAUAUCUUAGCAUCCAGAAAUUUAUUCUAUGAAAGCCUGGCAUCAGUUGGUAGUAUGUCCUUUGAAAAGUAAAAUGAGAAUGUCGUCAGGGUAUUUAAGGAAAAGAAACAGCAUAGAAAAAACCCACUUCAGAAACGUAAGGCAAGUUUCGUAUGUUUCAAUGUCUCGUAUAUGUGAAGUUCUGGCAUUUAUUUUUGAUGUCUUGAAACACAGACUUAGCGCGCACGUGUGCGCACAGUCGAUUGUGCCCCCAAAGAGACCCAAUUUAUGUAUACACACAAUUCAGAGAAAUAAUCUAUCACACUCUCCCUAUAACUAUCUAUCCCUUUUUUGAGUGAAUUAAAUGGUCGACACUUUAGCUCUAUUAAGACUUAAUAAUAAUAUUUUUUCUUUUUGUGCCAAAUGGAAUUCCCAACGAAAUCCACAAAUUUCAUGCAUCGACUUUUUUACAAGGGAACUGGGUAAUUUAGCUGGAGUAUUAAUGAUGCAUUGUGAUUACCCCUCUCCCAACCAUGAAAGGUAAGAAGAAGAAUCAUGCACGAACAGUUUGAUAGGACAACUGUGUAAUUAGCUGAAACAUAAAUGAUGCAAUGUGAUUACCCCUCUCCGCCAACAGAAUACGGAAGGGGGAAUAUGUAUUCAGAGUGCAUAACAUUCUCAAAUUUCUUGACAGAUAUAUGUGAACUAAAUAACAGACUCCAGCCUCCAGGAAAGCAACUACCUUGUGCCAUUUUAUCUUCAUGUCCAAGACAUCCUCUCCACCAAAGGAUAACUAGGAUAAGGAAAACUAUAAAAACUAUAGCAGCCACAAUUCCAACCACUAUGCCAGUCGACUCUGGUGGGUUGGCCGACUCUGGUGGCCAGAGUGGGCUGGGCACCUGGCCAGCCAAUACUGGGCUGGGCGGCUGGCCAGCCCACUCUCGGCUGGCCCUCCCUAAUCUAGUGGCUGACGCUAGUAGUCUGGCUGACGCUGGUGGGCUGGCCGACGCUAGUGAAAAAACACAUAAAUAUUUACCCAAAACUAUUCAGUUGGGAGACAUAAAUGCAGAAAAAUAUUUGUAGCUUUUGAAUGGAGGAUUUGUUGGAAAGUCCAACGCAAAAGGGUAAGCUAAUAGAUGGAGGAUACUACAUGAAUAUAAAGAGUAUUUAGGACCCAUUUUUGAGCUGUAUGUGAAAUUUUUGACUACGCACAUUCACAUGGAGUUUUGACCAUGCACAUUCACGAAAGGGAUAGCACUGGCUAUGAUACCAUGUUAGAAAGUUCAACCUAAAAGUUUAGGCUAAUAGGUAGAGUAGAUUACAUGAACAUAAAGAGCAUUUAUGAUCCAUUGUCAAUCGAUAUAGGAUAACACUUUAAGAGGAUUAGAGAUACACAGAGAAAACAUGCUCAGAUAGAAAGAAGCCAAAGCAAACCAUAGCCAAUUUUCACCUCUUAAGAGAAAAAUAAUAGAUCCUAGUCAGCUACUGUGGAAAUUGAUCUGAUCCAUAGUAACAGAUGCCAAUGAUCUAUAUCCAACAGUGGGCAUUUGCAACCAAACCAAGUAACUGUAUAGCCUAUUGAUGACUUCCGGUGCAAGACAAAACAAGGGUAUUUUUUCUAAUAUGAAUACUAGUAACUUUCUCAACGGAGAAGCUCCAGGUGAAACACGGAAGUGUCCGUCUACAUACCAGGAUAGACGGCGAUAGCAGAUAUAAGAGGACCAUAGACUCCUCCCGUAGGUAUAGCAUUGGUUCCUUUCCCAGCCCAAUAGAAGGGUAUCUCCAGAGUGCCUUCAGUCACUGUCACAGUAAAAGUUUUCAUGACUGGCUUUCCAACUCCACCUGCUUCAAUCUUAAUGUUGAAAUCUUCCCACACCAAUUUCCCCUGAAAUAAUGUUUAAUCUGAUUUAGAUUAAGUGUCUCCACAUUGAACAAGGUGAAACUUUCAGUCUCAAUAGAAUGUAGAAAUUGUGAUCAGACCAUGAUUUGCAAAUACAAGAUAUAUAGAUCAACUUCCCAACCAUAACAUAUUGAACGCUUUAUACACUUCACAUGUUAGAAGUAGCACUACGUAAUGCCCAAAAUUUAGCUGUAUAUAAACAUUAAAAGCUCGCCUUCCAAGGCUUGUAUAACUUUCGUUGCCCGUGAAAAUAUCUCCGCAAAAUGAAGGUUUACAUCAUAGGUCCAUUCAUUAGACAAAAACCAUAAUAAGUUAGAGAGACAGCGGAACAUCGUGCCCUCUUGUAAACCAUAGUGGACUACAUAUUUAUCUAUAGGCCGAUUGUCAUCAAGGAAGUGACCAGUGCUACUGUAGGCCCAGUUAUCUCCGCUCAGGAAGAAUCUUGGAGCGGUAGCGCCUCUGUAUCAUUGCUGUAUAAGUUGCGACCUAUUGUUACUUUGCUCCCACCGCAUUUUAUGAAGAGGUUNNNNNNNNNNNNNNNNNNNNNNNNNNNNNNNNNNNNNNNNNNNNNNNNNNNNNNNNNNNNNNNNNNNNNNNNNNNNNNNNNNNNNNNNNNNNNNNNNNNNACUUGCAUUCCCUUACUGGAAAAUCACUUAGAAACUCCAAGUUUAUGAGCAACAAACUAUUUCAUGGAGGCGGCUUUUAAAAUUUCUAGAGCAAUUGUGCAUUAACCAUCAAAGAUUGAUACAUAGCCAAGAAGAGAGUUGACAAGGAGACAAAUUUGAUGCAAAAAUACAGAGAGUAUGAUGCAGUAUCAGGAUCUGAUGAUAACGAUAGGAUAUACAGUAGAUCAACUUACUUUUUUGACAACGCUGACUUUUUAAACAUGAGACAAGUCCACUUCUGGCAGUAUAAGAGGUUCUGAGCAAGUCAGUAAAGAUUUUAAAGUUAUAAUCAUCAUCAUUCUAAAUAGAGUUCCAUCGUUCGUACAUAAAUAAUUAAAUUGCAGGUCCUUGAAAACCAAGUCUCUUGGUGAAAAAUUUAAUCUUAAACAUACGCAUUGUCAACCACCGAGCUUGCGAACAAGUUGCUGUAGAGAAAGACAAAAUCAACAUUCAAUAGAGAAAAGGAAAUUUUACACACACAGGAUUAUAAGUUACUCAAAACUGCACCCUUGAGGGGAGACAUGGACUUAGACUGAAGGAUAUAGUACAUACAUAGAUCGAUUUUGACAUCCUGAGCCUCCAGCAGUGAAGGAGUUGUAUGAUAAAUCACUACACAGAGAAAUAGUAAGCCGUUUCCAAAAUGUCAUCAAUUUCAAGAAUACACUAAAAGUCAUUCCCAUCAGAUAAUUAUUAUGCACAAAAAUGUAGAUCAGUUGCAAAAUAUGGACAGGCAGGGCAAGUUGAAAGGCGAAAAAAGUGACAAGCUGAUGAAAGUAAUGUUUAAUCUGUAUUGAAGAUAUCCAAUCUUAAAUAUUCAAAGGAGAAAGACUAAUCGGAGUGAACAUAGGCUAUAGAACUAGUUGGAGUGCAUAUAUACAUUUUUACACAGCACAGUAUGACAGGCAUGUUGUAUAAGGCAAAGAGGCAAAAAUAAAACUGGGAUUCCAACAAUUACUAAGUCGGAUCUUCCUAUUAGAAAAUAUCCAGACCACCAUUUAAAUGUUUAAACUACCUCCGAAGAGCUUCAUUCUUACGCUCUUAAGAUAAUAAUAACUUUCUCCUAGGUACACUCAUUUUAGUUGUAGAGUUUCUCAAAUACACAAACCCAUAAACAUUGUUAUCAGCAAGAAAUAGCACAAGCAACUAAUCAAAUUAUGCAGGAGAUGCAUUAGACAAACUUUCAAAGAGGAUCUAUAGGAUAUUAAAUUUUUCCAAAUGUUAUUUCUAUCAUUCCAAGAGGUUUCAAAAUUAUCUAGAGCUGAGAAGGGCUUUUUGUAUAGAAGAAAGUGGGGGCUAACUUGACAAGAAAAUCCACUUAAUAUUCUUUUAUGUAUAAUCUACAAAUCAGCCUCCUGUCUUACAUAUAACUUUCCAAAUAACAGAUCCCAACAAGGAGAAAGGUACUCAUGAUGUUUCCCUUUACUCCAUAGGCUGCAAACCAUAAAGAUGCAAGAUGGGAAUGCACAAUAGCUUACUACAGUGCAAGACUAGCCAGAUAGAACUAGAAGAAAAUUGGUGAUUAAGCAAGACAUUUCUUCAGGCUGCAAAGCUUACACAUUUUCUGCUUUCUCCAGGAUUCAAUCAGGAACUGCUCCAGUCAAUUGGUUUCCGGUCAGAUAGCUAAACAAGAUCAUUUGAUUGAGUCAGUUCCUCAUGUAUUUUACCCACUCAAACCGAAAAUUUUUAGAGUUACACCUUGAACAUGCAUUAUUUUUGCAGAUUAAAAGCAUUAAAUUUUAGUGGUGUAGAAAAAAAUCAGUCAACGCAUAAUAUCAAUAUGGAGCUUUCAGCGUGAGAUGAAAGAUAAAUGAAGUCAAUGACAGAGGAAAAACUUGAUCCUUGUCAAACCUAGAGUGCGUGAAGAAAAAUUAGCAUAACACUAGUACACAAAGCUGAACAUGGUGAAGGAUACUGGCGUAUUAGCUUAUUAACUAUUUCCUCGCAAUAAUGUUCAUGUCCUUCUAAGGCAUAAAAUAAAUAAUUAGGGAAGAUGUGCCAAUGUCAUACAAUCAAUCGUUGGGCAGAAAGAUAGAAAGAUGUGCCAUUAUUAAACAGUCCAAGAAGCUUGGGAAUACAGUUUCUCAUCACUUUCCAGACUAGGGACAAGACAUCAAGGUCUUAUCUGCAGACCUUCUAAAUAGAGGAUAAGAACUGCACUCACCAAACAAUCUAGGACCAUUGUUGUGGAAAGAACCAGAUAGAGAGUCUAAGGACUUUCACUAUCUUUAAUCUCCCAUACAUCAAAAAACAGGCGCACUGGACAUGCAUUAAGUACACACACAUACAACUAUCAAAUGUUUAAGUAACACUGAUCCAAUUAACUCUUCCAGCAUAAACAAGUGACACUACUGAAACUUGUGAAUUGUGUUCCUUAAGGAACAGAAUAUCAUUAAUUUAUGUCUGCUCCAAGACUAGAGUCCCACCAAAAUAAUUAGUUGAUAAUAAUCACAAAUUCAGAACCCAAAUCACUGUAAGAUAUGGAUGGUGAUAUAACAAGCAUUCAAGAUAACAGGUCCAAGGGUUAUAAAUGGGACCUGUUAUCGCGGUCUAAGUUCGAUUGAUAGCUCAGCUACUUUACAGUAAGAGUUGCCUAUAGCUUGGCCAACGGAACAAUUUUAGAUUUUAGAUUCUUGUACAAAAUAAGAAAAAGAAGCCUAGGUUCAGCAUCAAAGUACUUACAUAUUAUCUACUGCUACCAGGUUGCUGAAGGAGUUGGGGAUUUUGCCACUCGGUCUAUUGAAGCUGAGGUCUCUGCAAAACAAUUGAAUGGAAAGGAGACGAAUAUAAUGAGAAGAUAGUUUUCACCAACUCUCACUGGACACUCUUAGUAUACUUUGGAGGAUUGUACAAACACAAACGGCAUCAAUGAACCUGCAAGUCCAGUUCAGAUGUUUAGACAUACAAGUCAACUGCCAGGUGCCUAUGCUUUAUAGUAGACAAUCAUUUCCAGAGGCAUUCAUCGCACAAAAUCAAUGUUCUCCAAGUUGGUCACACGCUGUAAAUAAGCAAAAAUUCUGCCGUAAAUCAGAUUUACGACCUGGAAAUUUUAAUUUAUACAACUAGAAAUGCUACUUGGGCACUAAAUCGAAUGCAUUCCUUGGAAUGCAACAUAUUAUAGUUCAAAUCAAGAGAUUCUAUUUAUCUAAGAGGAACGAAACUAAAGCUAAUCAUAAUUUAAUGAACAGAUCUCCUUCAUAACAUUUUAUUCAUCAAUAAAGGGAUGAUGACAAAAUAUCAGGGUGCUUAGAAAGUACAAUAUCGGCUUGAGUGAAUUAAAAAUAGAAAAUAAAGUGAGGAUUUCAAAAAAUUGGAAGGCAUGAUUUUGCAGUCCAAUACAAUUAUUAAUGGAGAAAUUGCAACCUAGUCAAACCUAAACAAAAGGAAAUGGAGUAUAUGAUAAGCUCGACAGAACCACAGAAAUUCGGUUAUUCAAAAUGUCAACAAAGAAUAAACCUUGAUGGCUGAUGACGAUAGAAUGGCAAAACGCUGCUGUUAAAUGUAGCAUUUUUAAAAUCUUACAGAGAUGACCAGAUGAAUAAGAAGAAUUGACUUGAUGCAUUUGAAACCAUGCUUUCAUUCAAACAAAGAAUAUAAUGGCUGCCAAAUAUACAACGAUCAAGCAUAAAACCCCAGUUAGAUAUUGUGGGCUGAGAUUCGAGAAUGGAAACCACUAGCAGAAAGAUUUCCAGAUGAUCAACCACUACAAGCCUCCAUUGAAGUUAGUAAAAUAGACAAAAUGGGCACCACAACCAAGGUAAGAAUUCUUGUGGUUUCUAUUCCUGGAAAAGUGAAAACAAAAAAAAAGAAAAGGUCCAUCUACUUCUGUGCGAAAUUAUAUAUACUACAAUAGAGGCCACAAUCACCAAACACUUAAAUGCCACAUCACGAUUCAUAAUUCAUCAAUAUCAAUGAAAAAGAUCAAAACCCCCUUUAAGUCAGUAAGGGACCUCCAAGCCAUCUCAAAUGGGUUAACUAUUCAAUCAAAUGAUAUUGAAACUAUUUCCCAUCUCUUCCCAAAAAAGAAGUGGGCUAUUUCUUUGCAAAUUGCAACCAAUAGUCAACCAUAAACUAGUAGAAAUUUCACUUAUUAAGGGUAAAAUUGUUUAUUCUGCUUGGAAUAGGAAAAGGGGAAAGCCGUUUUCCACUCACAAUAUUUAAGAAAGGAAACAAGUGAAAAAAGGAAUGUGCAUAAAGUAAAGUAAAGUAUUCGAAGUGCAAGAACAUAAAAAAACCAAUUGAAUUAAAGUAAAGAUCAGAUUCAAUGAUAAGAACUACGGCCACCUCCUCCAUAGUGCCUCAAUGGCGAUGACUUCGCACUCGACCCAAUUGAAUUAUAGUAGCAAACAAGUCGUUGAUUCAAAACAAUAGCAAACAAGAACAAAUAAGUUGUUGAUUUCAAAAUGGGCCUUUGGAUUGGCCUUCGUAUUGCAUAAAUAAUGACCACCCCAAAUCACUUAAUUGGUUAAUUUGUGGUUAAUGAUAAUUGGUCAUCAUUUGUAUUUUGACAAAACGGCGGUUGAUAUCAAUUAACCUUAAAUUAGGGUCUAAGUGUUCAUUGAUUUUUCCUCACUCAUGCACCAUAUCUCACCAUUCCUUCAACAAGUACAAACAUAUACUGAAAUUCAAUAUGUAUCUAAGUUAAUGGGCAUUGUUUCUCACUAUAAUCAAACAAAAUUAAGUGAAUUAAUAACAUGUCACUUAAUUAAUUCACUCGAAAAUGGGAUUAAUUCACUGAAAAUGGGUUGAUAUACUUAAAAAUGAUUCAUAAUCAAAUGACGUUCAAUUGACAUGAUUUAGGUGCCAUUAGAAAGUUUAAAAGUCUCAAUAAUCGAAGCGUUAUUACAUAUAUAUGAUAUAUGGAAUUUUUUUUUAAAUAUAUUAAAUUGUUGAAUCUGGUGAAUCUCACGCUAAGUACCACAAAUUUAAAAUGAAAUUUUGUCAAAUUCGACACAUGCUGCUGGUGACCAACCGUGAGCUCGACGGCACUCACCCACCGGUGAGUUUUGUGUUUCCCAGGGAAAACAAAUCUUUGUCAUUUUUUGGCUCUAUCUAUUCCCACGCGCUCUGCCACGCGUGUUUGGGACGGCCCAAUCAACGCUCGAGAAGCUUCUAUCAUCCUAUUGCCGUGACGGAACACGCGCUACUGCUCCGUGGAACAGAGCAGGCAUGGGAAAUCAUUAGCUUUGUCGCCUCCCGGGACAUCUCUCACGAGAUCAUCCCUCCCUCGCCCCCGGGAUGGGAGUGAUUGAAAAAAUGAAGAAAAUAUUUUGUUGAUAAAUCCCUUACUAGAAUAAUAAACUAAGAAUAUUAAUUACUAAUUAAAAAAUAAUGUCUAACAAGGAACGUAAAUAUUUAAUUAAAAAAACAAGUAAUGAAUGUAAAUAUGGAUUACAUGUAACAUAAAAAAAAAUGAAUCGAGAGCAAUAAACUUUUCUUAUUUGGAGCAUAAUUUGAUAUCGAAACAGUAAUACAUAUUGAAAAUCGAAAAUUCCUCUUUACUUAAAGCUUAUGGGAUAUGCUAUACACGAACUAAAAAUCUAUCUUUUUUUAAAUAAAAAAAUUUAAAAAAAAAUGGUGUUUGAUAAUAAUUGAAAUGGCAACAUAUAUAACAACAUUAUAUUGACAAAUUGAGAAGACAUUUUACGAUGGGGUGAAAUUGUAAAAUAGAAAGCAAAAUAUUUAUUUAUUGUGCGAUUUUAUUAAAAAUCGAAUGUCAGGAUUUAACGCAAAUCCACUAUUUACUAUUGAACUUGGAGUAAUAUGUACUUUGUUAUAAGAUUUAAGAUGAAUGGCUUUUACGAUAGGGGCGCAAAAUCACUCGAAAGUUUAGUAUGAACAAAUUGUUGCCGUUGUCUGCUGUCGGCGGUGGGAACAUUUGUGUGCACAGUAAUCCUUGAAAAGAUAGAUUGUUUUUUUUUGGGUCAAGAAACAAGCUGUCGUGAGGGAGUUGUGCAGCCCCGCCGGAAUGGGGACCAUGGGACCAUUACAGAACAUAGAGAUGCCCAUCGGCUAAUCAAAUCAAUGCCAUAAGCCAUAACGGGUUCCACUUUUUCUGCACCUAAGGAAGCGAUAAAAAGCGAGCGGGGAGAGGGAGAGAGUAGUACCUAGACAAGGAGAAGCCGCUGCCGAGGGGCUCCCUUGGUGAAGGCAACGUCGAGGCGGCCGUUCGGGAGGCAGGCAAACUCGCGCUCGAUGAGGGAGCAGACGGAGGAAUCGUGGAGAGGGUAGGACGGGGCCGCCACCCAGCUACCUGCUUCCGCACCCCAUACCAUAAAUGUCAAAAGAGCCAGUUUCCAGUGAAAAGAAUGUGAAGGAGAAGGAGGAGGAGGAGGAGCCCAUCUGCAUUGCCUCUGUACCCACCAACCCCAACCCAUUUUGCUUUCACUGCAACAUAGCAAGGCUCUUUUUGCGCAGAGAGAGAGAGAGAGAGAGAGAGAGUUUUUGGAUACUGGGUUACAUUUAACGUAAGUGGGUGGGGGUAAGAGAAAACCAGAGGUCAGGAGUCCACUGAGAUAAAAGGGCAUUACUGGAUUCUACUUAAUGUACCUUCUUUGUUCUUCUUUUUCUGGUUAGCUACUUAAAAUACUGGAUUUGGUUUCCAUUUUGGGUGGAGGGCGGGGCUAGGAAUUUAUAUAGGAUUUAGGAAGUUGCAGCAAAUCUGCUUUUUUUUAAAUAAAAAUAAAUAAAUAAAUAAUAAUAAUGGCUUGGCUUUGCUGGCUCAGCCGCGGUUGUAGGGAGUAGCAGCCAAUCACCACCUUUAAUGUUGACACUUUGAAUUGGUGGGGUCAACCCCCCUUGGAUCUCAAGGGGAGCAAAUGAGACCAUUGAGAUUUCUAACUUGUUUAAUUCUCUUGAAGACAUUAACAUAAAACCGUUUUGGCGACCUAAAAGUAUGUUCUUAAAAGAUUUCUACUGAAAUUUAGUCCACACAUGGAAAUCCUGAACAUAAGAAUACCAAGAAGGUAAAAUCAGGUAUAGAAUUCGAUAAAGACACUAAUCAAUUGGGGAUACAGGAUAAUGCGGGCACUGACUUGCUAGAAUAAGAAACGCAUCCAUAGAGUCCACGUUUCUAUAAAUCAAAUGGACAAGGAGUGAAGACCUUGCUGCCUUCCUUUGGUGAGCCUACACGCUUAACUAUCACCAAGAAUCUACCAAGAAUCUAAGGCAAGGACUUAGAACAGGGAGACAGUUAAUAGAAAUGUAGUGUGUGCUAACGAGGCGGUAAUCUACCAUCUGUAAGAAAUAGUUACUAGAUGUGCAAGUUUUUAUCAUUUCUCACAGAUGGGAUAGAAGAAGUUGAUGGAGCAUCAUCCACACUAUAGAGAGAAAAUCUGCACUUCCUUAGAAUAAUUCUUGAGGAGCAACAUAUAACAGGCCUAGCUCGGGGACUAAAACACAUCCAAAGCAAGAAUCCACGACUCCGCACAUCUCGCUAUUCAAACAAUGAAAAGCUUCCAUAAUAGAUUCCCACUCUAGCAGUGGCAACCAUCCACAUCAUAAUUGCGUGAAGAAGUCGCAAAAUCACGAUUGUACGAAAGAAAUGGCACGAAUACAACCAUCAAACAACUAGCUAUCAUCUUUCGGCUUUUCCCAAUAAUUUCUUUACAAUACACAAUUACAGCACCGCAUAAUAGUCAUCGUAUUCUUUAUAGUAUCCAUACCUUGAGUUUCAAAUGAGAAUGAAAGAGAAACUUAGAAGUGAAAUUUAAGAGUUCCCUUCGAUGGAUUACCAAAAAAAGUCCUAGUUCUUUCAAGACCAAAUUAACUCAAAACAUAGCAAACCAUUUCUUAUUCUCUGUUCCGCCAGUAAUCAGUAUCUGGAUUUAUCGGAUAGAGAUCAUUAGCAGAUGUAGAAGAAGCGGUUCCAGUCCACGGCCCAUCCGUGAGCAUGCUCUUAGUGAUGUUCUCGUCAACUGCCUGAUCUUCGUCACCUUUGAAAUGUUUCCUCAUGGCCUCAAUUGUCUCCUCCGUUAUGAUAGUGCCCUCAGAGUCCAGCACUGGAACAGCAACCUUGCCUUCAAGCAUGCUAACCACAGAUGACAUCGGCGGCCUGAGUGCUGGAGUCGCAUUAGUACACAGCAGAGCUACAUUUAUCAUCGCCAGCACCUCCUUUUUGUCAAAAUGAGAACCCAGCCUCUGAUCAACUAGAUCCAUCAAAUUUCCUCUCCCCUUCAAGACUCGCGCCUAGAAACAGAAAUGGAAAGGAAGAUAUUUCCCUCAAGCUACAGGUACUGAUCAGUUGUAGAAUAUGCUCAGAAUACUAAAACAGGAAGAAGGAGAUAUAUUCUGCGCUUGAUAAUUUCAUGACAAAUGCAGUUGAUAAACACCUGCUAGUUUUUCAUCUUCGUUAUAAGUUAUAUUUGGAAGGAAAAAAUCGAACAAGUCAAUAAAGAUGAAACAUGAUUUCUUUACCAAUUUUAAGUAAAAGUUAGUAAACUUAAACACUUCUUAAUCACUUACUAACAUUCACCGGUCGCAAAAAAAUUACCACCACUGCUUUAAAAUUACCAGCUCUUCUUGAGUUUUACUGGCAGGAAUUAAUUGUCAGUUUGUCAUUACAUGAAAUUGAGAAUUGUCCAUCAAUGGUUCACACCAUUCAGUGCCUUUUACUCUCAAGUCUAGUUUAACAAGAAUUACCUGAUUAUGCAACUUAGGUAAAAAUCAGAUUUAACAGGGACUAAUAAUGAUUGUUUUUUUACCAAAAAAAAAAUAAUGAUUGUUUUAGCUACUGAUAGGCUUACUCAAAGCACAAUAAAAUCUAAUUUUUGGACUCCAUUACAUAAAUGUGAAAAAGUCAAAUCUAAAUUGACAGUAUAUCAAUAUUUGGGUCAAGCAGGGUCUUAAAAACUUUUCAAAUCCAAUACUAAUUGUCAAAACUGCAAAGUACUCGACCAACUUGUUUGGCGCUAAUGAAACUACAGGGAGUACGAAUGUCACGCAUAAAAUUAUAAAGACUAAAACAAAAACAACCCAAAUUUUAAAGACCCCAAAUUUCAAUGAAUAGAAUUGUCUUCAAUCCAAAAAAGAAUCUACAUGAUUCCUUCUUUCAGGAGGCAGCCCAUUGUUUCAAGUUUCAAUGUGCCACUAGGUAAAUUCCAGUUUCAGUUUCUUAGAACCAGACCAAUCCGUGACCACCCCCACCCCAAGUCGCUCAUCUUGAGCAUGAACACCAUAGGCCGGCUACUGCAAGGAUUACUUGCUCCUUUCAAAUUCAGUAUAGACCAACAUGACAAGAAUAAUUGGAUUAAUUUUAAAGAACAAAUUGCACUUAACGGCAUGACAAUUCGUUAAACAGGUUUCAAAAGCUGGUAACUGUAACUCUCAUUUGCAACCAUUAAAAGUGCAUAUGAGGAGUUCUAUACUAUGUUCACACUUCCUUAAUCCAUCUCUCAACCGGCACAAGCAGAGAUUUAAAUAUCAUAAUAAGAAACUUUUGAAUGCUAGAGUUAAUUACCCAAUCGAGUAGAUAAAAGCAUUUCUCCUUCUUUUGGUAACUGGUGUUGCUCCGGCCACUAACAACUUCUAAGGCAACAAUGCCAAAACUAUAGAUGUCGGCUUUUUCAGUGAGGUAACCAUGCAUUGCAUACUCUGGUGCCAUAUAUCCACUGCAUAACAAGAAAAGAGCUGGUGUUUGCAACAUGGAAAAUAUCUUAAAUAGCACUUACUUAAAAUUUUCCAAAGAUUGUCCCUCUUAUCUUCCUAAAAUACAAAAUAAGGAGAUAUUCCUAAUCAUGACACCAUGGUCUCAAGAGUCAAGUAAAAAACAAGUGCAUUCUAGAAAUUUUUUAAUAGGAUUCCGCUGAGAAUAUUUCGAAAAGAAAAAAAGAAGAAGAUAUUUGUGGUUUUUAUAUAACUUUUGGGGUACAUAUAGCUUCGUAGUUGGAAAACAAGUGCAUCCUUAUAACUUGGAAAAGAGGCUCAUUAACUGAAAAAAAGAGUUGGAAACAGGCUGAGACAAGGUCUGAACACAUAGGCAGCAACUGUAGGAGGAUUCCUAAAGCCAAGUCCAGGGGCAAAAAAGCUUUUUAAUAUUGUUGUUGUUGAUGUGUAGCAAUAGAAAAACAGCCUUACAUUUUCUCACUAGCUUUCUAACCCUUGCGAUUCAUGUGCUUGCUUCGUAAUUUUGGUUUUAUUCUUUUGUAAUUCACUUGAAAGUGCGCUAUGUUUAUGUCAUGUGAAAUCUAUUUAUGAAAAAUGGCACUUUUCAUGCAAAGGAAUAUUUAUGGAUAAUUUACAUUGAAAUCCUUAACGUAUAGUAGUUGAUCUUGUUCAUUGAAUUGUUUUACAUUAAGUAGAUUGUCACUGGAAAAACAUAAUAAAAACAAUUAAAUUACAUGUCAAUAUAGGUUAUUAAAAAGUAUUGCAUCAUAAUUGUGUCGUAAUAUUUCCAUAUGCUUUUUGCAUGAGAGAAUUUAUGGUAGGGCAUACUGAAUUACCUUCCGAAAUGUUUUUCUUGACUAUUCUUAAUGUAUUAAAUGAAGCGUGUAGAAUACGAUCAAUCUUUUGAUUAAUAUCUCAGGUAGGCAGAUAAAAAUUUUCCAGAAACUGUAUUAGAUCAUCUAAAUUUGUUGAGAUGAUGGAACUGUUUGAUGUUAUAGUUAUUUUUCGUUAAGCAAUAGAGUUAGUAGAAGGAACUUACAGUUCUAUCUUUCCUUAAUCAGUCACAUUCUUUUUAUGAACAGGUUGACUUUCUACACAUGUCAAUGCAAACGUUUGAAACAUUUAAACAUGCUUAUUAUAUAUUUUUCUCUGUGUAUACAACUUUUAUAUGCAAAAAAAUAUUUUCCUUAUACAGUAAUCAACAGAAACAUAGGCGAAUUAGCUCCAUUGCCUAUUAUAUCAACUUAUAGCCAAAUUAACAAUUACAUAAGUUGCUAUUAAUGGUAGAGUAUGUAAUAUAAUUAACAUUUUUUCCUAAUUAACAUGAAGAGUGGUGGGAGAGGCAUGGAGCUUUGCGGUUAAGCCCCAUUUGUUGAGCACCAUGCUUUGGGAUGAUGUGAGUCAACCACAAAGCUCCAUUCAACUCACUUUUCUUAAAUUAGACGAGAUUUUUCUACUCCAUUCUUUUAUGUUGUCACUGACACCUAAUUAGGUUAACAGGAACAUAAGACAAGAAACUUACUAAGUUCCAGCAAUCUUGGUGCUAAUAUGUGUGUUGUCCUCCUCAUCAAGCUUUGCUAAACCAAAAUCUGAUAUUUUUGGGUUGAGAUCCUUAUCCAGUAAAAUAUUAGUAGCUUUAAUGUCUCUAUGCACAAUCUUUAGCCUUGACUCUUCAUGAAGAUAUGCCAACCCCCUGGCAAUACCCACACAUAUCUUGUGUCUUGUCCCCCAAUCCAGCUUUAACUGAAAUUCUUCAGGACCUUCAAUUGUAUCAGAAGACAUCAAAACUGCUUUACUGCCAUGUCAUUAACUGAAGACAGUGAAGCACAAUGUGAUAUCAAAUUACCAAAUAAAGCGCGAGCAAGACUGUUAUUUUCCAUGUACUCGUAAACCAGCAAAAGUUGAUUUCCUUCAAUGCAGCAUCCAUAGAGUUUCACAAGAUGUGGAUGUUGAAGAGCAGAAAUCAUCCCAAUCUCAGUCACAAACUCACGAUUUCCUUGCUUUGAUUUUGACGAAAGCUGCUUCACUGCUAUAGUGGUGCCAUCUGACAGAAGACCCUGCAAUUGAACUUUGGCAUAAGAUUUAUGCUGUGAAGAUUUAGAUACAUUGAAUGCUGCUUUCUACAAUUCUUUUCUGUUGGGAAUUGGAGGAAGUUAGUUCACCGAUUUUCCAGCAUACCUUGUAUACAGAACCAAAACCACCUUCUCCAAUCUUAUUGGCAACAUCAAAAUUGUUUGUGGCAGCUUUAAUCUGUCGCAAGGUAAAUGAACCAAUUUGCAAUGCUAGAACCUUCAAAUCUACACAACAUUUUGGAGCUUUUAAGAAUUUGGAGGAGUCAACAGCUAAAGUGUGCAAUCUACUAUCUAACAAAGACAUAGCAAUUCCUUCUCAAUGUACCAGAAAACCUCAUUGUAACUAUUUUGUCUGAGCAAGUUCAGGACAAUAUAUCCUAACAUCUUGAAAUUUAUUUUCUAGGAAACUCUGGCUUCAAUUGGCAGUAUGUACUUUCAAAAAUGAAAUGAGAAUGUCCUCAAGGUAUUUAGUAGUAGGGGAAGAGAAAAAUCAUAGAAAAAACCCACUUUGGAAAUGUAAGGCAAGGUUUGUAUGUCUUAACAUCUUGUAUAUCCGAAGUUCCAGCAUUUGUUUUUCAUGUCUUGAAACAUAGACUUAGUAUAUAUAUGGUCGAUUGUGCCCCCAAGGAGACCCAACACACACACAUCUAAGAAACAAUCUAUCUUCCUCUUCCUAUAAAUAUCUAUCCCUUCAUUUUUAGGAUUUCUAAAUAAAAAUUUAGUUCGUUGAGGGUAACAAAUGGAUUGAUGACACUUUAGCUGUGCUAUGGCUUAACAAUUUUUAUUUUCUUUUUGUGUCAAAUUGAAUUUCCAAUGUAAUGCACAAAUGUCGUGCAUCAAAAGUUUUACAGGGAACUGUGUGACCUAGUUCCAGUAAGGAUGAUGCAUUGGGAUUCCCCUUUCCCCCCCCAUAAAAUAUUUGAAGUACGCCCCCCCCCCCCCCAAAAAAAAAAAAAAAAAAAGGAAUAGGGAAGGGGGAAAUGUAUUCAGAAUGCAUAACAUUCUAUUUCUUGAUAGAUGCAAACAAAAUAACAAAGAUUCCAGGUAAGCAACUACCUUGUGCCAUUUCAUCUUCACGUCCAAGACAUCCUCUCCACCAAAGGAUAACCGGGAUAAGAACAACUACCAAAACUAUAGCAACCACAAUCCCGACAACUGUACCAGCAGAUAUUAUGGCUGACUCUUGUGGGAUUUCAAAGUCUGCAGUGAAGAAAGAACAACAUAUGUUUACCCAAAACUGUUCCAAGUAAAUGAGGUAGGCAUACAUGCUGAAAAAUAUCGGUAGCUUCUUGGUGAACACAGAAACCAACAGAUGGGACAGCACACUAAUUGAGAAUCAAGAGGACAUGAGAAAUGCUCAGAACACUCCACAGAAACUAUGAGCACAGUAAAAUAUCAUCUUUGGAACAUGUAAUACUAAAUACAAAGGGAAAAAGAAAGUGGAAUAUGUUCUUCAUUCUCAAGGCUGUACUAUAUAAUACAGGCGCAAUGGUCGUUGAUUUGCAGCAGGAAAGCAAACAAGGCUAUAGUUUCAUAGUCUGAAUGGAAGGAAUAAAGAUACAUGGUGAAAACAUGCCCAUAUAGAAAGAAAGCAAAGCAAACCAUAGCCAAAUUUUGCCUCUUUAGAGACGAAAAAAUAUAUCCUAGUCAGCUCCUAUGGAAAUUUAUCUGAUCAACUGUAACAGAUGCGAAUGGCCUGAAUUUAACAGUGGACAUUUGUGACCAAACCAAGUAAAUGAAUAGCGUAUUGAUGACUUCUGGUGCAAGACCAAAAAGGGUACUUUUUUUUUCCAAUAUGAAUACGAGUAACUUUCUCAAUAGAAAAGCACCAAGUGAAACAUGGAAGCGUCUGUCUGCAUACCAGGAUAGACAGAGAUAGCAGAUAUAAGAGGACCAUAGACUCCUCUUCUAGGUAUAGCAGUGGUCCCUUUCCCAGCCCAAUAUAAGCGUAUCUCCAGAGUGCCAUUGGUCACAUUGACAGUAAAAUUUCUUAUGACUGGCUUUCCAGCUCCACCUGCUUCAAUCUCAAUGUUGAAAUCUUCCCACACCAAUAUCCCCUGAAAUAAUAUUUACUCUGAUUCAAGNNNNNNNNNNNNNNNNNNNNNNNNNNNNNNNNNNNNNNNNNNNNNNNNNNNNNNNNNNNNNNNNNNNNNNNNNNNNNNNNNNNNNNNNNNNNNNNNNNNNAGUCAAUAAAGAUUUUAAGGUUACAAUCGUCAUCAUUUUGAAUGAAGUUCAAUGCUAUGUAGAUAAAUAAUUAAAAUGCAGGUCCUUGGAAAUCCAAGUCUCUUGGUGGAAAAUAUAAUCUCAAACAUACACAUUAUCAACUGCCGAGCUUGCGAACAAGUUGCUGCAGAGAAAAGACAAAAUCAACAUUCAGUAGAGAAAUGGAAAUCAUGUACCCACAACCGCACAUUUGAGGGGAGCCCUGAACUUAGAUUGAAGAAAGUAGUACAUACACAGCAGAUAGUGGUUGACAUUCUGAGUCUUCAGCAGUGAACUUGUUGUAUGAUAGGUCACUACACAGAGAAAUAGUCAACCGUUUCCAAAAUAUCAGCAUUUUGAAGAGAACACUCAAAGUCAUUCCAUCAAAUGAUCAUUGUGUACAAAAAUGCAGAUCAGUUGCAAAAUAUGGACAGGUACAGCAAGUUGAAAGGCAAAAACACCACAAGAUGAUGAAAGUAAUAUUUUAUCUUUAUUCAAGAUAUCUCAUCUUAAAUAAUUAGAAGUAGAAAGACUAACUGGACUAACUGGAGUCAAUGGAAACUUUAGAACUAGUUGGAGUGCAUAAAUACAUUUUUACCCAUCAAUGGUAUAACAGACAUGAUGUAUAAGGCAAAGAGGAAAAAAUAGAACUGUGAUACCAACUACUACUAAGUCAGAUCAUCUUAUUAGAAAAUAUCCAGACCACCAUAAAAAUGUUUAAUCUACCUCAUAAGAGCUUCAUUCUUACACCCAUAAGAUAAUAUCAACUUUCUCCAAGGUACAAUCAUGUUGACUGAAGAGAUUUUCAAAUACACAAGCCCAUAAAUAUUAUUAUCAGCAAGAAAUAGCCCAAGCAACUAAUCAUGUUCUGCAGGUGCAGGAGAUGUGUUAGACAAACUUUCAAAGACGAUUUAUACAAAGUAAAAAUUUUCCAUGUUUUUUUUAUCAUUCCAAGAGGUCUGAAAAAUAUCUAGUGCUGAGAAGGCCUUUUUGUAAAGCAGAAAGCGGGGCUAACUAGAAACUUCCAAGACAAUCCACUUUGUAUUCUUUCAUACAUACCAUACAAUUCAGCCUCUUGUCUUACGUACAACUUUCCAAUUAACAGGAUCCCAACAAGCAGAAAGAUACUUAUAACUCUGUAGGCUACAAACCAUAAAGACGCAAGAUGGGACAGCACAGUUGCUUACUACUGUGGCAGAUUAGCCAGAUAGAGCUAGAAGCAAAUUUGUGAUUAAACAAGACAUGUUCUUCAGGCAGCGAAGCUUACAUAUUAUCUGCUUCCAGGAUCCAAUCAGGGACUGCUCCAGUCAAUUGGUUUCCAGUCAGGUAGCUAAACAAGAUUAUUUGAUUGAGUCAGUUCCUCAUGUACUUUAUGCACUCAAACUGAAAGAUUUUAGAGUUACCCCUUGAAAAUGCAUUAUUUAGCAAAUUAAAAGCAUUUAAUUGUUAGGUGUAGAAAAAAAAAUCAGUUAACUCAUGAUAUCAAGAUAGAGCUUUCAGCUGGAGAUGAAAGAUAAAGGAAAUCAAUAAAAGAGGAAAAAUUUGAUCCUUGCAAAACUUGGAGAGCACGGGUUGCCAUAACACUAGUACAGAAAGCUGAACUUAAUGAAGGACACUAUCAUACUAGCUUAUAAACUAUUUCGUCACGAUGAUGUUCUUGUCCUUCUAAGACAUAAAAUAAAUAAUGAGGGAAGAUGUGCCAAUGUCAAACAGUCAAUCGUUGAGCAAAAAGAUGAAAAGAUGCGCCAUUGUUGAACAGUCCAGGAAGCUUAGGACUACAGUUUCUCAUCAUUUCAAGACAAGGGACAAGACAUCAAGGCCCUAUCUGCAGACCUUGUAGAUAGCACAUAAGAACUGCACUCACGAAACAAUCUAUGGCCAUUGUUGUGGAAAGAACCAAAUAGAGAGCCUAAGGACUUUUGCUAUCCUUAAUCUCCUAUACAUCAUAAGACUGGCACGCAGGACAUGCAUUAAGAACAUACGCAUACAACUGUCAAAUAGUUAAGUAACACUGACCCAUUCAUCUCUUUCAACAUAAACAAGUAACUCUAUUGAAACUAGUGGAUUGUGCUCUUUAAGCAACAGAAUAUCAUCGAUCUACAUCUGCUCCAAGACUAGAGUCCCCUCAAAAUAAUUAGUCGACAACAAACAUAAAUUCAUAACCCAAAUCAUUGUAAAGUUCGAAUGGUGAAUUAAUAAGCAUUCAAGACACAAGGACUUUAAGGGAUAUAAACUGGAUGUGUUAUCGUGGUCUAAGUUCUAUUGAUAGCUCAACUACUUUACAGUAAGAGUUGCCUAUAGCUUGGCCACCGGAACAACUUGCGAGUUUAGAUUCUUAUCUAAUAUACAAAAAAAGAAGCCUAAGUCCAGCAUCAAAGUACUUACAUAUGAUCUACUUUUCCCAGGCUGCUAAAGUUGCGAGGAAUUUCGCCAAUCAGUUUGUUGAAGCUGAGGUCCCUGCAAAACAAUUAAAUGGAAGGGAGACAAAUAUAAUGAGAAGAUAGUUUUAACAGACUCCCAGUGGACACUCUUUGAGUAUACUUUGGAGGAUUGUGCAAACAUAGACAACAUCAAUGAACCUACAGGUCCAGUUCAGAUGUUUCUACAUACAGGUCAACUGCCUGGUGCCUAUGCUUUCUACUAGACAUUCCUUUCCAGAGGCAUUCAUUGCAUAAAAUCCAUGUGCAUCAAGUUGGUCACACGCCAUACAUAUACAAAAAUUCUGCUGUAAUUCAAAUUUGCAACUUGCAAAUUUCAAUUUAUAUAACUAGAAAUGCUACUCCGGCAACAGAUUAUAUGCAUCCCGUGGAAUGCAACAUAUUAUAGUUCAAAUUGGGAGAUUCCAUUUAUCAAAUAGGACCAAAACUAAAGCUAAUCAUAAUUUAUUGAACAGAUCUCCUCCAUAACAGUUUAUUCAUGAAUAAAGGGAUGAUGAAUAAAUACUAGGAUGCUAAAAGAGUAGAAUAUCAGCUUGAGUGAAUAAUAAAAUAAAAAAUAAGAUGAGGAUUUCAAAAAACAGGAAAGCAUGAUUCUGCAGUCCAAUAUAAUUAUCAAUGGAGAAAUUACAACCUAGUCCAACCAAAAGAAAAGGAAAUGAAGUAUAUGAUAAGCCACACAGAACCACAGAAAUUCGGUUAUUCAAAAUGUCAACAAAGAAUAAGCAUUGAUGGCUGAUGAUGACAGAAUGGCAAAAAACUGCUGUUAAAUGUAGCAUUUAUAAAAUCUUUUAUAAAAUCUUACAGAGAUGACCAGAUGAAUAAGAAGAAUUGGCUUGUGUAAAGAUGCAUUUGAAGCCAUGCCCUCGUUCAAACAAACAAUAUUAUGGCCGACAAAUAUACGACAGUCAAGAAUAAAACUCCAGUUAGAUAUUAUGCGGCUGAGAUUUGACAAUGUAAACCACUAAAAGGAAGAUUUCCAGAUGAUCAACCACUAGAAGCCUCCAUUGAAGUUAUUAAAAUGGGCACCACAAGAAUUCUUGAGGUUUCUACUCCUGGGGAAGUGAAAACAAAGAAAGAAAAGGUCCAUAUACUUCUGUGCAAAACUGUAUAUUCUAUGGCAGAGGCCACAAUCACCAGACACUUAAAUGCCACAUCGCGAUUCACAAUUCAUCAAUAUCAACAGAAAAGAUCAAAACACCAUUGCAGUCAAUAAGGGACCUUCAAGCCAUCUUAAAUGGUUCCUUAACUGCAGCCAAUAGUCAACCAUAAACUAGUAGAAAUUUCAGUCAUUAAGGGUAAAAUUAUCUAUUCUGCUUGAAAUAGGAAAAGGAGAAAGCCGUUUUCCACUCACAAUAUUUUUAGCUGUGUCAUUCCUGCUAGAUAACCAGGUAGCUCUCCUGUGAGAUUGCAGCUCCUCAGAAUCCUACAAGAAAAAAGCACUGAUGUUAUCACGUUGCUAAGAUGAUUUGGCUUUUUUGCAUAAAGUAAACUAUCUGUGCAGGAGCAUCGGUCUCACAGUCUCUCAAUAAUUGUACUGCUAAGUUGUGGAACUGGGGACUCAGGUCCCUUGAGGUCACUUAUGCUCCUGCAUAUCAAAAUCAAAUGGGGAACUUUAUUUGAUUGAUACCAUAUUAAAGAACGGAGAGAUCAGAUCAAAAUGCCAAACUUCCAUACUGACAAGUGAAACAAAUUCUUCAAAAGUGUGAUCCCGGAGGGAAUUGGCCCUUGCAAUCCACUUGCUUGAAUAGCCCUGAGAAGACAAUUCACAUAUUGAAUUAUUUUGUGGGUAUAUCUAUGUAGACCGACUUAAAAGGUGAAGAAGCAUUAAGCCUUACAGUCUGCUGAGAUUUGUCCAGUUCUGAAUAAAAUCAGGUAUCUGUCCCGUGAAAUUAUUAUCACUGAGUCGCCUACAGUGCAUUAAACCACAAGAUUCAUAUGAAGAAAAAAGAAUAGAAGUAUCUAGAUAUAUUAGCAGAGUUUAUGGAAUCUGGAAACUAACAGCUCCUGCAAUGCCGUCAAUUCAGCAAAUCUCGGAGGCAGCUCCCCAGUGAAAUUAUUUGACGAAAGGUGCCUGGAGCAAGAAAACCCAUUGGUCAAAUGAACUUGAAUGCUGAUCUCUUAACAAAUACGACGUCAUCAGCGAAUACAAAGUGGAUGCCUAAUGCAGAAAUUCGCAUGAAGAGACUCACAGUAUAUGUAGCUGGGACAAGUUCCCCAGCUCUGGAGGCAGAUGUCCGGAGAGCUGAUUGAUCUCGACGACUCUGAGCGGAAGAAUGAGAGUCAAUAUCUUCAAACAUCAACCAAACUUAACACAGCGAAGAGGCCAAACGCGAGCGGCGGGAUGAGUGAUCGCUUACAAUUUGAAAAGUGUGGAUAUGUUUCCCAGCUCCUUCGGGAUUGGACCAGUCAAUCGGUUUCCGAGUACAGAACUGCACCCCGCGUUUCCCCCAAUCAGUAGAAGAUACACUCGCAAUAGAGAGAGAGAGAGAGAGAAGCACAUACAUGUUGACCAACUUCGUAGAGCCCCAUUCUGUAGGAAUCGUGCCGUUCAGGAAGUUCCGGGUGACAUCACUGUUUACAGAGACAGAAGACUGCGACGAUGACGACGAAGAAGAAGAAGAAGAAGAAGAAGAAGAAGAUCGAAAAUGGAGAGAGAGAGUGCUCACAAGUUCUCGAGAAAAGGCAAUCUGGAGAGUCGAUGCGGAAGAGUGCCGGAAAGAGACUGCUCGUUCAGAACUCUGUUUUCACAAUGACACCAAGGCUUUAUUCUAUUGUGACUUGUUUUCAAUAUAAAAAACAAUCAUGUUAUUCUAUUAUCAAUCGUAAUUGAUGAAAUAAAUCACAGCAUCAUUGAAAUGAUAAUUAUAUAACAAUUCGAGCAUUAAUCCAUCUAAUUAACAAUAAACAUCAUUAUACGGUGAAUAAUACAAAAUCAAAUUACGCCAAUUUGGAUAAUCAUACUUAAUGGUAAGCAAUUGUUAUUGCUGUAUUAAUAAUUUUAAUACAAUACAUAAUCAUAUAUUAUCAAGAUGAUAUUUACCUAUUGCAUUUGUAAAUACCGCUAAUUUAAAUUGGGAGUGUUAUCGCUUUACCAAAAAGUUUAAAUAUCUCCUUCUUGUUUGCUUUUUAGAAUAGUACCUUUAGCCAAUUACCUUAAAUAAAACUAUCCCUAUAUAUAUAUAUAUAUACUUUUUUUUUUAGGUAAAUCAUUGUCAAAAUUGAAAAUUUGACGAGAAGUUGAUCACGUAACUAUGACACAAUUGAAAUCACAAGUGAGCGACAUCUCUUUUGUUCCUUCUCUUCCCAUUUCAUCUAUAUGUUUUUUGAAUUUCAAAACUAGAAUAAUUAUUUGAAAUUGCGGUUUACUUUCACCGUAAGUAACUGUUACUAUUGUAUUAAUAAAUUUAAUAUCAUAAAUGAUCAUAUAAUGUGAGGAUGAUAAUUGUAAAUACCACCAAUUUAAAUUGAAACACUGUUGCUCUACCGAAAUCUUUAAAGAUAUCCUUCUUGUUCAAUGUUCAGAAAAAGCACCUUGAGUCAAAUAAAAGCUACCCAUAUUUUGUUCAGAGGUGAAUUGUCAUCAAAAGCGAAAGUUUGACGAGAAGUUGAUCAUAUAACCACGACAUGAUAGAAAUUACAAAUGAUGGCAUCUCUUCUGUUCUUUCUCUACCCACUCCAUCUUUAUGGCUUUGAAUUUCAAAACGAAAAUAAUUAUUUGCAAGUGCAGCUUAUUUUCAUGGGUAAGUUUCAAUUGCGAUCCUCGAGUUCAAUGGAUUUUGCAAGCCGAACCGUGAUUUCAAUUCCCUAAUCCAAAGAAUUUCCUUUUUUUUUUUGUACUCAAUCCAUUUUGACCCAAAAAUAUAGGCCGAUCUUUUCUGGUGAACUACUAACAUGGUGCCCAAAGUAUCAGCUUCGGGUUUGCCACGUCAGCCAAUUAACCUUACAACAAGAUAAAAAAAGAUUGGUGCAUAAUCAGGUGAUUGAUCUCAAAGUAUAGCUAGGAACCUAUGAUUGUAAAAUUCACGAAAUUGUGAUUUUUUUUCCAAUUUAUUCGGAGAGAGAGAGAGAGAAAUACAUGCUGGUGACAUGGCAAACGGUGGUGUUGUCAGCGCCGCCGAUGGAAGUGCAGCUGCAGUUGACGUCAUUAGUAGUGUCGUCAGGCAACUUUUUGUCACUCCAUGUACUUGUUUUGUUGCAUGGAUCUGUUUCGAAAUCCCAGUUCCUUUUCCCUAAUGCGUCUGCUAUUUCUCUCAACGCAUCCACUGGAAGAGAAAAGAGGCGAACAAGGCAAAGAGACCGCCCAAUAUAUCAUGCGUAAGAAGCACAAAACGAUGUCAGAUUUGCCUGCGUGCACCUGAGGUUGAAUGCAUGCAUGAACAUCUUUCUAUCCGUAAAAGAAAGGAAGCACAAGCAAAUACAGCUUGGUAAAGGAGCCGGCCAAAAACAGGAGGAGGAACAAGGAACAGUAUGAGGAAAGCAAUACAAAGAUUGGUGGGUUUCACCUUCAUUGUCGGGCAGACAAGUGGUAGCGGUAGCGAAGUUGGUAGUGCAUAGAAGGACGAGCACCGAGAAGAGAAUCACCAUCAUUAUGAGAGAGAUACACACAAACAUACACACACACACAUAUACAUACAUACAUAUAUAUAUAUAUAUAUAUAUAUAUAUAUGAUUGAUAGUGAGUGGUUCUAGUUUCAUGCUUUUAUGAAGGAAAAGAGGAAGGGGGGACAAAGACGUUUCGCUCUUGUGUGUCUACAUAGGAGGAGAGAGAGUGGCGUGUGAAAGCAAGAGAGACAACCUAAAGUGCAUCUACAUAGGAGGAGAGAGAGUGGCAUGUGAAAGCAAGAGAGACGACCUAAAGUCUUCCCCUUAUAGAUAUUUAUCUGGGAAGAAAUGUCAUAAAUGAUCCAAUUAGUUUGUUCAAUAUAGUCCCUAAAAUUUAGUCUAGUGUGCAAUGCCAUUUAGUUUAGCCCGUGAAUUAUAUGGAAAUGUUCAAUAUUAUCAUUCUAUUAAUUCAAGUUUAGAGAUUACAUUGAAUAAAUCAUAAGUUCGUUGACUAUAUUUAACAUUAUGAUCAAGUUCAUGGAUGACACUGAAUAAAUUAAAAAUUCAAGGGUUAUAUUACAUAUCAUUUUGGUCCCAAGCUCAACCAAGACAGAGAGAUGAUUGUUAACUGAGCGGUCCAACUACAUGCAUUUAUGUAGGAAAAGAGGGAGGGAGGACAAAGACUCUUUGCUCUUGUACAUCUGCAUGGGAGAGUGACAUUGAUGUGUGAAAGUGAGAGAGACGACCCGAAUCUUCCCCUUAUAGAUAUUUGUCUAGGGAGAAAUGUCAUAAAUGAUUCCUAAAUCUUAGCUUAAUGUGUAAUGUAGCCUAUCUACUUUUGAUUUAUUCAAUAUAAUUCAUAAAACUUAGUUUAGUAUGUAAUGUCGUUCAAUUUAGCCCAUGAACAUUCCAAAUGAUAUAUCUAUGGGGUUUUACCAUUUGUUUGUCACAAAUAUACUGAUUUGUGGCUUCUUAUGGUAUUAAUUCAAUUUAACAGAAAUUAACGGAGGAUAAAUUUACCAUGAAUAUAUCGGUUUGAGAUUUUUAAUGAUUAAAAAAUUAGUUUAAAAUAAAUUUAUUAUAACUACAUCAAUUUGAGAUAUUUCAUAAUAUCAAUCUAAAAAAUAUAUACGCACAUCUAGAACGUGUGGAGAUGCAUGUGUCCACACACAACUCUUUGUUUUGGCUUCUCGAAAGUACAAUAAUUUUGACCUUUUCCACCAAACUUAUACCGAAUCAAAUAAUUUGAGAAUUGUUGUGGCAAACCAAAAGUUUCAAGUGCUUGUAAUUUUUUAUUUUUCAGAAAGAGCCAAAUCAUCCGCGUUAGCCGCCGGUAAAGAUUUGGAAAAAAUAUUGACUUUUUGCAUAGUCAUAGAAAAAGGCUGAGAUUUUCCAGUCAGAGAGUACUACUCAUGGAGCCGUCUAUCUAGACUUGGUCGAAUUUGACGGCAGAGACUACUAAUUAUUGCUUUGGCCUAACAUGGCCCUCUUUUAUCUCCGUUCCACGUUAGCAGUUGUAGCCAUGACCCGCAGAAAAGCCGCGACACGUGAUAUAAAAUUUAGAUUUUUAAGUUAUGCUAGUUUUGCGAAGAAUAAGUAUUUUUUAUAAAAAAAAAUUCUAAAAGUAAUCGUUUGUAUCGUUUGAAAUAAUUAAUUAAUGAAAAUCAUUUUCUUUAUUAACAACAAUUUAUAUCUAAAUACGUUUUUGGGCGAUGAAAAUAUUCUUUGUUUAUACAGUUUUGUAAGUGAGAGCCUUAAGCAAGACGUCAUCUUGUACGCAUGUCUGGUCAAAUUAACGUCAAGUCAUUUAGGGUUGUUUUAAUAUUGUCAACCAACGCAAUUAUAUUUAAAACGGUUUAGGAGAGUUUUGAAAAUUCCAUGUUUUGAAAAUUCCUUGAAUUCUAAGUAUGUGAGAUGUGUUUGUUUUGACAAAAUAAGUGAUUCAAAAAAUAUAUUCCGAAAAAUGAUCGCUUAUAUCAUUUAAAAAAAUUAAUCAAUGGAAAAUAUUUUCAUAAUUCAUAACAAUCUAUGCCUAAUUAUUUUCAUAGGCAAUGAAAAAAAUUUCUAUUAAUUUAUUUUUCUAAAUAAUAUAAACGAUUAUUUUUUGACAAAUGUUUUUCAAAUCACUCAUUUUUUAUGAAACAAACGUGCCCGUAAUAUUGUGCAGAUGUAGACAAUUUUCAAGCCCAUCGUGUUAUUCCUAUGAAGUCGAUCGACCAAUGUAUCUAAGUAAUUGAUAUAUCUUGAGCAAAAGGUCAAACACUCUCACAAUGUAACCCUCAUUCCUCUGCAUGACAUUUGUUGCGAAAACCGCACUUGAACCCCGUUAAAAGCCUAUGACGUAUAGCUUCGAUAGCAUCCAUGAAUAAAAGAUAUGAGGAGACUGCUAAACUGAGAGAAGGAUUACCUUUCAAUAGGAUCCAUGUAUAAAAAUUACACCGGUCCGUCAAGUUUGCUUCAUCUACUAGGAGAAUAAUCAAGCGAACCAUAAUGAUGAAGAUUCCGGAAGGAAUAUUUUUUUUGUGCAUUUCAUCUACUAAGCAACGGCGACGAAGAAGAAGAAGAAGAUUGAAAAUGGAGAAAGGGAAGAUGGAGAGAGAGGGACUUACAAGUUAUGGAGGCGGAAGAGUGCCGGAAAGAGACUGCUCAUUGAGAACUCUGUUUUCACAAUGACACAAAAGGCUUCGUUCUAUUGUUAUUUUUAUUUUAUAAAAAAAAUGUUAUUCUAUUAUUAAUAGUAAAUGAUGAAAUAAAUAAUAGCAUGACUAAAAUGAUAAUUAUAUAACAAUUCGAGUAAUAAUUCAUUUAAUUAGCAAUAAACAUCAUUGCAUAAUACAAAAUCAAAUUACGACAAUUUAGAUAAUCGUACUUAAUGUUAAGCAACAAUUAUUACUAUAUUAAUAAUUUUAAUACGAUAAAAUGAUUACAUACGGUUAAGAUGAUAUUUGCUAUUAUUUAAUGUUUUAAUACAAAACUCGAGUGGCCAUGGACGCACUCGUAAACACGACUAAUUUAAAUCGGAAUGUUGUCGCUUUAUCAAAAACUUUAAAGAUUUCAUUUUUAUUGGAUUGUUCAGAAAACACCUUUACCCGAUUACCCUAAUAACACUACCCCUAUUAUGUUUAGAGGUAAAUCAUUGUCAAAACUGAAAGUUUGGCAACAAGUUGAUCAUGUAACCUUGACACGAUAGAAAUUACAAGUGGGCGACAACUCUUUUAUUAUUUUUCCUUCAAAUUUCAUCUCGAUGAUUUUGGAUUUCAAACGAAAAUAACUAUUUGCAAAUGCGGUCUUAUUUUCACGGGGUAAGUCUUGAUUACGAUCUUUGUAUUUAGUGGAUUUUGCAAUCGAACAGCCGAAGGGAACCCAAUGAAUUUCCAUUUUCUUUUUGCACUCAAUACAUUUUGACGCAAAAGUAUAGGCCAAUGUUUCCGGUGUCAAUUGAUAUGUAAUUUUCGUGGAUGUUUGUGGAAUACCCAUUGGAGAAGAGGAGGGGACAGGGAAGGACGUACGAGGCUGAGCAGACGCAGGAACCGUCCGACCGGAAUUGGUGGUCGGCGCCAAGCCGGCAGGACAGCUGGCGGUGGCAGGAGCCGUGCGCGCCCGUCGGUCGGCCAAGCUUAAAAGCGAGAGAGCGGUGUGAGUUGAUGAGGGGUUCGGACAGAUUGAAAUCGGUGGGAGAGAGUGAGCCUAGAGAGAGAGAGGCAGAUGCGUAGAGAGCGAGAGCGAGAGCGGGGAACGAGAGGGAGCCUCGGCCGAUACCGCGGUCGCGCACGAACCCUGUCCGACGACCACGGCCGGUCGACAUCCUCAAGCCAAACAGCUAAACCUUUCUUUUUUCCUCUUUUUCUGCCCUGUUUUUGGGCACGACGGGCCGGAGCUCGCGACCGUCCGGCUCACGCGAACUCCGGCCCCGACCAUCCUUUGUUUGGCUGCUGCGUGUGUCGUUGUUCAUUUGGCGAGAGUCUCGGCCCAGGUUUGAGUCACGGUCAAGCCGAAAACCACUCGUUUUCGUAGCGCACUCCACCUGUUCGGUAAGAUGCCUGAAUGAGAUCCGUUUUCAAUUCGCCCUUUUUGGUCGGAGCCAUCUGUACUGAGCCCUGCCUUGUCGAGUUGCUCACGAGGUGUCGGCAUUCCCGGGCGUCGGCUGCUUGGCCGGUUCAACACGCCCGCGCCGUCCCCUCCGCUGUUUUUGUUUUCAGCCAAGGAGAGGAAUGUCUCGGUCGGCUACAUCACGAGUCAGGACCGAGUGAAGAGCGCCGCCAAGGCCAAGGCGUCUCAGUCGGUUGACCGUGAGGUGGCCGGUCCGUGGCUGCCAUCCGGUUGUCCGCGGAAGCCCCCGGCCAUCGUGGCUCGGGUAUCCCACGAGAGCCUGCCGCCGCGUCACUGGUCCCAUUCGGGCUGAUCACCCAUUCCGUGUCACCUAAGGCAACGCCUAGGUACACCGCCGGUUUGGGCGGAGACGAGCGGCGUUGCCCAGCGUCGUCAUCUCCGUCACGGCAGAGAAACUGCGAACCGGGUCGGUUCGGCCGGAUCCGGAUCGGGCCGGCUCGCGGAUCUGACUGAUCCGGUUCGUCUGUUUCUGUGUUGAUUUGAGCAUUUUGGGCUAAGUUUUUUUUUUUUAAAGAUGGGCCGGGCUAAAAAAAAUAGGGUAAGUUGGGCUGGGUUUUGUCUUUUUUAAAUGAGAGUCCUGGCUUGGCUGGACUGGGCCCGUGCGCUAAGCCUAUUCUGGCUGAGGGCCUAGUGCCCUGUGACCCAGGCCCACGGACCCGGGUCGGAUCCGGAUAUCGGACUUGGCUCCUUAUUUUCGGAUUAAAUUAAUUUUAAAAUUUAUUUUUUAAUAUUAAAAAUUCAAAAAGUUAAACAUUAAUUAAAAAAUUGUUUUUUGGGUAGUUUUCUUAGGAAAAUCCUUGAUAAAAAAUCGUGCUCAAAAUUGAACAAAUUCUUUAGAACUUUAUAACAGGGUUUGAAUAUUUGUUUUUAUGAGAUGAAGGCUCUUGAUUGUGCACUUAAUUAUGAUUUUCUUUGGACUAGUUAGGAAUGGUAUUUUUUGUUUUUUUGUUUCUUAGCAUCAAAUUCUUGUUCUUCCUUGCAAUUUAUUAAUACUUUUUUAGUUUAUGAUUGAUAUUUUAAUAAUUAUACACUUGCAUGAUCACUUAAUAUGUUAAUGGAUAGGUUUAAAAUUGAUCCAUACCGCUUAAGCUACCGGUGACUCUUCGUUAGAAAAUUUUUAUAGCGUCAAUUGAAGCUAAAAUUGAAUACCCAAUACCACACGGGGAUGGGUUUGGGAUAGCCCAUGCCUAAUUGAGGGGUGUAGGCUUGCCUUUUAAGCAUUACCCCUUAACCUUUGUUUUUUCCUCUUGGGAUAGAAAAGAUUGGUUGCGAUAGGUAUAUUGUACAUAUACGUCGAUUGGUUGUGGAAAAUGCCCUCGGCUAGAAAGUAUUAGCCCAAAAGCUUAAGAACAAUUGGUUGCCCCUAUGUUAAGUAGGGAGAUAGAAGUCUAGCUCAAAAUCUUUUCUAUUGGAUAAAACUAUUAAGAUUGAACUUACAUCAAAGGUAAUUCACUAAAUUAUCUAAGCUAUAUGCAAUAAUUAAAGGAAACUAAGCUAACCUAAUUUUAAAGUCUAACAACUUAGUCAAGCCCCUUUUUUGAACCAAUAUCAAUUCUUAAAAAAAAAAAACCAAAAAUGGGGACUUGAGCUGGGCCCUUGGACUCGAUCUGAUAACGGGCUAGGAUCUAGUCUCACGGAUUGUUGCUAUUAAUACCCAAACUAAGCUCUUGCACCAAGUCCUCUUAAAUAUUCUAGACCCAUUUCACUUUAAUAAUAAUAAUAAAAAACACCAACCCACCCCUAUCUUAAUGAAACUAAGCUCAUAUUUGCCAAGUAAAGACCUAAAGCACAUCCUAUUUUGUCUUCCAUAUUUUGCCUUCUUUUCCUAUGGAGUAAAUUACUAUUUUCUACUUUACCUGUUACUCCCACCAUCUAUUCUAAGAACAUUCCUUGUUGCCCAACCUUAUUGCCCAAAAACCUUCAAUACUUGCUAGAUAACCACAAAAUAACUAAAGCUUUAGCAAAAAUCCGCUAGAAAUUGCACAGUUUAUCUUUGAUCAACACCGAUCUACAAAACAUGAUUCGCCAUCAUUGCUAGAUGAACAUUUGAUUCGUUGGUCGCCACCAAAGCUUACCCAAUGUCUAAAGUGCACUCUAAUAUUGUUUCUUGCAACUUAAGAGAGCUUAAUUUUUGUCUUUGUUGGCUAUGUUGGGUGCUUCUUGGCCGUCUUCUAUUUUGGAGGGUAUGAAUGAAUGGAGGGCCUAGUAUCGAAUGAGACAGUACUUGGUGAGAGCACGCUUUAAUAUUGUUUCUUGUAACUUGAGAGAGCUUAAUUUUUGUCUUUGUUGGCUAUGUUGGGUGCUUUUUUGCCGUAUUUUAUUUUGGAUGAUAUGAAUGAAUGGAGAGCCUAGUAUCAAAUGGGAGAGUACUUGGUGAGAGCGCGCUCUAAUAUUGUUUCUUGCAACAGCUUGAUUUUUGUCUUUGUUGGCUAUGUUGGGUGCUUCUUAGCCAUGUUCUAUUUGGAGGAUAUGAAUGAAUGGAGAGUGGAGAGCCUAGCAUUAAAUGGGAGAGUAUUUGGUGAGAGUGCGAUUUAAUAUUAUUUCUUGGAACUUAGUAAAACUUGAUUUUUGUCUUUAUUGGUUAUGUUGGUGCUUAUUGGCCGUGUUUUAUUUUGCGGGAUAUUAACGAAUGGAGAGCCUAGCAUUGAAUGGGAGAGUACUUGGUGAGAGUGUGCUCUAAUAUUGUUUCUUGCAACUUAAGAGAGCUUGAUUUUAGUCUUUGUCGGCCAUAUUGAGUGCUUUUUGGUCGUGUUCUAUUUUGGAGGAUAUGAAUGAAUGAAGAGCCUACUAUCGAAUGGGAUAGUACUUAGUCAAUGAAACUAAGCUAAUCUAAUGUUAAAGUAUCAAAGCUAGAUGUGAAAAUCAAAGGAAAAUUAAGCUAUCUUAAUGUUAAAGUUUAACAACUUAGUCAAGCUUGUUUUCUACACCACUUUAUAUUGUUUUAAAAAAAUUGUUAAUUUUUUUAAUUCUGAAAAUGGGAACUCGGGUUAGGCCCUAGGACUUGUUCGAGAUAUAGUCUCAUGGAUCUAUGCUAUCAAUACCACUCUUGCACCAAGUCCUCUUAAUUUCUCUAGACCCAUUUUACUUAUAUAUAUAUAAAACCAGCCCAUACUUAUCUAAACGAAGUCAAGCCAAUAUCUGUCAACUAAAAACUAGCCCAUAGGACUCAAAUUAAAACCUCUCAUGCCCUAACAAGAUUAAGCCCAUCCUAUUUCCUCUUCCACAUUAUGCCUUCUUUUCCUAUUAAGUUAAUUUCUAUUUUCCACUUUGACUAUUUCUCCCGCCACCAAUUCUCAAAACAUUCCUCAUUGCCCCCACUUUAUUGCCCAAAAACCUUCAACACUUGCUGGAUAAUCAUAGAAGAAGCGAAGCUUAAGCAAAGAUCUACAGGAAAUCGCACUUGCAUUUGGUUUUCCUUUCGCAUACUUUUACUUAGGUGUUUUCAAUACUUGAGUGUGUCCAUAUUCCAUCGCACUUCAAUUGUUAAUUUCUUUUCUAGAUCAAGCCCACAAAACUAUUUGCAUGAUCACUUAGCAUUGGUGACACCUUUUAGGAUCAAUUGGUAAUCAAAAUUUGCAUGAUCACUUAGGUAAACAAUGAAUUAAUUUAGUGGUACUGAAAAGGCAUUAAUAGACAUUGAUGUAAUUAAGUUCUCGAGUUUAGAAUUUCUAAUUGCGUAGAAAGUAAGGCAUAUUCUUGUGCUUUACUUGGUUUCUAGUUAACGCCAACAAGCUAAUGAUGACUCCUAGAAAAUACUUAGAAUGUUUAAGAACACAAAAAAAAAAAAAAGAAUUAAAUGAUAUCCAACAUCGUGUAAAGUUUGGACUUGGGAGAGGUUGCGACUAAUUGAGGGCCAUUGGCUAGCCUUGGGGCAAUACUUCUAAACCAUUCCCGAGGAUCCUCAAAAAUCCUUUCGGAGGGUCGUGACAGUUACAAUGACUUUUGAUUUGAUAUAUGAUUGGAGUAAUUAGAGAGGCCACUAGUAUACGAUAACAUUACAAUCGUUAGACUCCCCAUAGAUCUUAAAUGGAGUUGGAAUAGCACAGUCCAAAGUGGCACCAUUUUUGUUUUGCUGGUGUGACAAACUUCCGACACUUUAAAUCAUUCACAUAAGUCAAAUUUUGAUAUCUCUUUAACUCAGUUAUGGGAUGAUUACCAUAAAAAAAUUUCCACUAUCCAAAAUAUAUGAGUAGACUUUUUACAUAAGAACAUAAAUGCUUAGGAUUGACAAGUUGGAGUCCACCUUAAUUAGGUUGUUUUUGGUUCAACAUUUCUAAGGGGUUUUCAGCCUCAAAAGCUCUUUGGAGUAAUGCUGGACUGUUUAGUAACUAUUUUGAAAGAUUUUUCAACUAAAAGUUAAUAUUGGGAAGGCUGAAAGCCCAAUGCUAGUGCUUUCAACAUUUAGUGUUGAAACUCAUUUUUUUUUCUGCCAAAACUACCCUCAUCAAUUUUCCAAUUUUUUCUCUUGUUAUUUUUUUUUUAUUUUUAUUUAUUUAAAAUUUAAAAUUUAUAUAAUUAAGAGAGAGAGAGAGAGGACUAAACCCUUUGUUGGUUCGAUGAAGGGUUAUGGUUGCUAGUGAGACAGAUUUAGCGUUGGUGGCCAUCGGUUGAGGGUGCUCGAGGUUGGAAACCUUCGACGAGGGUUGCGUGAGGUCGUGCCAUCUCCGAUGGCCCUUGCUUGGGUCACCUAACUCUCAUCGGAGGUCCCUUGACCUCAGGCAGCCUCGACUGACGACCGUUGGCACUAGAUUUGGCUUGACAUGGGUCGUAGUCCUUUGUAGGACUGGCAAGGGUUUAAUCUUUUUUUUUUAAAUAUAUAUUUAUUUUAUUUCAAUUUCAAAAAAAAUAAAAAUAUUAAUAUUAAUCACCCAAAUGACUUUUCAAAUGUAUUUUCUAUCAAACAUAUUUCUCUUAAAAUUACUUUUGAAAGUGUAAUUUAGCAAAUGGACUUUGUAUUUGCCCAAAGUCCUUUAGGCUAAAUUAUUUUGCAUUUUUCCAAUGAGCUUUCGAAAUGUUGAAUCAAAUGCAUCCUUAACCGCAUUAGCUUGUAGUAUCAUUUAUGUGUUUUUUAAGAUUAGCCGUAUAGGCUACCAAAUAACUAGUUGGAAAAGUUGCUCCCUUUCUCAUCAAGUCCAUAUUUAGCGGUUCUCAAUGGCAGCUUUAAGCCAAUCUUGUUCGUGUCCUAUUAAUUUUAGGUCUUUCUUAAUAAAUUCAUUUUUCGACAAGAAUAGUCACUCUUUCAACGUCAUCUUGUCAUAUCCGUACUAAUAAAACAUUUGGUGUUCAAGUCAGAUUUAUAUUUUGAUUAAAGAAAUGGGUUGCAAGAGGUGAUUAGUGUUAAUGAUCCCUCACAACAGAAUGCUCAUGUUGAUCAAUUUGUUUUAGUGAAUUAGAGAUUGUCCUUCACAUCACGCUUAGAAUAGUCGGCCAAAUUUUACUGGCCCAAUUGUUCAUUUUGAGCUUUUGGGCCGUUACUUUCCCUUAUAGUUGGGGGCAUUUUCGGAUUCAUUGCCAUAAUGCAAUUAUCAUUUCUCUUGUCAGUCAUAGACUCCACCUUAGGGAUUUGGAGCAGAUCCGAAACCUAGCCAUGGCGACUUAGCUCCCCUCGCUACCUCCUCUCUUAGCGUCAGCAAGCCCUCACCUCCCAAAGAGAGGAUGUCUCCCCACGAAAGCACUAGCUCUUCUUUAUUUUGAAGCCAAGGGACCUUCCUACCAAGUAUGAAAUCAUUGAAACUUUGGAUAGUAAGUGGUUGGAGGGUGCGGUCUAAUUUGUUUGCCAUGUUCUAUGAGGUAAUUUUUUUUAUUUGUAGUCAUUGAUCAUCUUCAUUUAUUGCUGUUCCAUUUAUUAUGUCUAACACGAUUGCUCUUAUAGUAGCGUAGGAUCUACCAACUUUCAAUAAAAUAUUACUUCUUCCUUAGAUUUGGAGGCAAAAUAUCUAGGAAGGAUGUCGUCAAACUCGAUGGUAAAGCUUUUUGUUUGGUUCUCUUCUGAUUUCGGAAAGUUGUGCUAAUGAGUUUUCUUUUGCUAUAGAGACACGAACACCUUGGAGAUUUUUUUUUUUUUUUUUGGUUGGGGAACACCUUGCAGAUUGAUAGCACCCUUUUGAGAUAUUCUAGCUUCAAAUCAAAGGAAGAAGUAAUCUUUGGUGGCAGUUCGAUAGAUCUUAACUUACUUCGCUUCUUCUUCAUUGUAAUAGCAACAAAUCGUAGUUAGACAAAAUAAAAGGGACAACUAUAAAUCAAGAUGAUCAAUGACUAUAAAAAAACAAUUUACCACAGAACAUGGCAAACAAAUAAGAUCACACCUCGAACUACUUACCAUCUAACAUGCGCAAAGUAUCAAUGAUCUCAUACUUAGUAGGAAGGCCCUUUGGCUUCUACAUAAAAAAGAACUAGUGCUUAUCGUGGAGAGACAUCCUCUCCCUUGGGAGGGGGACACGUUGCCUUGAGGUGGAGGGUUUUGCAUCCCUUGGUUAUGCAAAGGUUACAUGUCCCAACACAAAUGCCUCAUCGUGCUCAAAUUACUGGGUUGGUCAUUAAGAGCUUUCCUCUCGUUGGCUCAAGCAUUACUUCUCACCCAUUCUCCAUGGGACUUGGUGUCAUAAGGAACUUUUUCGUCCAUGUUGUUACCUACCCGCCUCGAGGACCAAUUCCAAUGGAGUAAGUCAGACAUAUUUGUUCAUAAAACCAUCCAAGUAGGCAUAUCUAUAAGAGAUGACUUAAAUACAUUGUUUAGUUGGUGAUCCACACUUGCCUCAUUAAUUAUGAAUGGGGGGUUCUUUCAACUUCAACCUCGCAUGACAGGUAUUUAUUUUAGAGUUCUUUAGACAUCCUAAAUAUCAAUUAGGAGUCGCCACUAGCCUCGUUUACGAGGAUCAACUAGAUUACCCAAUCAAGAAAUGAGAGCAUUUUAUCGAUUCCUUAGGAACCGAAAAUCAAUAAGUUUAGGGACUCGGAUUACGCUAGUGUUUUUAUUAGCGCAUUUUUUGUACCUAAUUAGUUGAGUUAUCUAAAUGAUCAUGCAUUUGUUCUUUACCAUUUUCAUGAUGUUUAGAAUCUCAUUAGGUUAUCACGCGUGGAUAGUUCAUUAAGGAAUCUCAACUAGUUAUAAUUCUAGCAUUUAAGAAAGGAAACAAGUGAAAAAAAGGAAAGUGCAUUGCGUAAAGUAAACUAUUCGAAGUGCAAGAACAUAGAAAACCUACAACUUAUCGAGUAUUUAUUACAAACUUGAAUAAAAACCUAAAACAUGUUUAGGUGACAAAUUGGGUACAAAAAGAGAUCAAAUUCAAUGAUAAGAACCACGGCCACCUCCUCCAUAGUUUGCCUCAAUGGUGUUAACUUUGCACUUCAGCUAAUCGAACUAUAAUAGCAAACAAGUCGUUGAUUUGAUACAAUAGCAAACAAGAACAAACAAGUUGUUGAUUUCAAAACGGGCCUCCAGAUCGGCCUUUGUAUUGCAUACAUAACGACCACCCCAAAUCACUUAAUUGGUUAAUUUGUGGUUAAUGAUAAACGGUCAUCAUUUGUAUUCACAAAACGGUGGUCAAUCUUAAUUAACCUUAAAUCGCUCAUGCACCAUAGCUAGCCAUUCCUUCAACAAGUACACACAUAUACAUGAAAUUGAGCAUGUAUUUAGGUUAAUGGGUCUUGUUUCUCAAAUAAUCAAACAAAAUUAAGUGAAUUAAUAACAGAUCACUUAAUUAAUCACUGAAAAUGGGUUGAUUUUGUUUAAAAGUUAUUAAUUAAUCAAAUAACGUUUAUAUCGAACUUUUUUUUUGUUUAAAAAAUAUUUAAUUGUUGAAUUUGGUAAAUCUCACGCGAAGUACCACAAAUUUAAAAUGAAAUUUUGUCAAAUUCAACACAUGCUGCUGGUGACCAACCGUGAGCUUGACGGCACUCACCCACCGGUGAGUUUUGUGUUUCCGGGGAAAACGAAUCUUUGUCAUUUUUUUGGCUCUAUCUACUCCCACGCGCUCUGCCACGCGUGGUUCAAGACGGCCCAAUCAACGCUCGAGAAGCUUCUAUAGUCCUAUUGCCGUGACGGACACGCGCUGCUGCUCCGUGGAACAGAGCAGGCGUCGGAAAUCAUUAGCUUUGUCGCCUCCUGGGGCAUCUCUCACGAGAUCCACGGGAGUGAUUGAAAAAAUGAAGAAAAGAUUUUGUUGAUAAAUCCCUUACUAGAAUAAUAAAAUAAGAAUAUUAAUUACUAAUUAAAAAUAAUGUCUGAUAAGGAACGUAAAUAGUCAAUUAGAAAAACAAGGAAUGAAUGUAAAUAUGGAUUACACGUAACAUAAAAAAAAUAUAAAUCAAAUGCAAUAAACUUUUCUUAUUUGGAGCAUAAUCUAAUAUCGAAAUAGCAAUAUAUAUUAAAAAUCGAAAACUCCUAUUUACUUAAAGCUUAUGGGAUAUGCUAUAUACAAACCAAAAAUCUAUCUUUCUUAAAAAAAAAUAUCAAAAAUGGUGUUUGAUAAUAAUCAAAAUGGCAACAUAUAUAACAACAUUAUAUUGACAAAUUGAUAAGACAUUUUACAAUGGGGUGAAAUUGUCAAAUAGAAAGCAAAAUCUUUAUUUAUUGUGCGAUUUUAUUAAAGAUCGAAUGUCAAGAUCUCAUGCAAAUCCACUAUUUACUAUUGAACCUGGAGUAAUAUGUACUUUGUUAUAAGAUUUAAGGUGAGUGGCUUUUACGAUAAGGGCACAAUAUCACUCAAAAGUUUAGUAUGAACAAAUUGUUGCUGCUGUCUACUGUCGGUGAGAACAUUUGUGUGCACAGUAAUCCUUGAAAAGACAUUUAUUUUUUUCUUUUUUUGUGUCACGAAAUAAGUUUUGCAAGGGAGCUGUGCUGGCUGCACAAUAAUGGGGACCAUGGGACCACGGGACCAUUUCAGAACAUAGAGAUGCAUGUCAACUAAUCAAAUCCAUGCCAUAACGGGUUCCACUUUUUCUGCACCUAAGGAAGCGAUAAAAGGCGAGCGGAGAGGGAGAGAGUAGUACUUGGACAAGGAGCAGUCGCCGAGGGGCUACCACUGAUACCUGGUGAAGGUGACGUUGGGGUGGCCGUUCCAGAGGCAAGCGAACUCACGCUUGAUAAAGGGGCAGAUGGAGGAGUUGUAGAGAAGGUAGGACAGGUUCGCCACCCAGCUCCCCCGAAACACAUCGGGUGCGUUUGGUUCAAUUUUUUACAAUAGGUUUGCAGCCUCCAAAGCCCAUUGAAAAAAAUAUUAGACAGUUUGGCAACUAUUUUGAAGUAAUUACAAGUGAAAGUUAGCAUUGGGAAAGCUGAAAGCCCAAUACUAAUAGGGACUAACUUUGAGCUUUCAACAUUUAGUCAAAUACUGAAACUUAUUUUUUUCUUCCAAAAUUAUUCUCACUCAUUCUUCAAUUUUUUUUAUUUUGCCAUAGUUAUUAUUUUUUAAAUGCCAAAAUAAUGCUAAAAAAAUCAAUUAUAUAUAAAUGCUAAAAAAAUUAAAUAUAUUUUGUAUAUAUUUUUAAUUAUUUAUAUAUUUGAUUUUUUUAUCAUUAUUGUCAAAAAAAUAUAUUUAAAAAGUUGCACACAUUAUUUUUUAUAAUUUUAAACAAGUAAAAAGUAAAAAUUCCAACGAAGGGUUUGGUCUUUUUAGAAAAAAAAAUUAUAUAUAUGUAUUUGAUUCCUUCGCAUUAUUUUCAAUUUUAUAUUUAAAAAUUCGCAUACAUUAUUUUUUUCAAUUUUAAAAAAUAAAAAUUAAAAAAUUUCGACGAAGGAUUUGGUCUUUUUUUAAUGUGUGUGUGUGUGUGUGUGUGUGUGUGUGUGUGUGUAUUUGAUUUUUUUUAGUAUUAUUGUCAAAAUUUAUAUUUAAAAAGUUGCAUACAUUUUUUUUCAAUUUUAAACAAUUAAAAAUUAAAAAAUUUGAUGAAGAAUUUGGUCUUUUUUUAAAAAUUAUAUAUACGUAUUUGAUUUUUUUUGGCAUUAUUGUGAAAAUUUAUAUUUAAAAAUUAUACAUCAUUUUUUUUUCAAUUUUAAGCAAAUACAAAUUAAAAAAUUCCGGUGAAGGGUUUGGUCUUUUAAUAUAUAUAUAUAUAUAUGUAUGUAUUUGAUUCUUUUAGUAUUAUUGUCAAAAUUUAUAUUUAAAAAGUUGUAUUCAUUAUUUUUUUUUCAAUUUUAAACAAAUAAAAUUUUUAAAAAACUAAUAUUAAUCACUUAAAGAGUUUUUCAAAUGUGUUUUCUACCAAACAACAUUUUUUUUAAAGUUGCUUUUUAAAGUAUAAUUUACCAAACAAUCUUUAUAUUUGCCUAAAGUUCUUUAGGCUAAAUUACUUUGCAUUUUUCCAAUGGGCUGCUUCCGCACCCCAUACCAUCAAUGUCAAAAGAGCCAGUUUCCAGUGAAAAGAACAAGAGGAGCCCAUCUGCAUUGCCUCUGUACCCACCAACCCCAACCCAUUUUGCUCUCACUGAAACAUAGCAACCCAAAAGGCUCUUUUUGGAGAGAGAGAGUUUUUGGAUUCUGGGUUACAUUUAACGUAGGUGGGCGUGGGGGUGAGAGAAAACCUGAGGUCAUGGGUCCACUGAGAUAAAGGGCAUUGUUGGAUUCUCCUUAAUGUACCUUCUUUGUUAUUCUUUUUCUGGUUAGCUACUUCAAAUACAGGAUUUGGUUAAGCAAUACGUGGAGUAACUCUCAAUAUAGUAGUAAAAGCAAGACGUGUAGGCGGAUCUACUUAAAAUACAGGAUUUGGUUUCCAUUUUCGGUGGGGAGCGGGGCUAGGGAUUUAUAUAGGAUUUAGGAAGUUGCUGCAGAUAUCUCUCUCUCUCUCUCUCUCUCAUUGGGCUUGGCUUGGCUUGCUUGGCUGAGCUGUAGGUUGUACAGAGUAGCAGCCAAUCAUCGCCUUUGAUGUUGACACUUCGAAUUGGUGGGGUCAACCAAUAAGCUAGUCCCUUGGAUUUCAAGGAGGGCAAACGAGGCCCCAACUUGUUUAAUUCUCUUGACAUUAACAUAAGACCUUUGGCGACCUAAAAAUAUGUCCUUAAAAGAUAUUAACUGAGAUUUAGUCCACACAUCGAGAUCCCUAAAUUUAAGAAUACCAAGAAGAUAAAGCCAAGUAUAGAAUUUGAUAAAGAUACUGACCAAUUGAGGAUACGGGAUAAUGUGGGCAUUGACACUCAAAAAUAAAAAACGCAUAUAGAGUCUGACGUCUCUAUAAAUCAAAUGGACAGGAAGUGAAGACCCUGCUGCCUUCCUUUGGUGAGCCUACAUGCUUAACCGUCAUCAAGAAUCCAAGGCAAGGACUCACAACAGGGAGACAAUUAAUAGAAAUGUAGUGUGCUGACGAGGCAGUAAUCUACCAUCCGUAGGAAAGAGUGACUAGACGUGCAGGUUUUUAAAGAUUUUUUUUUUUUUUUGGUGGAUGUAAUAUUAUGUAUUAUCAUUUCUCACAGAUGAGAUAGAUGAGGCGGAGCAUCAUCCAUACUAAAGAGAGAAAAUCUGGCACUUAAAAUAAUUCUUGAGGAGCAACGUACAACAGGCCUAGCUCGGGGAGUAAAACACGUCCAGAGCAAGAAUCCGCAACUUCGCCAUUCAAACAAUGAAAAGCUUCCAUAAUAGAUUCCCACCCUGGCAGUGGCAACCAUCCACAUCAUCAUUGCAUGAAGAAGUCCCAACAUCGUCUUUGUAUGAUUAACAAUAUCGAAAGAAACGGCACGAAUACAACCAUCAAACAACAAGCCAUCGUCUUUUGACUUUUCCCAAUAAGUUGUUUACAAUACACAAUUACUGCACCGCAUAAUAGUCGUCCUAUUCUUCAUAGUAUCUAUACCUUCAGUUUCAAAUGUGAACAAAAGAGAAACUUAGAAGCGAAAUUUAAGAGUUCCUUUUGAUGGAUUACCAAAUAAAGCCCUAGUUCUUUCAAACCAAAUUAACUCGAAACAUAGCAAACCAUUCCUUAUUUUCUGUUCUGCCAGUAAUCAGUAUCCGGAUUUAUCGGAUAGAGAUCAUUAGCAGAUGUAGAAGAAGCAGUUCCAGUCCACGGCCCAUCAGUGAGCGUGCUUUUGGUGAUAUUCUCAUCAACUGCCUGAUCUUCGUCACCUUUGAAAUGCUUCCUCAUGGCCUCAAUUGUCUCCUCCGUUAUGAUAGCACCCUCAGAGUCCAGCACUGGAACAGCAGCCUUGCCUUCAAGCAUGCUAACCACAGAUGACAUCGGUGGCCUGAGUGCUGGAGUCGCAUUAGUACACAGCAGAGCUACCUUUAUCAUUGCCAGCACCUCCUUUUCGUCAAAAUGAGAACCCAGCCUCUGAUCAACUAGAUCCAUCAAAUUUCCUUUCUCCUUCAAAACUCGUGCCUAGAAACAGAAAUGGAAAGGAAGAUAUUUCCCUCAAGCUACAGGUACUGGUCAGUUGUAGAAUAUGCUCAGAACACUAAAACAGGAAGAAGGAGAUAUAAUCUGCCCUCGAUAAUUUCAUGACAAAUGCAGUUGAUAAACACCUGCUAGUUUUUCAUUUUCGUUAUAAGUUAUACUUGGAAGGAAAAAAUCGAACAAGUCAAUACAGAUGAAACAUGAUUUCUUUUCCAAUUUUAAAUAGAAGUUAGUAAACUUAAACACUUGUUAAUCACUUACUAACAUUCACCGGUCACCAAAAAACUACCACCGCUGCUUUAAAAUUAUCAACUCUUAUUGAGUUUGACUGGCAGGAAUUAUUUGUCAGUUUGUCAUUACAUGAAACAGGAGAAUCGUCCAUCAAUGGUUUACACCAUUCAUUGCCUUCUACAUUCCAGUUUAACAAGAAUUACCUUAUUCUGCAGCUUAGGUGAAAAUCAGAUUUAACGGGGACUAAUAAUGAUUGUUUUAGCUAAUGAUUGGCUUACUCAAAGCACAAUAAAAGAUCUAAUUUUUGGACCUAAUUACAUGGAUGUGAAAAAGUCAAAUCUAAAUCGAAAGUAUAUCAAUAUUUGCGUCAAGCAUGGUCUUGAAAUCUUUUUAAAUCCAAUACUAAUUGUCAAACUGCAAAGUACUUGACCAACUUGUUUGGCGCUAAUGAAACUACAGGGAGUAUGAAUGUCACGCACAAAACUACAAAGACUAAAACAAAACAGCCCAAAUUUUAAAGACCCCAAAUUUCAACGAAUAGAAUUGUCUUCAAUCCAAGAAAGAAUCUACAUGAUUCCUUCUUUCAGGAGGCAGCCCAUUGUUUGAGUUUAACUGUGUCACUAGGUAAAUUCCAGUUUCAUUUCCUUAGAACCAGACUAAUCUGUGACCGCCCUCACCCCAAGUCGCUCAUCUUGAGCACGAACACCAUAGGCCGGCUACUGCAAGGAUUACUUGCUCCUUUCAAAUUCAGUAUAGACCAAUAUAACAAGAAUAAUUGGAUUAAUUUUAAAUGACAAAUUGCACUUAACGGCAUUACAAUUUGUUAAACAGGAUUCAGUAGCUGGUAAAUGUAACUCUCCUUUUCAACCAUUAAAAGUGCAUAUGAGGAGUUCGAUACUAUGUUCACACUUCCUUAAUCCAUCUCUCAACCGGCACAAGCAGAGAUUUAAUUAUCAUAAUAAGAAACUUUUGAACGCUAGAGUUAAUUACCCAAUUGAGUAGAUAAAAGCAUUUCUCCUUCUUUUGGUAACUGGUGUUGCUCCGGCCACUAACAACUUCCAAGGCAACAAUGCCAAAACCAUAGACGUCGGCUUUUUCAGUGAGGUAACCAUGCAUUGCAUACUCUGGUGCCAUAUAUCCACUGCAUAAGAAGAAAAGAGCUGGUGUUUGCAACAUGGCAAAUAUCUUAGAUAGUACUUAAUAUUUUCUUCCAAAGAUUGUCCCUCUUGUCUUCCUAAAAUACAAAAUAAGGAGAUAUUCCUAAUCAUGACACCAUGGUCUCCAGAGUCAAGGAAAAAACAAGUGCAUUUUAGAGAUUUUUUAAUAGGAUUCCGCAGAGAAUAUUUCAAAAUAAAAAAGAAAAUUUGUGGUUUUUAUAUAACUUUCAGCGUACAUAUAGUUUCGUAGUUGGAAAACAAGUGCAUCCUUAUAACUUGGAAGAGAGGCUCAUUAGCAGAAAAAAGAGUUGGAAACAGGCUGAGACAAGGUGGUACAUAUCGAAUGUGUCAACCCAUCACGCAUCACAAGGUCUGAAUACAUAGGCAGCAGCAGUGGGAGGAUUCCUAAAUCCAAGCCUAGGGGGCAUGAAAACAUCUUAAUAUUGUUGUUGUCGAUGUUGCUGUAGCAAUAGAAAAACAGCCCUACAUUUUCUCAGUAGCUUUCUAAACCCUGCGAUUCAUGUGCUUGCUUUGUAAUUUUGGUUUUAUUCUUUUGUAAUUCACUUGAAAGUGCACCAUCUAUGUUUAUGUCACGUGAAAUAUAUUUACGAAAAAUUGCACUUUUCAUGCAAAGGAAUAUAUAUAGAUAAUUUACAUUGAAACCGUUAACAUAUAGUAGUUGUUCUUAUUCAUUAAAUUGUUUUACAUUAAGUAGAUUGUUAUUGGAAAAACAUAAUAAAGACAAUUAAAUUACAUGUCAAUAUAGGUUGUUAAAAAGUAUUGCGUCAUAAUUGUAUCGUAAUAUUUUCAUAUACUUUUUGCAUGGGAGAAUAUAUUAGGUAGGGCAUACUGAAUUACCUUCCGAAAUGUUUUUCUUGACUAUUCUUAAUGUAUUAAAUGAAGUGUGUAUAAUAUGAUCAAUCUUUUGAUUAAUAUAUCAGGUAGGUGGAUAAAAUUUUUCCAGAAACUGUACUAGAUCAUUUAAGUUUGUUGAGAUGAUGGAAUUGUUUAAUGUUAUGGUUAUUUUUCGUUAAGCAAUUACUAUUAGAGUUAGUAGAAGGAACUUACAGUGCUAUCUUUUCCCUAAUCAAUCACAUUCUUUUCAUGAACAGGUUGACUUUCUACACAUGUCAACGCAAACGUUUGAAACAUCUGAACAUGCUUACUAUAUAUUUUUCUGUGUGUACAACUUCUAUAUGCAAAAAAAAUAAUUUCUUUAUACAACAAUCAACAGAAACAUAGGCGAAUUAGCUCUAUUGCCUAUAAUAUCAACUUAUAGCCAAAUUAACAAUUGCAUAAGUUAAUAUUAAUAAUAGAUUAUGAAAUAUAGUUAACAUUUAUUCCUAAUUAACACGAAGAGCGGUGAGAGAGGCAUGGAGCUUUGCGAUUAAGCCCCAUUUGUUGAGCACCAUGCUUUGGGAUGAUGUGAGUCAACCACAAAGCUCCAUUCAACUCACUUUUCUUAAAUUAGACGAGAUUUUUCUACUCCAUUCUUCUAUGUUGUCACUGACUCCUAAUUAGGUUAACAGGAACAUAAAACAAGAAACUUACUGAGUUCCAGCAAUCUUGGUGCUAAUAUGUGUGUUGUCCUCCAAAAUCUGAUAUUUUAGAGUUCAGAUCCUUAUCCAGUAAGAUAUUAGUAGCUUUAAUGUCUCUAUGCACAAUUUUUAGCCUCGACUCUUCAUGAAGAUAUGCCAACCCCCUGGCAAUACCCACACAUAUCUUGUGUCUUGUCGCCCAAUCCAACCUUAACUGAAAUUCUUCAGGACCUUCAAUUGUAUCAGAAGACAUCAAAACUGCUUUACUGCCAUGUCAUUAACUGAAGUCAGUGAAGCACAAUGUGAUAUCAAAUUACCAAACAAAGCGCGAGCAAGACUGUUAUUUUCCAUGUACUCGUAAACCAGCAAAAGUUGAUUUCCUUCAAUGCAGCAUCCAUAGAGUCUCACAAGAUGUGGAUGCUGAAGAGCAGAAAUCAUCCCAAGCUCAGUCACGAACUCACGAUUUCCUUGCUUUGAUGUGGAUGAAAGCUGCUUCACUGCUAUAGUGGUGCCGUCUAACAGAAGACCCUGCAAUUGAACUUUGGCAUAAGAUUUAUGCUGUGAAGAUUUAGAUACAUAAUGAUGCUUUCUACAAUUCCUUUUUGUUGGGAAUUAGGGGAAGUUUAUUUACUGAUUUUCCAGCAUACCUUGUACGCAGAACCAAAACCACCUUCUCCAAUCUUAUUGGCAGCAUCAAAAUUGUCUGUGGCAGCUUUAAUCUGUCGCAAGGUAAAUGAACCAAUUUGCAAUGCUAGAACCUUCAAAUCUGCAUGACAUUUUGGAACUUUCAAGAAUUCGGAGGAAUUAACAACGAAAGUUUGUAAUAUACUAUCUAACAAAGAUGUAGCAAUUCCUUCUCAAUGUGCCAGAAAACCUUAUUAUAACUAUUUUGUCUGAGCAAGUUCAGGACAGUGUAUCUUAACAUCUUGAAAUUUAUUUUCUAGGAAACUCUGGCUUCGGUUGGCAGUAUGUACUUUGAAAAAUGAAAUGAGAAUGUCCUCCAGGUAUUUAGUAGUGGGGGGAAAGAAAAAUCAUAGGAAAAACUCACUUUGGGAACGUAAGGCAAGGUUUGUAUGUUUCGAUAUCUUGUAGAUCCAAAGUUCCAGCAUUUUAUUUCAACAUCUUGAAACACAGAUUUAGAAUAUAUAUAUGGUCGAUUGUGCCCCAAAGGAGACCCAAUACACACACACACACACACACACACACCCAUCUAAGAAACAAUCUACUGUCCUCUUCCUAUAGCUAUCUAUUGAUUUAUUUUUAAGAUUUCUAAAUAAAAAUUUAGUUCGUUAAGUGUAACAAAUGGAUCAACGGCACUUUAGCUGUAUUAUGGCUUAACAAUAAAUCAUUUUCUCUUUGUGUCAAAUAGAAUUUCCAAUGCAAUGCACAAAUAUCGUGCAUCAAUAGUUAUACAGGAGAAUAGUCUAAGCUAGUUUCAGUAUUGAUGAUUCAUUGUGAUUACCCCUUCCCCCACCAGAAAAGGACACGCCAACAGUUUGACAGGACAACUGUGUGAAAUAUAAAUGAUGAGAUGUGAUUACCCCUCCAUUACCCAAAAAAAAAAAAAAAAACCUGAUAACCAACCGCUCCCCCCCCCUCCCCCCCUGCGGCCCCUCCACACACACACAAAAAAAGAGAGUAGGGCUAAUGGAGAAAUGUAUUCAGAACACAUAACAUUCUAUUUCUAGACAGAUAUAUGUGAACGAUAUAACAGAGGUAUACAAUUACCUUGUGCCAUUUCAUCUCCAUGUCCAAGACAUCCUCUCCGCCAAAGGAUAACCAGGAUAAGAAAAACUACAAAAACUAUAGCAGCCACAAUCCCGACUACAGUGCCAGCAGAUAUGCUGGUUCAUUCUCCUGGGAUUUUAAAGUCUGCAGUGAAAAAAGAACAACAUAUGUUUACCCACGACUGUUCAAGUAAAUGGGGUGGACAUACAUGCAGAAAAAUAUCAGUAGCUUCUUGGUGAACACAGAAAACAACAGAUGGGACAGCACACUAAUUGAGAAUCAAGAGGAAAUAAGAACUGCUCAGAACACUUCACAGAAACUAUCAGAUCAAUGAGCACCUUGGAACAUGUGAUAAAUACAAAGGGAAAAAGAAUAAGAAAAAGAAACAUAUUCUUCAUUCUCCAGGCUGUACUGUAUAAUACAGGUGCAAUGGUCGUUGAUUCACAGCAGGAAAGCGAAUGAGGUUAUAGUUUCAUAGUCUGAAAGGAAGGAUUAAAGAUACCUAGUGAAAACAUGCUCAGAUAGAAAGAAAACAAAGAAAACCAUAGCCAAUUUUCUCCUCUUAAGAGACAAAUAAUAGAUCGUAGUCAGCCACUAUGGAAAUUUAUCUGAUCAACUGUAACAGAUGCCAAUGGCCUGAAUCCAAAGUGGACAUUUGCAACCAAACCAAGUAACUGAGUAGCCUAUUGAUGACUUCUGGUGCAAGACCCAAAAAAGAAAAAAAAAAUGGUACUUUUUUCCAAUGUGAAUAUGGGUAACUUCCUCAACAGAGAACCACCAAGUGAAACGUGGAAGCGUCUGUCUGUAUACCAGGAUAGACGGAGAUAGCAGAUAUAAGAGGACCAUAGACUCCCCUUGUAGGUAUAGCAUUGGUUCCUUUCCCAGCCCAAUAUAAGCGUAUCUCCAGAGUGCGCUUGGUCACAUUGGCAGUAAAAUUUCUUGUGACCGGCUUUCCAACACCACCUGCUUCAAUCUCAAUGUUGAAAUCUUCCCACACCAUAUUCCCCUGAAAUAACGUUUAAUCUGAUUGAAGUUGAAUGUCUCCACACUGAACAAGGUGGAACUAUCAGUCUCAAUAUAAUGUAGAGAUUGUGAUCAGAUCAUGAUUUGCAAAUAUGAGAUAUGUAGAUAAAACAACCCAACCAUAACAAAUUGAACGCUUUAUAUGCUUUUCAUAUUAGAAGAAGCACUAGAUAAUGGCCAAAAUUUACCUGUAUAUAAAUGUUAAAAACUCGCCUUCCAAGGCUUUUAUAACUUUUGUCGCCCGUGAACCUUAUCUCCGCAAAAUCAAGGCUUACAUUGUAGAUCCCAUUCAUCAGACAAUAACCAUAAUAAGUUAGAGAGAUAGCAGAACGUCGUGCAUUCGUGUAAAGCAGGGCACUAUCCUUGGAAAGUAUGGAUGUAUUAUCAUUGUCUAAUAUAUAAUUAGCUGCUUCAUUGGAGUAAUCCAGGAAGUGACCAGUGCUACUGUAGCCCCAGAAUUUUUCACUUGGGAAGGAACUUGAAGCAGGUACAAGCGACGUUGAAUCAUCGUCAUAUGUGUUGUCCCCUAUUUUAACUUUGUUCCCACCGCAAUUUAUGAAGAGGUUAUGCCGAUCUGGAUGGAGUAAAGAAAUAGCCACACAGAGAAAAAUUAAGUUUUCUUCUUUCUGUUAACAUGGAGCGGACUUUCCAGACACACUAAAUAAACUAGCAUUCAUUUAUUGGAAAAUCACAUAGAAACUCCCAAGUUUAUGAGCAAUGCAUUAUUUCACGGAGGUGGCUUUUAGAAUUUCUAGAGUAAUAAUUAUGCAUUAACCAUCAGAGAUUGACACGAUAUCCAAGAGGAGAUUUGACAAGGAGAUGCACAGAGAGUAUGAUGCAAUAUCAGGAUCUCAUGAUAAUGAUAGGAUAUACAGCAGAUCAACUUACUUUCUGGACAAGGCUGACUUUGCAAACAUGCGGGUAGCCCACUCGUGGCAGGAUAGGAGGUUCUGAGGAAGUCAACAAAGAUUUUAAUGUCACAAUCAUCAUCAUUCUGAAUGAAGUUCAAUAAAAAAUUAAAAUGCAGUUCCUUGGAAAUCCAAGACUCUUGGUGAAAUUUUUUAUCUCAAACAUACGCAUUGUCAACUGCCGAGCUUGCGAACAAGUUGCUGUAGAGAAAAGACAAAAUCAACAUUCAGUAGAGAAACGAAAAUUUUGUACAUCUGCAGGACUAUAAGUUACUUAUAACUGCACAUUUGAGGGAAGCCCUCAACUUAGACUGAAGGAAGUAGUACAUACAUAGAUCGUUCUUCACAUCCUGUAUUUGUAGCAUUGAAGUUGUUAUAUGAUAGAUCACUACACAGAGAAAUAGCCAACCGUUUUCAAAAUCUCAUCAAUUUGGAAAAUACACUGAAAGUCAUUCCAUCAAAUGAUUAUUAUGUACAUAAAGGGAGACCAGUUGCAAAAUAUGGACAGGAAAGGCAAGUGGAAAGGCGAAAACAUCACAAGGUAAUGAAAGUAAUAUGUCAUCUUUAUUCAAGAAAUCUCAUCUUAAAAUAUUAAAGGGAGAAAGACUAAUGGAGUGAACGGAGACUUGAGAACUAGUCGGAUUGCAUAAAUACAUUUUUACCCAGUAACAGUACAACAGACAUGAUAUAUAAGGGAAGAGGCUCAAAUAGAACUGUGAUUCCAACGACUCCUAAGUCGGAUCUUCUUAUUAGAAAAUAUCCAGACCACUAUUUAUCAUUAAAACUACCUCAUAAAAGCUUCAUCCUUAUGCCCAUAAGAUAAUAUCAACUUUCUCCUAGGUACACUCAUUUUGGUUGCAGAGUUUCUCAAAUACACAAACCUAUAAACAUGCCCAAGCAACUAAUCAUAUUGUGCGGGUGAUGUGUUAGACAAACUUUCAAUGAAGAUUUAUAGGAAGCAAAAAUUUUCCAAAUGCCAUUUUUAUCACAAUGAUCUAGGGCUGUGAAGGGCUUUUUGUAUAGGGGAAAGUGGGGCUAACUUGGCACUUCCAAGAAAAUCCGAUUUUUAUUCUUUCAUACCAUUCAGCCUCUUGUCUUACAUAUAACAUUCCAAAAGACAGAUCCCAACAGGGAGAAAGGUACUUAUGAUAUCUCAAUGUAACUUCAUAGGCUAGAAAUCAGAAAGAUGCAAGAUGGGAGUGCAAAAUUGCUUACUACAGUGCAAAAUUAGCGAGAUAGAGCUAGACGCAAAUUAGUAAUUAAACAAGCCAUUUUCUUUGGGCAGCAAAGCUUACACAUUUGCUGCUUUCUUCAGGAUCCAAUUAGGCACUGCUCCAGUCAAUUGGUUUCCAGUCAGAUAGCUAAACAAGAUUAUUGGAAUUGAGUCAGUUCCUCAUGUACUUUUUGAACUCAAACCGAAAAAUCACAGAGCAGAUUAUAAGCAUUUAAUUAUUAGAGGUCUAGGAAAAAAUCUGUUAAGUCGUGAUAUCAAUACAGAGCUUUCAGCUGGAUAUGAAAGAUAAAGGAAAUCAAUGACAGAGGAAAAACUUGAUGCUUGCAAAACUUGGAGAGCAUGGGUUGCCAUAACACUGUACAGAAAGCUGAACAUAAUGAAGGAUACUAUCUUGCUAGCUUAGUAACUAUUUCCUCGUGAUAAUGUUCCUGUCCUUCUAAGACAAAAUAAAUAAUGGGGGAAGAUGUGCCAAUGUCAAACAGUCAAUCUUUGAGCAAAAAGAUCAAAAGAUGUGCCAUUGUUAAACGGUCCAAGAAGCUUAGGACUAUAGUUUCUCAUCAUUUGCAAGACUAUGCACAAUACAUCAAGGUCCAAUCUGCAGAUCUUCUAGAUAGCGCAUAAGAACUGCACCCACCUAACAACCUAUGGCCCUUGUUGUGAAAAGAACCAAAUAGAGAGCAUAAGGACUUUUGCUAUCUUUAAUCUCCUAUAAAUCAUAAAACUGGCGCACAGAACAUGCAUUAAGUACAUACACAUACAACUGUCAAAUAUUUAAGUAAUACUGAUCCAUUCAUCUCUUCCAGCAUAAACAAGUAACUCUAUUGACACUUGUGAAUCGUGCUCUUUAAGCAACAGAAAAUCAUCGAUCUACAUCUGCUCCAAGACUAGAGUCCCACCAAAAUAAUUAGUCGACAACAAACAUAAAUUCAUAACCCAAACCAUUGUAAAAUUCGGAUGGUGAAAUAAUAAGCAUUCAAUACACGAGGACUUUAAGGGAUAUAAACUGGAUGUGUUAUUGAGGUCUAAGUUCUAUUGAUAGCUCAACUAAUUUGCAGUAAGAGUUGCCUAUAGCUUGGCCAUUGGAACAACCUUCAAAUUUAGAUUCUUAUCUAAUAUGUGAAAAAGAAGCCUAAGUCCAGCAUCUAAGUACUUACAUAUAAUCUAUGCUGCCCAGGCUGCUAAAGUUGUCACGGAUUUCGCCACUCAGUUUGUUGAAGCUGAGGUCCCUGCAAAACAAUUAAAUGGAAAGGAGACAAAUAUAAUGAGAAGACAGUUUUAACAAACUCCCAGUGGACACUCUUUGAGUAUACUUUGGAGGAUUGUACAAACAUAGACAACAUCAAUGAAUCUACAGGUCUAGUUCAGAUGUUUAGACAUACAGGUCAAAUGCCUGGUGCCUAUGCUUUCUACUACACAUUCCUUUUUAGAGGCAUUCAUUGCAUAAAAUCCAUGUGCAUCAAGUUGGUCACAUGCUAUACAUAUACAAAAAUUCUGCUGUAAAUCAAAUUCGCUUCAAUUUAUAUAACUAGAAAUGCUACUCCGGCAAUAAAUUGAAUGCAUCCCGUGGAAUGCAACACAUUAUAGUUCAAAUUGGGAGAUUCCAUUUGUCUAAUAGGACCAAAACUAAAGCUGAUCAUAAUUUAAUGAACAGAUCUCCUUCAUAACAUUUUAUUCAUCAUGAAUAAAGAGAUGACAACUAAAUACUUGGAUGCUAAUAGAGUAGUGUAUCAGCUUGAGUGAAUAAUAAAAUAAAAAAUAAAAUGAGGAUUUCAAAAAAACAGGAAAGCAUGAUUCUGCAGUCCAAUAUAAUUAUUGAUGGAGAAAAUACAACCUAGUCGAACCUAAAGAAAAGGAAAUGGAGUAUAUGAUAAGCUGCACAGAACCACAGAAAUUUGGUUAUUCAAAAUGUCAGCAAAGAAUAAGCAUUGAUGGCUGGUGAUGACAGAAUGGCAAAAAAAAUUGCUGUUAAAUGAGGCAUUUAUAAAAUCUUACAUAGUUGACCAGGUGAAUAAGAAGAACUGACUUGUGUAAAGAUGCAUUUGAAGCCAUGCUCUCAUUCAAACAAAGAAUGUUAUGGCUGACAAAUAUACGACAGUCAAGCAUAAAACUCCAGUUAGAUAUUGUGGGGCUGAGAUUCGAGAAUGUGAACCACUAGAAGGAAAGUUUCCAGAUGAUCAACCACUAGAAGCCUCUAUCGAAGCUGUUAAAAUUAGACAAAACGGGCACCACAAGAAUUCUUGAGGUUUCUAUUCCUGGGAAAGUGAAAACAAAGAAAGAAAAGGUCCGUAUACUUCUGCGCAAAACUGUAUAUUCUAUGGCGGGGGCCCCAAUCACCAGACACUUAAAUGCCACAUCAUGAUUCACAAUUCAUCAAUAUCAACAGAAAAGAUCAAAACACCAUUGAAGUCGGUAAGGGACCUUCAAGCCAUCUUAAAUGGGUUCCUUAAGUGCAGCCAAUAGUCAACCAUAAACUAGUAGAAAUUUCAGUCAUUAAGGGUAAAAUUAUUUAUUCUGCUUGGAAUAGGAAAAGGGGAAAGCCAAUUUCCACUCACAAUAUUUUUAGCUGCGUCAUUCCUGCUAGAUAACCAGGUAGCUCUCCUGUGAGAUUGCAGCUCCUCAGAAUCCUAUAAGAAAAAAGCACUGAUGUUGUCACAUUGCUAAGACGAUUUGGCUCUCUUGCAUAAAGUAAACUAUCUUUGUAGGAGCAUCGGUCUCACAGUGUCUUAAUACUUGUACUGCUAAGUUGUGGAACUCGGGACUCGGGUCCAUUGAGGUCACUUAUUCUCCUGCACAUCAAAAUCAAAUAGGAAACUUUAUUAGAUUGAUACCAUUUUAAAGAAAGGAGAGAUGAGAUUGAAAUGCCAAACUUCAAUACUGACAGGUCGGACAAUUUCUCCAAAAGUGAGAUCCCAGAGGGAAUUGGUCCUUGCAAUCCACUUCCUUGAAUAACCCUGAUGAUCCAAUUGACAGGUUGAAUUAUCUUGGGGGUAUCUCUAUAGAGACCGACUUAAAAGGUGAAGAAGCAUUAAGCCUUACAGUUUGCUGAGAUUUGUCCAGUUCUGAAUAAAAUCAGGUAUCUUUCCCGUGAACUGAUUAUCACUGAGUUGCCUACAAUGCAUUAAACCACAAGACUCGUAUGAAGAAAGAAGGAUAGCAGUAUCUAGAUAUAUUAGCAGAGUUUAUGGAAUCUGGUAACUAACAGCUCCUGCAAUGCCGUCAAUUCAGCAAAUCUCGGAGGCAGCUCCCCAGUGAAAUUAUUUGACGAAAGGUGCCUGAGGCAAGAAAAUCCAGUUACAUCACAUUGGUUAAUAGAAAUUGUAUGCUGAUCUCUCAACAGAUCAAAUGAUAAAAUUCCCUUGCAAGGUACAACAUCAUCAGCGAAUACAAAGUGGAUGCCUAAUGCAGAAAUUCGCAUGAAGAGACUCACAGUAUAUGUAGCUGGGACAAGUUCCCCAGCUCUGGAGGCAGAAGUCCAGAGAGCUGAUUGAUCUCGACGACUCUGAGCGAAGAAUGAGAGUCAUAUCUUCAAACAUCAACCAAUUUACAUAGCGAAGACGCCAAACGCAAGCGGGCGGGGAUGGAGUUAUCGCUUACAAUUUGAAAAGUGAGGAUAUGUUUCCCAGCUCUUCGGGAUUGGACCCAGUCCAAUCGGUUUCCCAAUAGGGAACUGCACCCACAUCAUCGCGUUUCCCCCAAUCAAUCAAUAGAACAUACACUCGCAUAGAGAGAGAGAGAGAGAGAGAGAGAGAGAGAGAGAGAGAGAAGCACAUACAUGUUGCGCAACUUCGUAGAGCCCCAUUCUUUAGGAAUUGUGCCGUUCAGGCAAUUCCGGGUGACGUCACUGUUUACAGAGACAGGCGGCGGCGGCGACGGCGACGGCGAUGAUGAAGAAGAAGAAGAAGAAGAAGAAGAACAUCGAAAAUGGAGAAAGGGAAAAUGACGAGAGAGUGCUUACAAGUUCUCCAGGAAAGGCAAUUUGAACAGCUGGGCCGGAAGAGUGCCGUUCAGAGACUUCUCCUGGAGAACUCUGUUUUCACGAUGACACAAAGGCUUUAUUCUAUUGUUAUUUAUAUUUAAUCAAAGAAAUUUUUUUAUUCUAGUAUAAAUAGUAAUUGAUGAAAUAAAUAACAGAAUGAUUGGAAUGAUAAUUAUAUAACAAUUCGAGCAUUAAUCCAUCUGAUUGACAAGAAACAUCAUUCUACGAUGAAUAAUACAAAAUCAAAUUACGACGAUUGGGAUAAUCAUAUUUAAUGGCAAGCAACUGGUAUUACUGUAUUAAUAAUUUUAAUAUAAUAAAUGAUCAUAUCUUGUCAAGAUGAUAUUUACCUAUUAUUUAAUAUUUUAGUACAAAAUCAAGUAGCCGCUUCUAAAUACCACUAAUUUAAAUUGAAACUUUAUUACUUUGUUGAAAACUUCAAAGAUCUCCUUACCGUUCAAAAAGCACUUUUAGCUAAUUACACUUAAUAAAACUAACCCUAUUAUGUUUAGAGGUAAUUCAUUGUCAAAAUUGAAAGUUUGACGAGAAAUUGAUCAUAUAACUGGGACAUGAUAGAAAAAACAAAUGGAGAUAUCUCUUCUAUUCUUUCUCUUCGCAUUUCAUCUCAUUCGUAUGAUUUUGAAUAUAAAAAACGAGAAUAACUAUUCACAAGUGCAGAUUACUUUCAUGAGUAAAUUUCAAUGGUGAUCCAUGAAUUCAGUUGAUUUUGCGGGCUGAAUUUCAUUUUGAUUUUCUAAUCCAAAGAAUUUCCACUUUCUGUUUGUAUUCAAAACAUUUUGACCUAAAAAAAUAGGCCGAUCUUUUUGGUGAAAUGCUAAAAUGGUACCCAGAAUAUUGGCUCCGUGUUUACCAUGAGAGCUAGCUAACCUUAUAACAAGACAACACAAAAAUUGUAAAAUUCAUGAAAUUCAGAGUCUUCUCUCCAAUUUUUUUUUUUUUUUUGGGAGGAGGGGGGUGUGAUGACCCGAGCGGCGGUGCGCGGGGAGGAGGGAUGGCGGUGCGUCCGCGCCUCCGGUCCUCGGACGUGCGCAAGGGAAAGGGGAAGGGAUUCCUCUCCCUCUUGUCCCACAUCGCUUAGGGAGGGGUCCUUAGGAGCCUUUAUAAGGCUUGGGUGCCCCUUAACUUGUGAGACGCGUUUUAAAACCGUGAGGACUCAGUGUCCAAAGCGGACAAUAUCACACAAGUGGGGACCCGGGAUGUUACAGGGGGAGGGGGCAGAGAGAGAGAGAGAGAUACAUGCUAGUGAUAUGGCAAACAGUGGCGAUGUCAACUCCGCAAGUGGGAGUGCAGUCGCAAGCGACAUCAUUAGUAGUUUCAUCAGGUGGUUUUUUGUCACUCCAUGCCCCUGCUCUGCUACAUGGAUCUACAUUGAAAUCCCAGUUGCUUUCCCCUAAUGUCUUUGCUAUUUCUUUCAACGCAGCCACUGGAAGAGAAAAGAGGCCGUCAAGCCGAAGAGACCGCCCAAUAUAUCAUGCGUAGCAAGCACAAAACGAUGUCAGAUUUGCCUGUGUGCACUUGAGGUUGAAUGCAUGCAUCUUUCUAUAUGUUAAGAAAGGAAGCACAAGCAAAUACAGCUCAGCUCAGUGAAGGUGCCAGGCAAAAAUAGGAGGAACAAGGAACGGUACACUGAAAGCGAUACAAAAAUUGGUGGGGUUCUAAAGUUGUUUAAUUUUCACCUUCGUCGUUGGGCAAACAAGUGGCAGCGGCAGCAAGCUUAAUGAUGUAUAGGGAGGACGAGCACCGAGAAGAGAGAUCGAGCCAAGAAGAGAAUCGUCAUCAUUCACAGAGAGAGAGAGAUGAUUGUUAAUUGAGCGGUUUAGAGAGAGAGAGAGAGAGAGAGAGAGAGAGAGAGAGAGAGAGAGAGGGAGAGAGAUGACUGUUAAGUGAGUGGUCCAGCUUCAUGCACUUAUGUAGGAAAAGAUGGAGGGUGGACAAAGACUUUGUGGGGGAGGAGCAAUAGCAAUGUGUGAAAGCAAAAGAAACGACCCAAAGUCUUCCCCUUAAAGGAUAUUUACCUGUGGAGAAAUGUCAUAAAUGAUCCUAAACAUUAACUUGAUAUACAAUUCAGUAUCUUUACUUUUAAUUUGUUGAAUAUAGUCUCUAAAAUUCAAUACAGUAUGCAAUGCCGUUUAGUUUAGUUCAUGAAUUAUAUGGAAAUAUUCAAUAUUAUCAUUCCAUCAAUUCAAGCUAAAUGAUUACAUUGAACAAAUCAUAAAUUCAUCGACUAAAUUUAACAUUGUGGUAAAGUUCAUAGACCGCAUUAAAUAAGCUAAAAGUUUAAGGGUUAUAUUACAUAUAAUUUCCGUCUCAAGCUCAACCUAGAGAGAGAGAGAGAGAGAGAGAGAGAGAGAGAGAGAGAGAGAGAGAGUAUUGUUAAGUGAGUGGCACAACUUCAGGCAUUUAUGUAGGAAAAUAGGGAGGGCGGACAAAGACUUUUUGCUCUUGGAGAGCUACAGUGAUGUGUGAAAGCGAGAGAAAUGACCCUAAGUCUUCCCCUUAUAAAUAUUUAUCUAGGGAGAAAUUUCAUAAAUGAUCCCUAAAUCUUAGCUUAUUAUGUAAUGUGGUCUAUUUACUUUUGAUUUGUUUAAUAUAAUCCCUAAAAUUUAGUCCACUAUGCAAUGUCAUUCAAUUUAGCCCACGAACUAUAUGGAAAUAUUCAAUAUUGUCCUUCCAUUAAUUCAUGUGUAAGAAUAAUAUUGAACAUUUUCAUAUAAUUUAUGAAAUAAAUUGGAUGAGUAUCAAAAGUUCGGGGAUUACUUUGAACAAAUUAUAAGUUCAUAAACUAUAUUGAACAUUAUGAUAAAAUGCAAGGACCAAAUUACACAUUAAGCCAAAUUUCAUGAAUUAUUUAUAUCAUUAUUUCUUUAUCUAAGAUAAAGUAGCAAGCUUUUGUCCAACUCUUAUCAUGUAAUCACUUUUUUUUAUACAAUCAAUAUACCUAAUACAAGUCUUUUCUUUCUUUUCAUUUUUCCUCUCCAUUUUGUUCCCAUAAGGACAAUAGUCUUUUUGACCGUUUUGAUUUUUCUAUGAACACAUCUCGAAUUCAGGUUAGUAGACCCUCCAUCGAUAGUAGAGUCCAAAUUCCACGAUUAGUUGAUCAUGUUCUCCUGUAAAAGAAUUAGAUUCACCUGUUUGGACAAUUUUCUUUUCAUUUUUUUUUGUUAGUUCAGUCUUAACUAAUUAUUGGUUUCUUAAUAAUUCAAAAGCAAUGGGCAUGGAGACUCAACAAUUUUUAGGUCGAUGAGCAUCUUGCAAGUCUUGUGAACCAUUAAGUCUAGCCUUUUAUUUGCUUAAAUGAUCUAAAUUCAGAAUAGUGUGCAUGUAAUUGGCAAUAUUGAAUAGGUCAAACAUGAACGACGGACAAGUUGUCUUGACAGUAAAAUAUAUCUCCGGAGCUUCAAACAAUAAUCGACUCAUACGGUUGUAGCAUAAGAAAAACAGUUUGUCCCUUAUACUACGCCAGUCCAUAAUGGUUGCUUGUUCUCCAACAUAUCUAAAGUCUCUAUGGAUGUUGACAAGUGUUUCACUUUCAUCCACACACAAUGGAAAUAGAUUAAUCCGAGUCAACUAUGCAACUCUCUUUCUUGAGCCGCUCAUGAAAGAAAUGCUAUAAAACAAAUUAUAGACUAAUGCAACGAAAAAUCUCAAAAUAAUAUUUUAAAUUAAUUUUUUUAUCACAAAAAAAUUAAACUGAUAUAUUUAAGAGGCUUUGCCAUUUGUUUCUCAUAAGUUUAUCGAUUUGUGAUUAUUCGUGAUAUUAAUUCAAUUUAAUGAUAACUAAUGUAGAGUAAAUUUGUCAUAAAUAUAUCAGUUUGAGAUUAAAAUAAAUUUCUCACGGACAUAUUAAUUCAGGAUUAUCAAUGAAUUGACGUAAAAAUAUAUAUGUAGAUUUGGCACGUGUGGAGAUGUAUGUGUCAACUCAUGACUUUCUUUGCUUUGGCUUCUCGAAAGUAUAAUAAUUUUUUCGACCUUUCCCACCAAAUUCAAAGUAAAAGUCAAUCAUGGAAAAAUCAUAGAAAGAUCAUAUGACAACUGUUGUGGCAAAUGAAAAGUUUCAAGUGCUUAUAAUUUUGUUUUGUUUUUUUUUAAAGGGCCAAAUCAUCUGCGAGGCCAUCGCUGAGGAUUUGAAAAAACCUUGAUUUUUUGCAUAGUCAUAAUAGAAUAAGGCUGAGAUUUUCCAGUCAGAGCACGAGUCAUGGAGCCGUCGAUGUCGAUUCGGUUGAAUUUGAUGGCAGAGACUAGUCUUUGCUUUGACCUAACAUGGCCCCAUUUUGUCUCCGUUCCACGUUAGAAGUUGUAGCCAUGACCUAUGAAGGAAUAACACUUUCCAAGAGCCUUCGUGUCGUGUCGAAUACUUCGAAAUGUGUCCGACACUCGAUCAACACGUGUCGAAAAAUCUGACAUUUAGUCAACUUUUUCGACACUCUCCGACAUCAGAAUUCUAACAUAUGAGUUUCCCACACAUGAUUUCGAUAUUGAGGUAAAUUUUAAAAAUUCAAUAAAUGAGAGGUCAAAAUACAUAUAUGUGAAAAAAUAAAACACAAUAAUAAAAAUAAUAAAUGGAGAAAGAAGAAAAACCCAGUCUUUUCUUCUCUUUUGACUCCCACUUCCCUUGAUACACAAUUCACCUCUUAAGUUUUUUUUUUUUCUCAUUUUCCAACAUAUCUAACAUGCAAGUCCAGAAUAUGGAUCGCUUGUUUUUUUUUUUUUUUCGAAAUUUUAUGAAUUAUUGAAAUAGAGUUGAAUUUGUUAAAUUUGAAACAUUGAAUGAUAUUAAUAAAUGACGGAUUAAUGUUUAUAUAUUCAUUCUAGGCUUUUCUAUUUAUUUAUUUAUUUAUGCAUUUGAUUCAAAUUAAUUUGAUUGAAAUAAUCAUAAAAAUGAUAAUUUAUUGUGUAUAUAUAAAAAUGUAUAUUUAAUAUACAAUGUAUCGGAAUUCUCUAUUUUUUGAUAAAUGACGUGUCGGCGUGUUGUGUCGUGUUGUGUCGCGUGUCAGUGUUGGUACUACUUAGGCCACGACCCAUAGAAAAACCACAACACGUGAUAUAAAAUUUAGAUUUUCAAGUUGUGUUUGUUUCGCAAAUAAUAAAUAUUUUGAAAUUAUUUUUCUAAAACUAAUCACUUGUAUCACUUAAAAUAAUUAGUCAAUGAAAAGUGUUUUCUUUAUUAACAAUAAUUUAUAUUUAAAUAUGUUUGCGAAUGAUGAAAAUAGUUUUUGUUCAUACAAUUUUAUAAGUGAUAGCCUUGAGCAAGACAUCAUCUUGUAUGCAUGUAUGGUCAGAAAGUCAUUGGGGGGUCGUUUUAAUAUUGUCAACUAAUGCAAUUAUAUUCAAAACAGUUUAAGAAAGAUUUGAAAAUUCCAUGUUUUGAAAAUUCCAUGAAUUUUAAGUAUGUAAGGCGCGUUUGUUUUGACAGAAAAUAAGUGAUUCGGAAAAUAUUCUCUAAAAAAUGAUCGCUUAUAUUGCUUAAAAAAAUUAGUCAACAAAAAAUAUUCUAAUCAUUGAUAACAAUUUAUGCCUAAUUAUUUUCGUAGGUGAUAAAAAAAAUUUCUAUUUCUUUAUUUUUCUAAAUGAUAUAAGCGAUCAAUUUUUGAAAAAUGUUUUCCAAAUCACUCAUUUUUCACGAAAUGAACGUACCUGUAAUAUCGUGCAGAGGGGGACAAUUUUCGAGCCCGUUCGGGAUGUGUAUGGGACGUUCCAAAACAUGUGAAUUUAUUGUGUUAUACCUAUGAAAUCAAUUGACCAAUGUAUCUAUGUGAUUAAUAUAUCUUGAGCAAAAGGUCAAACACACUGGCAAUGCAACCCUUGUUCCUCCGCAUCACAUUUGUUGCAAAAACCACACUUGAAUCCCAUUAAAAACCUUUGACAUAUAGCUUCGAUUGACAUCCAUAAAUAAAAGAUAUGAAGAGACUGCUAAACUGAGAGAAUGAUUACCUUUCAAUGGAUCCAUGUAUAUAAAUUGCACUGGUCCAUCAAGCUUGCUUUAUCUAUUAAGUGAAUGAUCAAGUGAACCAUAAUGGUGAAGAUUCCAAGAGGAUUUUUUUUUUUUUAAACAUUUCAUCUACUAAGCGAUGGCGACCACGACGGCAAUGAAGAAGAAGAUCGAAAAUGGAGAAAGGGAAGAUGGAGAGAGAGGAGGGGCUUACAAGUUCUGGAGGCGGAAGAGUGCCGAAAAGAGACUGCUCCUUGAAAAUUCUGUUUUCAAUGACACAAAAAGGCUUUAUUCUAUUAUUAUUUGUAUUUAAAUAUAUAUAUGUUAUUCUAUUAUUAAGAGUAAUUGAUGAAAUAAAAAAUAGCAUGAUUGAAAUGAUAAUUAUUAUAGAACAUUUCGAGCAAUAAUUCAUUUAAUUAGCAUAAACAUCAUUAUACAAUGGAUCAUACAAAAUCAAAUUACGAGAAAUUUAGAUAACCAUACUUAAUGGCAAGCAACUCUGUUGUUGUCUUAAUAAUUUUAUACGAUAAAAUGAUUACAUACUGUCGAGAUGAUAUUUGCUUAUUAUAUAGUAUUUUAAUAUGAAACUUAAGCAGCCAUGUACGCACUCGUAAAGACGACUAAUUUAAAUUAGAAUAUUGUUGCUUUACCGAAACUUUAAUGAUUUCAUUCUUGUUCGAUGGUUCAGAAAGUACCUUUAGCCGACAAUGUUAGAAAUUCUACGGAAAACCAUAAUCCUGAUAAUUGGGAUUUAUUGUGGAAAUGUGUAAAUUUUGUACUAACCUCCGGUUAUUGAUGAUAUCAAGAGCGGGUAUGCGAAGCUUGAACGAUCGUAAAAAAGCACUUCUAGCCAAUUGUCCUUUCGACGUUAAUGGUGUGUUUUCCAAUUAUCAAAUAAUCAGAAUAAUAAGAAUAAUGAGGGGGUUUGGCUUAGAUGACCAAUUUUUAUGCUCAUACAAAUCCUAAUAGAUAUAGUCUUCCAUCAAGACUAAUCCUAGUAGGUAUGGACAAUCUCCAUAAUUAUCAGCAACUAGAUUUGGAUAAUAAAUCCUCAAUGAAAUCUAAUGUAGGUAAUUUUAACUAAAUGUUGGAUCAUAUUGAUUAAAAUUAUAACAUUCUCUCACUUGAUCCCGACAUUUUAUUGAACGAAAUAUUUAACCAAAUCCACAAAACUUCACGCUGAAAAUAAAACACGUGAAUCAUGACGAUAAGUCCUCUUAGAAUGAGUAUUAUUUUUCAUGUAUCACAAUGUGUCUCACCAGUCCAUAUGUGAUAACAUACCAUAAUGAAUAAACCUUAUGUUCUAGGUCAAACAUGAUUGUUUUUCUCAUAUUAACUAAAUGAAUAUAACUGUAUUGAGAAAAAUAUCGCAAAUGAAUAAAAUUUUCUAUAAAUCUUCCAUAUAAAAAAAAAAAAUUACUUGAUUGGACCAAUGCCUAUUCUGACUACACGAUCCUUAUAACUCUUUGGUGGCAUGCCUUCAGUUAAAGGAUCAGUUUUCAUCAAUUCAAUACUUAUAUGUUUUAUGACUACUUUCUUCUCUUUAACACGUUCCUUGAUGACUAAAUACUUGAUGUUGAUGUGCUUACUUCGACCACCACUUUCAUGGUUCUUAGCCAUGGAAACCGCAGUUGAAUUAUCACAAAACAUUUUCAAUGGCUUAGUAAUAAAAUCAACUGUAAGCCCAAAUAUGAAACUUUUCAACCACACACCAUGUCAGGUGGUCUCCAAACAAGAAACAAACUCAGCCUUCAUAGUGGAAGCAGCCAAAGUCUGUUUCGCAUUCCUCUAGAAUAUAGCUCCACCAGCAAACAGAAUAAUGUAUCCCAAUGUAGAUUUACGGGAAUCGACACAGUAAGUGAAUUCUAAAUCCGAGUAACUAACUACCUUCAAGCUAUCAUUUUGCCUAUACAUAAGCAUGUGCCCCUUUGUACCUUGAAUGUAUCUCAACACAUUCUUUGUAGCUCUCCAAUUGUCCAUACAUGGAUUACUUCAGUAUCUUUCCAACAUUUCCACAACAAAAGUAAUAUUAGGGCGAUUGCAAAUCUGAGCAUAUAUCAAGUUUCUGACAACAAAAGCAUAUGUGAUAUUCUUCAUUUGUUUCCUUUCAAAAUCAUUCUUCGAGCACUGGUUCAAAUUAAACCUAUCACCCUUCAUAUGGAUGCUAUAUUUUGUGAACAAUUUUUUAUUCGAAAUCUCUUUAAGAGCUUAUUAAUAUAGGUUUCUUGAUAUAGUCCUAAUAUACCUUGAGAUCUAUCCCUAUGGAUCUUAACGCCAAUGAUACAAGAUGUCUCACUCGUAUCCUUCAUGUCAAAACUAUUAGAGAGGAAUUGUUUCACCUUAUGUAGCAACACCUUAUCAUUUGUUGCAAGUAAAAUGUUAUCCACGUAUAGGACAACCUUAUCAUUUGUCAAAAAUAAAUCUUGCUCCUACCAACCUUAUCAUAUAUAUAUUGAUUCAUGACAUUCUUUACAAAAUCGAAAGAAGAUAUGACCUCAUGGAAUUUCAAGUACUAUCAGCAGGAUGUUUGUUUCAACCCAUACAAAGAUCUCUUAAGCUUGCACACUAAAUGCUCACUAGCAUUAGAGAAAAAUCCUUCUAUUUGUUUCAUGUAAAUCACUUCUUCUAAUUUUCCAUUGAGGAACGUCAUUUUUACAUUUAUUUGAAAUGAGCAACUAAUGCCAAAAUAAUACGAAAAGAAUUUUUCUUAGAUGCAUGAGAAAUUGUCUUCGUGUAAUCAAUUCCCUCCUUUCAAGUGAAUCUCUUGGCAACGAGUCUGACUUUGUAUCUCUCAAUAUUGUCCAAUGAGUAUCUCUUAGUUUUAAAAAUCCAUUUACAACCAAUGGGCCUCGUCCUAUCAGACAACUUUACUAAAUCUCAAACUUCAUUAGAUACCAUAAAACUCAUCUCUUCUUUCAUGGCAUUACACUACAAAUUAGAUUUAUCACAACUUAUGACUUGUGAAAACGUUUCAGGAUCAUUCUUAGUACUAACAUUAUAGUUAAAUUCUUGCAAAUAUAGUCACUAGAAAUUGCUGAUUUCUUCAAUUUAGUUGACCUUUUUAAUGUUAAUGCAACAUUUUCCUAAGGAGCAUGUUGUUCAACCGAUUGCUCGACAUUUUCUGGUAAUUGCUGAACAAUUAAAUCUAUCAAAUUAAUAUCAACAUGUUAUGGAAUUUCUAUGAUUGGUUGUUCAACGACAGGUUGAACUGAAGGAACGUUGUAAAUAACAACCAAUCCAAUACCUAAAAUGGAAGGGUGGGUAUUUGAAUGAUCUUCUUUAGAAAUAAGGCCCUUAAAUUGAUCUCUUCCACUAAUUAGGUCAUUCUCAAGAGACUUAACAUUUCUUGAUUCCACAAAUCUAGUGGUGUGACAUGGAUAAUAAAACCUGUAUCUCUUGGACUUUUCGGCAUAUCCAAUGAAAUACCUAUUUAUAGUCCUUGGGUUUAACUUCUUUUCCCGUGAAUUGUAGACUCGUACUUCAGACGGGUGUAUGCGUACAUGUUGCAAACUCAAUUUCCAACCUUUGAAUAACUCAAAAGGCAUAUUAAGGAUGGCCUUAAUUGAAACUUAGUUUAAUAUGUACAAUGCUGUUGAAGAGCUUUAGUCCAUAAGGAUUUAGGUGUUAGAGAAAACUUUUUUGUGUGUUUUGAAGCUGACAAAAUAUUUCCAUCAGUCUAGGCUGAAGACUUAUAGACUCUUUAGUCAAAGUCUGAAGAACACUGAACCGCCAAACUCAAGAUUCAAAGCUUAUCCUCAUUGACAGUUUCUAGACUGUCGAAAAAGUCUUAUAUAGAAUUGAGUAUUUUGUUAAGGAUUUGAUUCUAUCGAUUGAAGAAGAUCUCUUGGCUGGAGAUAGCAUCUCAGAAUCCAUUAUUCAAAUUGAGAUUGAUUCAGGGAUUUUGGAUCCGUUGAUUGACGAAGCAUACUUGGAAGGUUCUACUUAUGGAAAUCUAGAUCUUGAUUGUAUGGGCGAGCGGGAUUGGUGGGCUAUCGUCAUAUUCCUUAAAUAACUCGAAAUCUCCCUAAUUGAUUCUGUCCAACGGGUAGAUUGGAAGAAUUCCUUUGGUAAAUGCCAACGGGUAUGAAGGCAUGGAGGAGUAUAUAAGGAAGACGUUCCGGUUAUUCGAGUGUAUGCGCGAUAGAAGAAUUCCAAAGUUUGAAGUUCCUUGUUAUUUGUCAAUUCAAUUAUUGACCGUAAACUUGUACUCAAAAGAGAGUUUAUACUUCUGUGAGACCUUGAGGAAGUGUAGCAGAGUCUCUACACUGUGGAAUCAAGGAAGAGCCAUAUUUUAACAACUCUUUUGAUUCUUAGUGAAAUCCAGCCGGUGGGCUGUCAGUGCGGAAGAGUGGAUGUAGGCUUGGAUUAAGCCGAACCACUAUAAACCCUGUGUUCUUAUUCUCUUUCCUAAACUCUUUUACUUUGAUCGUAUUUUAUUUGAUUAUUAGAGUCUAAUUUCCUUUUCAUAAUUUAUUGCUAAACAGAGUCGGUUUAAAAGUAAAAUUAUACUCUUUACUCUGCAAAAUUUGUUUUCGCACCUAUUCACCCCCUCUAGGUACUCGUACUAGCUUUCAUAAUUGGUAUCAGAGUCUAUGUACUCACUUAAAUUGAAGUGUUUUUACUUCAAAGUUAACGAUCCAUGGCUAGUAUGUUGGCUCCAGGUUUGGUUGAAGGGCAGAGCAAUACCAGACCGCCUUAUUUUGAUGGAAAUGAAUACAACAUAUGGAAAAACAAGAUGAAGGUAUUCCUAAGAUCAAAGGAUCCUCUGGAAUGGGACGUGGUAGACAAAGGAAUCAUUCCUAAAGCUACAAUAGUCUCAGAAAGAGAAAAAGAAGCUGUUGAGUCCAGUGAAAUGACUCAAGAAGAGAUAACUAAGAAACAAGCUCUUGAUGCAAAAGCAAUUUAUUCCUUAUAUUGUGCAUUAUUUCCUACUGAAUAUAACAUAAUAUCUUCUUGUGAAACAGCUAAAGAAGUCUGUGAUAGAUUUCAUAUCAUCUACGAAGGAACUGAUCGAGUGAAAGAAACCAUAAUCAAUAUUCUGCUCAGUCAAUAUAAAGCAUUCAAGAUGAAAUCAAGAGAAUCUAUUACUGACAUGCUUAGUCAUUUUACAGAAAUCGUGAAUGGUUUUAAGUAUCAAGGUCAACCAAUCUUUGGACCCAUGAAAGUCAACAAGUUACUGCGUGGACUUUCCAAAGAUUGGAACCACAUAAAGACCUCAAUAAAGGAGACACAAAGAAUCAUGCCACUCUCUGUUGACGAAUUAGUUGGCACUCUUUAGUCUUAUGAAGUGGAGCAAAUCAACGAAGAUGAAGAUCCCAAAGGUAAGAAAUCCAUUGCAUUAAAAUCUAACGAUGAUUAUGAUGUCACAGAUUUUGAAGACGAUAUGGACGAUGAAGAGCUUGCUCUCAUGAUAAGAAGGUUCAGAAAAUUGAAUAGAAAGGGAAGAAGAUUCAAUCCGAAGAAACAAAGUUCUCAAAAGCUACAGAAUAAAUCAGUUGAGGAUGAUGAAUCCAACAAUGAUGUAGUCUGCUUUGGAUGCAAGAAAAAGGAACACAUCAGACCCAAUUGUCCUCUGCUGAAAAGAAAGAAAGGAAAAGCUAAGAAAUAUCGAAAGACACUUAAAGCAGAAACUUGGAGUGACACCGAAUGUGAAGAAAGUGAUGAUGAUUAUGCUAAUAUUUGUCUCAUGGCACAAUCAGACUUAGAUUCAGAGUUUGAGACAGACUCGGACUAAAAUAGUGAAAUCGAGGUAAGUAAUUUAAAAAUUCCUACUAAAGUCUCUAAAUAUAUUGAUGAAUUGUGUCUUAGUCUCAAAACCUCUCUCAAGAGGAUUUCUGAACUUAAAAGGGGAAAUUCUGCACUGAAGCAACAUGAAAUUGUUUGGAAAGAAAAGGUCAAAAGUUUAGACAAAAGUAUUAUUACUUUAAAAGAAAAUACAGACAAUCUUUCAAAAGAAAAUGCAUUCUUGAAAAAUGAUAUCUUAAGCAUUUCUAAAAGGUUUUCUAUGGGAUCUAAGAAACUGGAAAAAAUUCUUUCAGCACAAAGAUCUUACUUCAACAAAUCAGGGUUGGGAAUGACUGCUGAAACUAGUCCUCUAAUUGAUUUUCCUAAGAUAAAGGAAAGAAUUAAACAAAGACCUACAAAAGAUUCUUACAAAAAUCAUUUCCAAAAAGUUUUUGUAAAACCUGUAGGCCGCAGUGCUCUUAAAUGUUCUAAGUGUAACAGCUUAGAACACUUUGAGAAAAAAUGUCCCAUGGUUUGGAAACUUGUGAGGAAGGUUUGGGCAAAUACUGUAUAUCACAUUAACUCCACUGGACCCAAGAAAAUAUGGGUACCAGAGAAAGCUUGUGUUUCUUUUUUAAAUGCAGGUUACUAUCAAGAAAAAUGUUAAAUGGUACUUGGAUAGUGGAUGCUCGAGACAUAUGACAGGAGACUCAAACUGCUUUAUAAAACUUGUGCAAGUUAAUGAUGGAAAUGUUUCUUUUGGAGGAAAUAGCAAAUGAAGAAUUGUGGGAUAUAGAACUGUAAAGAUUGGAAGUCUCAUGAUCAGCAACGUUUCCUUAGUAGAAUGACUCAACUACAACUUACUGAGUAUCAGCCAACUAUGCGACACCGGUUUCAAAAUCAACUUUCAAGAAGGAAUAUGUUCAGGAACAAGUAAAGACUCAUCUCAGACUUUCAUGGGGCGAAGACAUGGGAAUAUUUAUUUGUUGGAUAUCAAACCAGAAAAAUCCUAGUGUCUAAUCUCAAUUCAAGAGAAAGUGAAUCUAUGGCACAGAAAACUUGGACACAUCAACAUGAAGCAAAUAGUCAAGAUCUCUACAAAGAAGCUUGUUCGUGGACUACCCAAUCUGACAUACCAAAAGUUUGAUCUAUGCACACCAUGCGUAUUAGGAAAACAUGUAAGAAAUUCAUUCAAACCAAUAAAUCAAGUGUCUACUAAUCAUGUUCUGCAGCUCUUGCAUAUGGAUCUCUUUGGACAAACCAGAACUUAGAACAUUGGAGGUAAGAAAUAUUGCCUAGUAAUUGUGGAUGAUUAUUCACGAUUCACUUGGGUAUAUUUUCUGGCAAGUAAGUCUGAAACCUUUUUGUAUUUUACAAAAUUUGCUAAGAAAGUUCAAAAUGAGAAAAUGUAUGUUAUUUCAAGUAUACGAAUAGACUAUGGAGGUGAAUUUGAAAAUCAAGACUUUGUUAAAUUCUGUGAUGAAUCAGGCUUUCAGCAUGUAUUCUCCUUACCUUAUACUCCAGAAAAGAAUGUAGUUGUGGAAAGAAAGAAUAAAUUGUUGCAAAAAAUGACUAGAAUUCUUUUAAUUGAAAGUAACAUUUCUUCUCGUUUUUGGGUUGAAGCAGUUUCUACAACAUGCUAUAUUAUUAAUAGAGAUUUCUUAAGACCUAUUAUGGAGAAAACUCCCUAUGAGUUGUUCAAAGGAAAGAAGUCAAUAGUUUCCUAUUUUCAUGUAUUUGGUUGCAAAUGUUUUAUAUUGAAAAAUAUAAAUGAUCGAAUUGGUAAGUUUGAAGAAAGAUCAGAUGAAGGUAUAUUCCUUGGAUAUUUAACCAUAAGCAAAGCUUAUAGAGUAUACAACAAAAAAGACUCAUUCAGUGGAAGAAUUGAUGAAUGUCAAAUUUCAAGACUUUAUGCAAAACUAAUCGAUUCAAACUCAACCUGAAGAAUCUGAAUCUGCUCCAGACUCUACAAAGUUUAAAUCACCAGAAGUUGCUCAGACUUCAGAAAACCAGCAACGAAUGAUCGUUGAAGAUUCAAAUGAAGAAAAAGACCAACAGUUUGACAAAUCAACCAGUAACUGGAAGCACAAGUCUAGUCAUCCUAAAGAACUCAUUAUUGGUGACAUUAAUGAGGGAAUUCGUACAAGAUCCAAAAGCGUGAAGAGUCUAGUGCUGUUGCUCUUAUUUCUGAAAUAGAACCCAAGAGCAUAGAAGAAGCUUUAAUUGAUGAAAGCUGGAUUGAAGCUAUGCAAGAAGAGCUCAGACAAUUCAGUAUCAAUAAUGUCUGGGAAUUGACUCUUAAACCGAAAGGUAAAAUCUAUCAUUGUAGCUAAAUGGGUUUUCGGGAACAAGAUGAACGAGAAAGGAAAAGUCGUAAGGAACAAAGCAAGACUCGUGGCCAAAGGAUAUAUGCAAGAAGAAUGGAUAAACUAUAAUGAGACCUACGCACUAGUAGCAAGGUUAAAAGCAAUUAGAUUAUUACUUGCUUUUGCUUGUUAUAAGAAUUUCAGGUUAUUCCAAAUGGACAUCAAAAGUUCUUUCAUAAAUGGAUUUAUCCAAAAAGAAGUCUAUGUGGAACAACCUCCCGGUUUUGAAGACCCAAGGAAACUAGACUUUGUGUUUAGACUAAAAAAGGCGCCGUAUGGUUUAAAGUAAGCACCUCGAGCUUGGUACGACAAACUAAGUAAGUUUUAAAUUCAAAAUGGCUUUGUUAAAGGUAAAGUGGAUACUACACUGUUUAUCAAAAGAGAAAGCAAAAUCUUCUUGCUUGUUCAAAUUUAUGUUGAUGAUAUUAUUUUUGGAUCAUCUAAUGAAAAUUUGUGCAAGAAAUUCUCUAAGACUAUGCAUGAUGAAUUUGAAAUGAGCAUGAUGGGUGAACUAUCCUUUUUUCUCAGACUCCAAGUAAAACAAUUGAAGGAAGUUAUUUUCAUUCACCAAGAAAAAUAUGCUAAAGAUCUUGUUAAAAAGUUUGGCUUGGAGAAUUGCAAAAAGAUAGAGAUACCAAUGUCAAGUUCUUCGAAGCUGGACAAAGAUGAAGGAGGAAAGAAAGUUGACCAGAAGCUAUACAGGAGUAUCAUUGGUUCACUUCUUUAUCUUACUGCUUCUAGACCUGACAUUCUGUUUAAUGUUUGUAUUUGUGCCAGAUUUCAACCAGAUCCCAAAGAAUCUCACUUAAGUGCUGCAAAACGCAUCAUCAAAUAUGUUGCAUCUACUUCUAAUCUCAGUCUCUAGUAUCCUAAAGAAUGGGACUUUACUCUUCUUGGAUAUUCAAACGCAGAUCUAGCAGGAUGCAGAGUUGAUAGGAAGAGCACCUCGAGCACUUGUCAAUUACUUGGUAAUAGGACAGUAUCUUGUUUUUUGAGGAAGCAAAGUACCGUAACUCUUUUUACAGCAGAAGCAGAAUAUGUGGCCCUUGGAAGUUGUUGUUCACAAAUUCUGUGGAUAAAACAAUAGCUAAGAGACUUUGGAAUUAAAGAUUCAUGCACUGAGAUCAAAUGUGACAAAACCAGCGCAAUCAAUCUCACCAAGAAUCCAAUUCUUCAUUCAAGUGCAAAGCAUAUAGAGAUUUGACAUCAUUUCAUUAGAGAUCAUGCUCAAAAUGGAGAAAUCUCGAUUCAAUUGAUUGACUUAAAGAAUCAACUAGCGGACAUCUUCACAAAGCUUUUGGAGAAAAGUCAAUUUGAGCUUAUUCGUUCCAAACUCAAUAUCUUAAAGUCUGAAGAAGUUCAGACUCAGGGAUAAAAGUCUAAUAAUAUUCAGACUUAGAAGAUGAAGAUCAAUGACUGUAAGUUAUUUUCGUUUUUAGAAAUUUAUCUCUUGGAUAAAAUCUCGAAAAUGUACGAUUAUCUAUUAAUUUGUAAUUGAUUGAUUUCGAAAAGGUACGAUCAUCUCCCCAGUAUUCGUGAUUAUUGCAAUCAUUCCUUUUCGAAAAAUGGGUUAUUUUUUAAAAGACAAUUAUCUAUUUUUCAAAAAGGCAGUUAUUUUUUAAAAGAAAAUUUUCUAUUUUUUCAUUUUUAUGUCUUUUUGUAUGCCUCUUUUCGACUGCUUUAUAUACUGAUCAUCUUCCUCAAAAACCCUAAAAGCACAGACCUUCGUUUUCUUAGUUUUACUCUCUAGUUUAAUCUUCAAAGUUCUCACCUUUUUUUACGAGUUGAGUUUGGAAUCUCUCAAAAACUAUGAAAAUGGCAUCUCAAAGGAAGUCUUCAAGGAUCGCAAACAGGGGACCACAACAAAUGUGUGAGGGUUCUACACAUUUUAACCUCACCGAGAAAAAAGAAUAUUCGAGACAGGAGCAGAGCCCACAACAUUCUCAACAGCGUCAAUCUUCUCAAGCUAGAUCUUAAGGUAGUGAUCGUAGAGCGGAGGAAGAAAUCAUUGAAGGCGCAGAACUCAUAAGAUCUCAAAAGUCCGCUUUUAUCUAUAAGCUUUACUCUUCUUUGAAAAGGGGAGAGGGACUCUUGAAAUAUAUCGAUGAAUUUUUGAAAGAUAAAGGGUAUCGAAAUGAAACCCACUUUUUGCGGACAAUGGAACGAUUGGAGAUUGCUCCUGCGGGGUCGGCAGAUCGACGCAUUUGCAAAUGUUCCUAGUGAUCCAUGUGUUGGAGGUCUUAGUCAGCUGAUGGAAUGAUGAUGACAAUGUACACUCAUUCAAGCCUAGAUGGGUGUGGGCGAUAUCGAGCAAAUGACAGAUUUGUUUCACUCAAAUGAACACAGACGACUUUACUCUAAGUUGCUAAAAAAGGGGUGAUCAAUCCGAGGAGUGUAGACUUUGAUUUUCUUGAUUCUAUGAAUGUGAAGCUGCGAGAGAAAUUCUCUAAACUUCAGCUUGAGCAAUUUUGUUCUGAGACGACUAAGGUAUAUCCAGAAUUUACUGCUUACUUCUAUUCUAAUCUCAGUUUCUUGGAUGCGAAUAGAUUUUCGUUUAGUAUUCGAGACCAAGACUAUGUUGUUGACAUGGACACAUUGACGGAUGUGAUUGGAGUGGAGCGAGGGGCUUUCCAAUUGAUUAGUGUGUCUAUUAGUCGUGCGAUAGUAGAGCUUGUUCGGGAUAGAAUGGUUAAAGGAAGAAUUUCAUACUUGAGGAUGAAUGCCUCUAACAUUUUGCUUCACAAAAUCAUGAUCAAUUGCCUCAGACCCAAGUCAACCUCGAAGACAAACGUCUCCAACUCAGAAGCAAAGUUGAUGUAUGCCAUUAAUGCUGGCAAGAAAUUCUCUCUACCUCACACAAUCAUGUUUUACAUGUACAGAACGAUGGCGAAAGACAGAGGGCAACUUCCUUACUCAGGACUUGUUACAAAGCUUUUCAAACGUUUCAAUAUUCAGCCUCCCAGGAUUUUGUGUGUUCGAUCAUGUGAUCAAAUGGUAGUGGGACUAAAAAUGGUUUCCAAAAUGUGUUUGAAAGAGCUGGACAAAGUUUUGGAGCGAUUGAAAGAGAAAACCCCUGUCAAGUCACACCAAGGUUCUUCAGUGGCAAAGCGGAAAAGGAAGGAGCCCAUGACAGUUCCAUCCAAGAAAAGAAGAGCACUUGUUCUGAAGGAUGAAGAGAAUGAGGAUGAUGUUACCAUUUCUGCUCUUGCACUGAGAAAUCUUCAAAGUGAUGUUCCAGAGACUGAGGAGAGAGAGGAUCAAGACAAAGACGAAGAAGAAGAAAUGAGUGGAGAGAGAGAAUCAAUGCAAAAAGAAGCAGAGGAAGAAAGAAUUGCAGAAGAAGAAGAAGGCAAAGGUGAACAGGCAAAAACAGAGCAUGAAGCGUACUUCUCACCUCCUGAGAGCAUUGAAACAGGGGGAGUUGCUGAUAAAAGAGGUACAUCUUCAACUGCUGUUACUAAUGAAGGUGUUAGUCGCUCACCUGCAGAUCCAGAAGACAUCUAUGCUUCUCAAUUCCCAGAGGAAGGUCAUGAGGUUUCAUCGCCAAAUCUGAGUGAUCAUGCUGGCUUGCUAUCAUCUGCAAAUACUCCCAUUGAUGGUGCAGAAGCCAGUACUCAGACUAAAAAUUCAGCAAACUUUUGCAGAGUUCUUGAUGUUCUUAUGGAGAUGCGAGGACAGAUUUAUGCCCUAGGAUGCGAAGUUCAGAACUUGCAGAAUGCAGGUCAAGCCUCUUCAGUUUCCUUGCAUGAUCAAAUUCAUGCCAUUGCCCUUCAAGUUCAAGCAAAUGCCAAUGGUGAAGAUAUGGCUCAACUGAAGGAGGAUUUGAAGAAGCUGGAAGGGAUUGUCCAGUCAAUGGGAGAUUUUCAGCUCAUUCGUGUUCCUAGGCAACCAUGAUUUCAUUAUCUUUUUAUCUCUACCUUUUUUAAUGCUGACAAAAAGGGGGAGAGAUGGUGCAGAUUUGAGACUUGACUUGUUUGACUUUACUUUUUGAAUGAAUUUUUACUUUUGUUUGGUUGUUUGGUUGUGACUGGAUUUGGACUGUUUGAUCGUUUGUUUAUUUUAAGCACUACUGGUAUUUCAUGGUAUAUCAUGGCAAAGAUAGAAGUUUAUAUACAGAACUAACUUUUUCCUAUGGAUUCAGAUUCAAUGCUAUCUUUACUAAGUCAAUUAUCCUUGUGAGAUAUCCAUGUUUGCUUGAAUACUGUUUUGCAGGUAAAAAAUAUCCAAAUCUGCAGAAAAGUUUUGUUACCAUAAAAAAGGGAGAGAUUGUUGGAGAAAACUUCAUUGUGUGUUUUGAAGCUGACAAAACGUUUCAAUUAGUCUAGUCUGAAGACUUGCAGACUCUUUAGUCAAAGUCUGAAGAUCACCGAACCACCAGACUCAAGAUUCAAAGUAUAUCCUCAUCGACAGUUUCUAGACCGUCGAAGAAGUCUUCUAUAGAACUGAGUAUUUUGUUAAUGAUUUGAUUCUAUCGACUGAAGAAGAUCUCUCGGCUGGAGAUAGCAUCUCAGAAUCCAUUAUUCAAAUUGAGAUUGAUUCAGGGAUUUUGGAUCCGUUAAUUGGCGAAGCAUACUUGGAAGGUUCUACUUAUAGAAACCUAGAUCCUGAUUGUAUGGGCGAGCAGGAUUGGUGGGCUAUCGUCAUAUUCCUUAAAUAACUCGAAAUCUCCCUAAUUGAUUCUGUCCAACGGGUAGAUUGGAAGAACUCAUUUGGUAAGUGUCAAUGGGUAUGAAGGCAUGGAGAAGUAUAUAAGGAAGACGCUCUAGUUAUUUGAGUGUGUGCGCGAUAGAAGAAUUCCAAAGUCUGAAGCUUAUUAUUCUUUGACAAUUCAAUUGUUGAGCGUAAACUUGUACUCAAAAAAGAGUUUGUACUUCUGUGAGACCUUAAGGAAGUGUAGCAGAGUCUCUACACUGUGGAAUUAAGGAAGAGCCAUACUGUAACAACUCUUUUAAUUCUUAGUGAAAUCCAGCCGGUGGGCUAUCAGUGCGGAAGAGUGGACAUAGGCUUGGAUUAAGCCGAACCACUAUAAACCCCGUGUUCUUAUUCUUUUUCCUAAGCUCUUUUACUUUGAUCGUAUUUUUAUUUGAUUAUUAGAGUCUAAUUUCAUUUUCAUAAUCUAUUGCUAAACAGAGUCGGUUUAAAAGUAAAAUUACUCUUUACUCUGCAAAAUUUGUUUUCGCACCUAUUCACUCCCUCUAGGUGCUCGUACUAACUUUCACAUUAGGAAGUUUGGAACUACUAAGCAUACUCCACACCAUAUCCAAUAAAGUUCGAUUUCUUCUUUCCGCUACACCAUUAUGGAGAAUCAAGCAUAAUGUAUUGGGCAAUAAUCUCAUGCUUUUCAAGAAACUUUGCCAAUUGACCCAAUGCUUAUCCAUAUUCAGUGUAUCUAUCAUAAUAGUCUUAAUCUCUAUCUGAUCUCACGAUCUUAAUUUACUUACCACAUUAUUUUUUUACUUUGGUUUUAAAUAUCUUAAAAUUAUCUAGCAUUUCAUGCUUAUUACAAUGCAAGUAGAAAUACAUGAAUCAUGAAUAAUCGUCUAUAAAAAAGAUGAAAUAUCUCUGAUCACUUGAGUCAAUAUCUGAACUACAAAUAUUCAUAUGUAUGAUAUUUGAUAUUUUUGCACUCCUCUUGGUAUCUUUCUUUGACUUAUUGGUCUGCUUUUCCUUUAUGUAGUUCACAUAAGUAUUAUAAUCAGUAAAAUCUAAAAUACUAAGUACUCCAUCAUUUACCAAUCACUUAAUUCUAUUUAUGGAGAUAUAUUCCAAUCUCUGAUACCACAAUACAGAGGAAUCAUCAUUCACAACACCUCCCUUUAUGCCAGUAUUAUCAUGAACGUGCAUUGCAUUAUAAAUAACAUUAUCUUGUAAAUAAAUUCGAAAGAGACCGUUAGAUAAAAUACCAUUCCCUACAAUUUCAAAUUUAUACGAUAAACUGAAUGUUGAACUUGAAAAUUUAAAGAAGUAUCCCAAUUGUACAAAUCUUGAAAUUGAAAUUAAAUCCUAGAUAAAGUACGAAUUUAAAAUGUUCUUUCUAAUUCAAAGUAAAACCACUAUUGAGAACUAAUCUAUAUGUCCCAAUAACUUCUAUACGCGAACACAUCUUGUUUUAUGAAUAGAUGCUUGUUUACUUCCCACCGGUUUCCGUUGGUUCUAGAAACCAUGCAAGAAACUUGAAAUGUGGAUUGUAGAACCAUAAUUAAUCUACUAAGUGUUAUGAUCCAUAUCAACCAUAUUAGAUUCAUAAUAAACACAUUAGAGUUGGUUAUCUUUCUUUUUGAGCCAGACUUUAAAUUUGGCACAAUCCUUCUUCAUGUGCCUAUAAAAAAACACUUAGAUUACUUCUUAAUGCUAGCUUGAGGAAGUAUUUUACCUUUUGCAUGCCUAGCCUUAUGAAGUAUUUUACAUUUUCCCUUUGGCAUGCAUAGCCAUUUAUACUUAUCUCGUAUUGCCGUAUGAGCAUUUUUGCCCUUUUUCCAUUAGCAACCUCCCUUUCUCUUAAACACAUAUGAUCAUAAAUUCAUUGAUUGACCAUUUAUUAUUAUGUGUGUCGUAAGAUAUUUUGAAAGGGGCAUACUCUUAUGGCAGAGUGGUCAGGAUAUAGUAUAUAAGAAAAGAUUCUGAUAUCUCAAUCUCAAUAUUUUUCAACUAAGCUGCAAUGUCCCUUAUCUUCUUGAUGUACUCAUGCACAGCUUUUACACUAAUAAGUUUUAAUGAUGAGAACUUCAUAAUUAGGGUCAUGGUUUACGCUUUCUCUAAAGAUUCAAAUUGCACAUCAAUAGCUUUAAGCAAUUCUUUGGCAUUGUUAUACUGAAUAAUUGAAUUAUGAAUGCUAGCAUAAAGUUUUUUUUUUUUUUUUUAUGUACAUCAUAUUAAGGCGGUUGGACCGUUCUCAUUGUGCAAAAAGAGUAACUUCAGUUUGAGUGCUAGUGUUAGUAGGAGUAGAUGAUUCGUUUGAAUGUAUAGCAUAAUUAAUAUCUAUAUACUUCAAUUGAAAAAGGAUUAAUUCCCUCCAUUUUUUUUUUUACCGUUCAACUCAGGAACAAUUAUACCAAAACUAAUCAUAGAUGGUAAAAUUGCAUUAUAAUCAAAGGAAACUUAUAUCUUAUAUUUGAGGUAAAUAAACUUAAAUCAUGUUUUAUCAAUGUAAAAUAUGUUAUAAAAUAUGAAUCACAUAACAUCAAAAAACUACAUGUGGGCUAAGUUUUCAAUUUAAAUAGAUUCAUAAUUACUUUAUAAUGAAACUAUCGAAUUAUAUUCCAUUCCUCAAUCCUUAUGGGUAAAUUAAGAAAAAUAAAAUGAUAUUUCAUCCUAAUUAAUCAAAUUAAUAUAAUGAAAAUUCUUAUGGGAUAAAAUUCAUGAUAUUAAGGUGACUAAUCACAAUUAAUGUUUUUGAUUAUAUGUGAUCCAAAGGCUUUUAAUGUAUAUAAUUUAAUAUAAUCAAAGAUGUUGUGGCUAAAUUUAAUUAAUUAAAUAUAUGCGGAUCACUAGACAUUUAAUUAUUGUAUAAAACAUUCAUUAAAUUGCAUGUAAGGACAAAAUAGUAAAAUUAAUUUGUCCAAGUGCAGAAAUGAAAUUAACAGAUAAGGGCAAAAUAGUAAAAUAAGCAAAGUGGAGGAACACGGGAGUGUGGGCGUACACACACUCUCAAGCGCUUGAAGCCUCUUUUUUUUUUCUUCGCCGUUUCACCGUGCCUUUUGCCACCCGGUUCUCCUCCGCUAGCCCACCUUAGAUCAAAAUAAGUGAUGGGUUUCGGAGACCACGCUAACACGACCACACAGAUCCAAGAUUUGGCGAAAACAGCCAAAAACUACUUGAAAUCAAGCAAAAUUCUCCAAAUCGCUAACCUUAACUACCACGACUUUUGCUAUGCAAUUUGUCUUCGACAAUCACCAUAAUGCCGAAUUACCUUAAGGCUUUUGUUGCCUAUGGCGCUUCGACGUUAAUCAUUCAAAGAUGGGUGGUAAGUUGCCAAAAUUUUGCUCAAAUCACCAGUCAAAUUUUGACUAGAAAAAAUUCUUUUAUUCAAUCAAAAACCCCACGAAAAUCAUCAAGGUAGGGAUGUAAAUAUGCUCUGAUACCAACUGUUAGAACUUUUAUCGAAAACCAUAAUCUGAUAAUCGAGAUCAAUUGCGGAAACGUGUAAAUUCUGUACUAAUCUACAGGCAUUGAUGAUAUUGAGAACAUAUACGCAGAACUUGAACGAUCAUAAAUAAACACUUCUAGCCAAUUGCCCUCUCAGCAUUGAUUUUGUGUUUUCCAAUUAUCAGAUAAUCAGAAUAAUGAGAAUAAUGAGAGGGUUUGACUUAAAUGACCUGUGAUAUCCUGGAUUUUCACUUCUGCUUUCAAUUGAAUAAAUUGGGCAUUUCAUUGACACGCCUAUAGUGUUGUUCUCAAAACUGAUCACUCGUGAGAUAACUAGACUAUCUGGGGAAGUCAAUAAGAGAUUUUAAUGCAAUAGACUUGGGAAUUCGACCAGGAAUUGACUACUCGACUGUGCUCAUAUGCAGAGAUCAUUUCGGCACUGCAAAGAUCGAUUAGAAAUAAAACAUAGGCUGGUUCGAUUGAGAUGUGUGGUUAAACAUGGGUGAUUCCACUAAAUUGUAAAAUUAUCGUUAAUCAGCACUAGACUGAUUUUUCUGUCAUUUUGGUAGCCCGUGUCUGUAUUUGAAACCUCAAGAUUUGCACGACCACUGAGAGUCAUCAUUAUGUCGAAGAGGUUCAUUGUGGUUUGAAGAAAAUUGAUCACGGGUUAUUUGCACUAAAAAUUUCUGAAAGCUACCCGAUAGCUUAGGUCACUCUAAAAUCGCGCCAGAUUGAAAUUAACAACAAAUUUGAAUAUGAUUUUAGAAAUUGGAAGUUCUGUCAUGUCACAAAUCAUUUUAGGAACAUCAACUUAGUCUCCGAAGAUUUUUCUGCAAAUCGAGAUUUUGGCGGAAAAAGUCAAGAUAUGACUGUUUUCGAUCGGAAAAUUCAGAGGAUUGUUUUUUAUCACGAAAUUAAGAUGCCAGUAGGUUUUAUUGGCGAGGAAAAAUGCUAAUUUGAUCGAUGAUUUGAUGGUUGAAUUUUUUAGGGCCAAAUUGAUUUAAUUUAAAAAGGAAUUGAAGUGGAAUUGAGGGAAAAUGUUGUAAAAUUCGUAUGUCCCAUUGCCCACAACUUUUGGACUACUUCAAGGCUUCUAGAAGAAGAGUUGGCUGCUGGAAAUUGGCUGAGGAAGCCAGCUUACAUGGUGGACCAACUCAAGGGAGCAAACGGAUAGAAGAGAGGCCAAGAGGGACCCUCCACCAGCCAAAGUUGUCCCCCUCCCUCUCUCCUUGAAGCCGAUUGACCAUUCCCUUCAUUCAGCAGCUUGGAGCUUCCAAAAUCAUAGAGAAACCAACCAUCCUGCUCCCCAAGCCGUUGAGCAGCCCGUUGAAGCCGCCACACGCCAUCUAACCGCCCGUCGAGCCAGCAACCCGCGUUUCCUCGCUGUCUAGUCAUGCACCUAUUCGCGCAUCUCCUCUACCCGUGCUAGCCACCAGUGCCUUGCUCACCGUCUGCCAAAGCUGUUUGAGCCGCCAUGAGGCCCUACCUGGACCCGCCUGGACCCGCAAUAGUCCCUCUGACCGUCCUUGUUCGUCUCUAUCUCAACCAGCCUUGGAGCAGCCUUGUUCAAGCCAAGACCAAAACCGAGAAGCUUGGGAUUUCCAGCCACUAUUUGGCCCGCUUUAGUGCCCUUCCGGACCUCGAAAGGUGCACCCGCUUUGGAGUUUGUGGACCGCUUUCGUACCCCCGUCGUUUUGAUCCGAGCAAAUCGUUAAUCAAGUAAAUUUAACUCACUAAUCCCUGUUUAGUAAGUUAAUGACGCUUAAGGGUUGAUUAGUUUAGGCUAAGCUAGGAUUAUGUGGUUAGUUAGAAUGGAUUAGUGAAUUAGUUAAUCUUUGAUGCAUGUUAGGUGGUUAGAUUAGUAUAAUUAGCAACUAGAUAAACCAUAAUAUUUAUUUAGUGAGAUUCGGGAAUUUUCCGAAGCUGAAUCGGCAUUAAUUAGGCUUUACGGGCCUAAGUAAGCAUUAUUGGCAUUUAUUAAUUAACUUUCGUAAUUAUUUAUUUAUUUAUUUAUUUUCCGGAAAUUAGAUCGGAAUAGCCGAUGAUUAGAAUUUUAUGCCGAUUGCAAUGGUAUGAUUGAUUUAUUUAUUUGACUGUUAUUUGAUACAAAUUGAGUGUGAAUUGCAAUUUUGGGAUAUGUAUCCCAAAAUUUAUUAUUUUUAAUAUUUGAUUAGAAAUUAAUUGGGCGUCAGUUUACAACGCAAAAAAAUGUUUUUAUGGAUUGCAUAAAUGGUGGGAUUUUUGAAAAGGAAAAUAUUGUAUUUUGGCUAAGGCCGACCGUGUACCUACACACGAUUAUUUUUAUCAUAAAAAUGAUGGCAUUCUCAGAUUGUGAGAACAGUAUACUAUGGGCCCAUUUGGUUAGACUUUGGGGAAAUGCCCUUGGGAGAAUGCAAAUACCUUUGAGGUAAAGGGGUUUUCCGAAAUGCUAGACUAUUUGGUAAACUAUAACUGAAAAGUGUUUUAGGGAAAUCCAAGACUGUUUGGUAAACAUAUAUUUGAAAAACCCUUUAGUGUGAUCAAAUUAAGUUUUUUAGUUUUAGUUUUUUUUAAUAUUGCAAAAAAGAAACAAUGACUAUAUAACAUUUUACAUUUUUAUGUUGAGAGUAAUGUAAAAGAUAGAUAUUAGUAAAUUUAUUUAAAAAUCAUAUUAAAAGAAUUUGAUUAUAUAUUAGAUGCAGACCUUAGCUUUUGGCAUAGGGUUCUUUUAGGUUUGUUUUCAACUUUGAAUAAUUUUUUUUAAUUAUUGUAGUAUUAAUUAUUUUCGUUAAUUAAUUAUCAUUCUAGUGUAUUGAUAAAAGUUGGGCUAUUGAUUGUCAAAAGAUAAAAAUAACAAAAAAAAAGGUGAACCCAACAUUUGCAAAGGGUUAUUAUUAUUAUUUUUAAAAAUAAAAAUAAAAUCUGAUGAAACUCCAUUGCCGAUCAAUGGCGGAUGGGGUGUGGGGAAGAUGAUCGAUUUUAAAAAAAGAAAAAAAGAAAAAGAAGUCAAAGAAUUAAUAGUAGAAAUGGACUUGCAUUUCCAAAAUGCUGAAAACCCAAAGCAGGUCCUCACCUGCUUUAGCUUACUAGCUUUGAUAUGUCAGCUUAGCACAACCAAUAUACUGGUAUACUAUAUUAGCCCAAUGGUUUGAUAUGUCAGCUUAGCGAAAGCAAUAUAUCUGAGCAGCUUUUGGUGAGCAUUGGCAAGUGUACUAUAUCAGCCUACUGGCUUUAAUAUAUCAGUUUAGCGAGAGCAGUACACCUUGACAACUUCUAGUGAGCAUUAUUAGUGUACUGCGUCAGUUCGAUGGCUUGGAUAUAUCAACUUAGCGAGAGCAGUAUACUAUUUAUUAGUUUGGUGCGAGUUAUACUAUUUAUUUUCAGCCUAGAGUGAGCAAUCCUAGAUAUGAUCGGACUUUAUAUAUAGUAUUGAAUGGCUUGACUAAGAGAUGGUCUUAAUGACAUGGAAUCGACUAAGUUGAUUGAUCAAUGAUUCGAUCCGAUGUGAUGACGUGAUUUAUUGAUGUGAUUCAAUGAAUUUAUGAGUUGUGCAAGAAGGAUCAGAGGCCAAGGUAAGUCAUUUGACUCGUGUUGUGCUUAGGCAGCCCUUGGGGCGUAUUUCCUUUUUAGUCGGGUCUUAGGGGGUGAACUUACUGAGACGUCAUAUCACCCCGUUAUGGGAUAACAUUUUCAGGUUCUUAGAUGGCAGCAUCUCUUGAACAUUUUGGUCGACCUAAGAAGGUCAUGGAGCAGAAGCGCUUUAUCCCGCUGCAUGGGAACCCAAGGGGAUGGGUGUAUAAGUUGGUAAAAACCAUGGUUUGGGUUGAUGAGGCCUCACCCCAUAAGGUACCUCAUCAAUACCGAUCAUGGUAUUAUCAAGAGUGGGAUGGAUAGAGAGAGGGUCCCAUACCUGAGUCUGAGGUCCCUAGGUAUGUGCUGGAGGUUCCCCAGCUUAUCGAACGAUUAGGAGGACAUCUAGACNNNNNNNNNNNNNNNNNNNNNNNNNNNNNNNNNNNNNNNNNNNNNNNNNNNNNNNNNNNNNNNNNNNNNNNNNNNNNNNNNNNNNNNNNNNNNNNNNNNNUGCUUCCUGAGAUGUCGCUAUUUAAUUGACCAAGCCAGGAUGAGCACAUGCUCGGAGGAUUGAGGUGUGACAUGACCUAUUUAUAUGUCAAUACAAAUCUUAAUAGAUAUAGUCUUCCAUCAAGACUAAUUCUAGUGGGUAAGGACAAUCCCAUAGUUAUCAGCAACUAGAUUUGCAUAAUAAAUUGUCAAUGAAAUAUAAUAUAGGUAAAUUUAACUAAAUGCGGGAUCAUAUUAAUUAAAAUUAUAACAAAUUACCUUGAUAACACUUCCCCUAUUAUGUUUAGAGGUAAAUCAUUGUCAAAACUGGAAGUUUGAUGAGAAUUGAUCAUAUAACCACGACAUGACAGAAAUUACAAGCGGACGGCAUCUCUUUUAUUCUUUCUCCUUCCAAUUUCAUCUUUAUGGUUUUGAAUUUCAAAAUGAAAAUAACUAUUUGCAAAUGUAGCUUAUUUUCCCAGGGUAAGUUUUGAUCAUGAUCUUUGAAUUCAGUGGAUUUUGCAAUCAAACAGCCGAACUUUGAUUUCAAUUCCCUAACCCAAUGAAUUUCCAUUUUCUUUUUGCCCUCAAUACAUUUUGACGCAAAAGUAUAGGCCAAUGUUUCCGGUGUCAAUUGAUAUGUAAUUUUCGUGGAUGUUUGUGGAGUACCCAUUGGACAAGAGGAGGGGACAGGGAAGGACGUACGAGGCUGAGCAGACGCAGGAACCGUCCGACCAGAAUUGGUGGUCGGGGCCAAGCCGGCUGGACAGCCGGUAGUGGCAAGAGCCAUGCGCACCUGUCGGUCGGCCAAGCUUAAAAGUGAGAGAGCGGUGUGAGUUGAUGAGGGGUUCGGACAGAUUGAAAUCGGUGGGAGAGAGUGAGCCUAGAGAGAGAGAGGCAGAAGCGUAGAGAGCGAGAGGGAGAGCGGGGAAUGAGAAGGAGCCUUGGCCGAUACCGCGGCCGCGCACGAACCCUAUCCGACGACCACGGCUGGUCGACAUCCUCAAGCCAAAUAGCUAAACCUUUCUUUUUUCCUCUUUUUCUGCCCUGUUUUUGGGCAUGACGGGCCAAAUCUCGCGAUCGUCCGGCUCACGCGAACUCUGGCCCCGACCGUCCUUUGUUUGGUUGUUGUGUGUGUUGUUGUUCAUUUGGCGAGAGUCUCGGCCCAGGUUUGAGUCACGGUCAAACCGAAAACCACUCGUUUUCGUAGCGCACUCCACCUGUUCGGGUCAGAUGCCUGAAGGAGAUCCGUUUUCAAUUCGCCAUUUUUGGUCGGGAGCAUUCUAUACUGAGCCCCACCUUGUCGAGUUGCUCCCGAGGUGUCGGCCCUCCCGGGGCGUCGACUGCUUGGCCAGUUCAACACGUCCGCACCAUCCCCUCCACUGUUUUUUUUUUUAGCCAAGGAAAGGAAUGUCUCGGUCGGCUACAUCACGAGUCAGGACCGACUGAGGACAGCCGCCAAGGCCAAGGCGUCUCAGUCAGUUGACCGUGAGGUGGCUGGUCCGCGGCUCCCAUCCGGUGGUCUGCGGAAGCCCCCGACCAUCGUGGCUCGGGUAUCCCACGAGAGCCUGCCGCGGUGUCACUAGUCCCAUUAGGGCUGAUCACCCAUUCCGUGUCACCUAACGCAACGCCUAGGUACACCGCCCGUUCGGGUGGAGACGAGCAGCGUAUAGGCUACCAAAUUACUAGUUGGAAAAGUUGCUCCCUUUCUCAUCAAGCCCAUAUUUAGAGGUUCUCAAUGGCAGUUUUAAGCCAAUCUUGUUCGUGUUCUAUUAAUUUUAGGUCUUUCUUAAUAAAUUCAUUUCUCGACAAGAAUAGUCACUCUUUCAAUGUCAUCUUGUCAUAUCCGUACUAAUAAAACAUUUGGUGUUCAUGUCAUAUUUAUAUUUUGAUUAAAGAAAUGGGCUCAAGAGGUGAUCAAUGUUAACGAUCCCUCACAACAGAAUGCUCAUGUUGAUCAAUUUGUUUUAGUGAAUUAGAGAUUGUCCUUCACAUCACGCUUAGAAUAGUCGACCAAAUUUUACUGGCCCAAUUGUUCAUUUUGAGCUUUUGGGUCGUUACUUUCCCUCAUAGCCAGGGGCAUUUUUGGAUUCAUUGCCAUAAUGCGAUUAUCAUUUCUCUUAUUAGUCAUCGACUCCACCUUAGGGUUUUGGAGCAGAUCCGAAAACUAACCAUGGCGACUUAGCUCCCCUCGCUCCCUCCUCUCUUAGCGUUAGCAAGCCCUCGCCUCCCGAAAGAGAGGAUGUCUCCCCACGAUAAGCACUAGCUCUUCUUCAUUUUGAAGCCAAGGGACCUUCCUACCAAGUAUGAAAUCAUUGAAACUUUGGAUGGUAAGUGGUUGGAGGGUGCGGUCUUAUUUGUUUGUCAUGUUUUAUGAGGUAAUUUUUUUAUUUGUAGUCAUUGAUCAUCUUCAUUUAUUGCUGUUCCAUUUAUUAUAUCUAACCACGAUUGCUCUUAUAGUAGCGUAGGAUCUACCAACUUUCAAUAAAAUAUUACUUCUUCCUCAGAUUUGGAGGCAAAAUAUCUAGGAAGGAUGUUGUCAAACUCAAUGGUAAAGCUUUUUGUUUGGUUCUCUUCUGAUUUCGGAAAGUUGUGCUAAUGAGUUUUCUUUUGCUAUAGAGACACAAACACCUUGGAGAUUUUAUUUUUUUUGGUUGGGGAACACCUUGGAGAUUGAUAGCACCCUUUUGAGAUAUUCUAGCUUCAAAUCAAAGGAAGAAGUAAUCUUUGGUGGCAGUUCGAUAGAUCUUAACUUACUUCGCUUCUUCUUCACUGUAAUAGCAACAAAUUGUAGUUAGACAAAAUAAAAGGGACAACUAUAAAUCAAGAUGAUCAAUGACUACAAACAAACAAUUUACCACAGAACAUGACAAACAAAUAAGAUCACACCUCAAACUACUUACCAUCUAACAUGCGCAAAGUAUCAAUGAUCUCAUACUUAGUAGGAAGGCCCUUUGGCUUCUACAUAAAAAAGAACUAGUGCUUAUUGUGGAGAGACAUCCUCUCCCUUGGGAGGGGGACACGUUGCCUUGAGGUGGGGGGUUUUGCAUCCCUUGGUUAUGCAAAGAUUACAUGUCCCGACACAAAUGCCUCAUCGUGCUCAAAUUACUGGGUCGGUCAUUAAGAGCUUUCCUCUCGUCGGCUCAAGCAUUACUUCUCACCCAUUCUCCAUGGGACUUGGUGUCCCAAGGAACUUUUUCGUCCAUGUUGUGACCUACCCGCCUCGAGGACCAAUUCCAAUGGAGUAAGUUCAGACAUAUUUGUUCAUAAAACCAUCCAAGUAGGCAUAUCUAUAAGAGAUGACUCAAAUACAUUGUUUAGUUGGUGAUCCACACUUGCCUCAUUAAUUAUGAAUGGGGGGUUCUUUCAACUUCAUACCUCGCAUGACGGGUAUUUAUUUUAGAGUUCUUUAGACAUCCUAAAUAUCAAUUAGGAGUCGCCACUAGCCUCGUUUACGAGGAUCAACUAGAUUACCCAAUCAAGAAAUGAGAGCAUUUUAUCGAUUCCUACGGAACCGAAAAUCAAUAAGUUUAGGGACUCGGAUUAUGCUAAUGUUUUUAUUAGCGCAUUUUUUGUACCUAAUUAGUUGAGUUUUCUAAAUGAUCAUGCAUUUGUUCUUUACCAUUUUCAUGAUGUUUAGAAUCUCAUUAGGUGAUCACGCGUGAAUUGUUCAUUAAGGAAUCUCAACUAAUUAUAAUUCUAGCAUUUAAGAAAGGAAACAAGUGAAAAAAAGGAAAGUGCAUUGCGUAAAGUAAACUAUUCAAAGUGCAAGAACAUAGAAAACCUACAACUUAUCGAGUAUUUAUUACAAACUUGAAUAAAAACCUAAAACAUGUUUAGGUGACAAAUUGGGUACAAAAAGAGAUCAAAUUCAAUGAUAAGAACCACGGCCACCUCCUCCAUAGUUUGCCUCAGUGGUGUUAACUUUGCACUUGAGCUAAUCGAACUAUAAUAGCAAACAAGUCGUUGAUUUGAUACAAUAGCAAACAAGAACAAACAAGUUGUUGAUUUCAAAACAGGCCUCCGGAUCGGCCUUUGUAUUGCAUACAUAACGACCACCCCAAAUCACUUAAUUGGUUAAUUUGUGGUUAAUGAUAAACGGUCAUCACUUGUAUUCACAAAACGGUGGUCAAUCUUAAUUAACCUUAAAUCGCUCAUGCACCAUAUCUAGCCAUUCCUUCAACAAGUACACACAUAUACAUGAAAUUGAGCAUGUAUUUAGGUUAAUGGGUCUUGUUUCUCAAAUAAACAAACAAAAUUAAGUGAAUUAAUAAUAGAUCACUUAAUUAAUUCACUGAAAAUGGGUUGAUUUUGUUUAAAAGUGAUUCAUUAAUCAAAUAACGUUUAUAUCGAACUUUUUUUUGUUUAAAAAAUAUUUAAUUGUUGAAUUUGGUAAAUCUCACGCGAAGUACCACAAAUUUAAAAUGAAAUUUUGUCAAAUUCAACACAUGCUGCUGGUGACCAACCGUGAGCUUGACGGUACUCACCCACCGGUGAGUUUUGUGUUUCCGGGGAAAACGAAUCUUUGUCAUUUUUUUGGCUCUAUCUACUCCCACGCGCUCUGCUACGCGUGGUUCAAGACGGCCCAAUCAACGCUCGAGAAGCUUCUAUAUUCCUACUGCCGUGACGGACACGCGCUGCUGUUCCGUGGAACAGAGCAGGCGUCGGAAAUCAUUAGCUUUGUCGCCUCCUGGGGCAUCUCUCACGAGAUCCACGGGAGUGAUUGAAAAAAUGAAGAAAAGAUUUUGUUGAUAAAUCCCUUACUAGAAUAAUAAAAUAAGAAUAUUAAUUACUAAUUAGAAAUAAUGUCUGAUAAGGAACGUAAAUAGUCAAUUAGAAAAACAAGGAAUGAAUGUAAAUAUGGAUUACACGUAACAUUAAAAAAAAAUAUAAAUCAAAAGCAAUAAACUUUUCUUAUUUGGAGCAUAAUCUAAUAUCGAAAUAGCAAUAUAUAUUGAAAAUCGAAAACUCCUCUUUACUUAAAGCUUAUGGGAUAUGCUAUAUACAAACCAAAAAUCUAUCUUUCUUAAAAAAAAAUAUCAAAAAUGGUGUUUGAUAAUAAUCAAAAUGGCAACAUAUAUAACAACAUUAUAUUGACAAAUUGAUAAGACAUUUUACAAUGGGGGUGAAAUUGUCAAAUAGAAAGCAAAAUCUUUAUUUAUUGUGCGAUUUUAUUAAAGAUCGAAUGUCAGGAUCUCAUGUAAAUCCGCUAUUUACUAUUGAACCUAGAGUAAUAUGUACUUUGUUAUAAGAUUUAAGGUGAGUGGCUUUUACGAUAAGGGCGCAAUAUCACUCAAAAGUUUAGUAUGAACAAAUUGUUGCUACUGUCUACUGUCGGUGAGAACAUUUGUGUGCACAGUAAUCCUUGAAAAGACAGAUUCUUUUUUUCUUUUUUUGUGUCACGAAAUAAGUUGUUGCAUUUGAGCUGUGCAGGUUGCACAAUAAUGGGGACCAUGGGACCAUGGGACCAUUUCAGAACAUAGAGAUGCAUGUCAACUAAUCAAAUCAAUGCCAUAACGGGUUCUACUUUUUCUGCACCUAAGGAAGCGAUAAAAGGCGAGCGGAGAGGGAGAGAGUAGUACUUGGACAAGGAGCAGUCGCCGAGGGGCUACCACUGAUACCUGGUGAAGGUGACGUUGGGGCGGCCGUUCCAGAGGCAAGCGAACUCACGCUUGAUAAAGGGGCAGACGGAGGAGUUGUAGAGAAGGUAGGACAGGUUCGCCACCCAGCUCCCCCGAAACACAAUGGGUGCGUUUGGUUCAAUUUUUUACAAUAGGUUUUCAGCCUCCAAAGCCCAUUGAAAAAAUACUAGACUGUUUGGCAACUAUUUUGAAGUAAUUACAAGUGAAAGUUAGCAUUGGGAAAGCUGAAAGCCCCAUGCUAGUAGGGACUAAAUGUAACUUUGAGCUUUCAACAUUUAGUCAAAUGCUGAAACUUAUUUUUUUCUCCCAAAAUUAUUCUCACUCAUUCUUCAAUUUUUUUUUUUAUUUUUUUUGCCAUAGUUAUUAUUUUUUUAAAUGCCAAAAUAAUGAUAAAAAAAUAAAAUAUAUAUAAAUGCUAAAAAAAUUAAAUAUAUUUUGUAUAUAUUUUAAAUUAUUUAUAUAUUUGAUUUUUUUUAGCAUUAUUGUCAAAAAAAUAUAUUUAAAAAGUUGCAUACAUUAUUUUUUAUAAUUUUAAACAAGUAAAAAGUAAAAAAUUCCAACGAAGGGUUUGGUCUUUUUAGAAAAAAAAUUAUAUAUAUGUAUUUGAUUCCUUCGCAUUAAUUUCAAAUUUAUAUUUAAAAAUUCGCAUACAUUAUUUUUUUCAAUUUUAAAAAAUAAAAAUUAAAAAAUUUCGACGAAGGAUUUGAUCUUUUUUUAAUGUGUGUGUGUGUGUGUGUGUGUGUGUGUGUGUGUGUGUGUAUUUGAUUUUUUUAGUAUUAUUGUCAAAAUUUAUAUUUAAAAAUUUGCAUACAUUUUUUUUCAAUUUUAAACAAUUAAAAAUUAAAAAAUUUGAUUAGGAAUUUGGUCUUUUUUUUUUAAAAUUAUAUAUAUGUAUUUGAUUUUUUUUAGCAUUAUUGUGAAAAUUUAUAUUUAAAAAUUAUACAUACUUUUUUUUUUUCAAUUUUAAGCAAAUACAAAUUAAAAAAUUCCGGUGAAGGGUUUGGUCUUUAAAAAAAAAAUAAUAUAUGUAUUUGAUUCUUUUAGUAUUAUUGUCAAAAUUUAUAUUUAAAAAGUUGUAUACAUUAUUUUUCUUUUCAAUUUUAAACAAAUAAAAUUAAAAAAAAACUAAUAUUAAUAACCUAAAGAGUUUUUCAAAUGUGUUUUCUACCAAACGACAUUUUUUUUCAAAGUUGCUUUUCAAAGUAUAGUUUACCAAGCAGUCUUUAUAUUUGCCUAAAGUCCUUUAGGCUAAAUUGCUUUGCAUUUUUCCAAUGGGCUAAAUGCACCCAUCACACAUUCCCCGGGCUGCUUCCGCACCCCAUACCAUCAAUGUCAAAAGAGCCAAUUUCCAGUGAAAAGAAUAAGAGGAGCCCAUCUGCAUUGCCUCUGUACCCACCAACCCCAACCCAUUUUGCUCUCACUGAAACAUAGCAACCCAAAAGGCUCUUUUUGGAGAGAGAGAGAGAGAGAGAGAGAGAGAGAGAGAGAGAGUUUUUGGAUUCUGGGUUACAUUUAACGUAGGUGGGCGUGGGGGUGAGAGAAAACCUGAGGUCAUGGGUCCACUGAGAUAAAGGGCAUUGUUGGAUUCUCCUUAAUGUACCUUCUUUGUUAUUCUUUUUCUGGUUAGCUACUUCAAAUACAGGAUUUGGUUAAGCAAUACGUGGAGUAACUCUCAAUAUAGUAGUAAAAGCAAGACGUGUAGGCGGAUCUACUUAAAAUACAGGAUUUGGUUUCCAUUUUCGGUGGGGAGCGGGGCUAGGGAUUUAUAUAGGAUUUAGGAAGUUGCUGCAGAUAUCUCUCUCUCUUUAAUUAGCUUGGCUUUGCUUGGCUGAGCUGUAGUUGUACAGAGUAGCAGCCAAUCAUCGCCUUUGAUGUUGACACUUCGAAUUGGUGGGGUCAACCAAUUUGCCGUAGUCCCCUUGGAUUUCAAGGAGAGCAAACGAGGCCCCAACUUGUUUAAUUCUCUUUACAUUAACAUAAGACCUUUUUGGCGACCUAAAAAUAUGUCCUUAAAAGAUAUUAACUGAGAUUUAGUCCACACAGCGAGAUCCCUAAAUUUAAGAAUACCAAGAAGAUAAAGCCAAGUAUAGAAUUUGAUAAAGAUACUGACCAAUUGAGGAUACGGGAUAAUGUGGGCAUUGACACUCAAAAAUAAAAAACGCAUAUAGAGUCUGACGUCUCUAUAAAUCAAAUGGACAGGAAGUGAAGACCCUGCUGCCUUCCUUUGGUGAGCCUACAUGCUUAACCGUCAUCAAGAAUCCAAGGCAAGGACUCACAACAGGGAGACAAUUAAUAGAAAUGUAGUGUGCUGACGAGGCAGUAAUCUACCAUCCGUAGGAAAGAGUGACUAGACGUGCAGGUUUUUAAAGAUUUUUUUUUUUUUUGGUGGAUGUAAUAUUAUGUAUUAUCAUUUCUCACAGAUGAGAUAGAUGAGGCGGAGCAUCAUCCAUACUAAAGAGAGAAAAUCUGGCACUUAAAAUAAUUCUUGAGGAGCAACGUACAACAGGCCUAGCUCGGGGAGUAAAACACGUCCAGAGCAAGAAUCCGCAACUUCGCCAUUCAAACAAUGAAAAGCUUCCAUAAUAGAUUCCCACCUGGCAGUGGCAACCAUCCACAUCAUCAUUGCAUGAAGAAGUCCCAACAUCGUCUUUGUCUGAUUAACAAUAUCGAAAGAAACGGCACGAAUACAACCAUCAAACAACAAGCCAUCGUCUUUUGACUUUUCCCAAUAAGUUGUUUACAAUACACAAUUACUGCACCGCAUAAUAGUCGUCCUAUUCUUCAUAGUAUCUAUACCUUCAGUUUCAAAUGUGAACAAAAGAGAAACUUAGAAGCGAAAUUUAAGAGUUCCUUUUGAUGGAUUACCAAAUAAAGCCCUAGUUCUUUCAAACCAAAUUAACUCGAAACAUAGCAAACGAUUUCUUAUUUUCUGUUCUGCCAGUAAUCAGUAUCCGGAUUUAUCGGAUAGAGAUCAUUAGCAGAUGUAGAAGAAGCAGUUCCAGUCCACGGCCCAUCAGUGAGCGUGCUUUUGGUGAUAUUCUCAUCAACUGCCUGAUCUUCGUCACCUUUGAAAUGCUUCCUCAUGGCCUCAAUUGUCUCCUCCGUUAUGAUAGCACCCUCAGAGUCCAGCACUGGAACAGCAGCCUUGCCUUCAAGCAUGCUAACCACAGAUGACAUCGGUGGCCUGAGUGCUGGAGUCACAUUAGUACACAGCAGAGCUACCUUUAUCAUUGCCAGCACCUCCUUUUCGUCAAAAUGAGAACCCAGCCUCUGAUCAACUAGAUCCAUCAAAUUUCCUCUCUCCUUCAAAACUCGUGCCUAGAAACAGAAAUGGAAAGGAAGAUAUUUCCCUCAAGCUACAGGUACUGGUCAGUUGUAGAAUAUGCUCAGAACACUAAAACAGGAAGAAGGAGAUAUAUUCUGCCCUCGAUAAUUUCAUGACAAAUGCAGUUGAUAAACACCUGCUAGUUUUUCCUUUCCGUUAUAAGUUAUACUUGGAAGGAAAAAAUCGAACAAGUCAAUACAGAUGAAACAUGAUUUCUUUUCCAAUUUUAAAUAGAAGUUAGUAAACUUAAACACUUGUUAAUCACUUACUAACAUUCACCGGUCACCAAAAAACUACCACCGCUGCUUUAAAAUUAUCAACUCUUAUUGAGUUUGACUGGCAGGAAUUAUUUGUCAGUUUGUCAUUACAUGAAACAGGAGAAUCGUCCAUCAAUGGUUUACACCAUUCAUUGCCUCUUACUCUCAAUUCAAGUUUAACAAGAAUUACCUUAUUAUGCAGCUUAGGUGAAAAUCAGAUUUAACAGGGACUAAUAAUGAUGGUUUUAGCCUUUACCAAAAAAAAAUAAUGAUGGUUUUAGCUAAUGAUUGGCUUACUCAAAGCACAAUAAAAUCUAAUUUUUGGACUCAAUUACAUGGAUGUGAAGAAGUCAAAUCUAAAUUGAAAGUAUAUCAAUAUUUGGGUCAAGCAUGGUCUUGAAAACUUUUUAAAUCCAAUACUAAUUGUCAAAACUGCAAAGUACUCGACCAACUUGUUUGGCGCUAAUGAAACUACAGGGAGUAUGAAUGUCACGCAUAAAACUAUGAAGACCAAAACAAAACCAACCCAAAUUUUAAGGACCUCAAAUUUCAAUAAAUAGAAUUGUCUUCAAUCCAAAAAAGAAUCUACAUGAUCCCUUCUUUCAGGAGGCAGCCCAUUGUUUCGAGUUUCAAUAUGUCACUAGGUAAAUUCCAGUUUCAGUUUCUCAGAACCAGACUAAUCCAUGACCACCCCCACCCCAAGUCGCUCAUCUUGAGCAUGAACACCAUGGGCCGGCUACUGCAAGGAUUACUUGCUCCUUUCAAAUUCAGUAACAAGAAUAAUUGGAUUAAUUUUAAAUGACAAAUUGCACUUAACGGCAUGACAAUUCGUUAAACAGGUUUCAAUAGCUGGUAACUGUAACUCUCAUUUGCAACCAUUAAAGUGCAUAUGAGGAGUUCUAUACUAUGUUCACACUUCCUUAAUCCAUCUCUCAACCAGCACAAGCAGAGAUUUCAAUAUCAUAAUAAGAAACUUUUUAAUGCUAGAGUUAAUUACCCAAUCGAGUAGAUAAAAGCAUUUCUCCUUCUUCUGGUAACUGGUGUUGCUCCGGCCACUAACAACUUCUAAGGCAACAACGCCAAAACUAUAGACGUCGGCUUUUUCAGUGAGGUAACCAUGCAUUGCAUACUCUGGUGCCAUAUAUCCACUGCAUAACAAGAAAAGAGCUGGUGUUUGCAAAAUGGCAAAUGUCUUAAAUUGCACUUAAUAUUUUCUUCCAAAGACCAUCCCUCGUAUCUUCCUAAAAUACAAAAUAUGGAGAUAUUCCUAAUCAUGACACAAUGGUCUCAAGAGUCAAGGAAAAAACAAGUGCAUUCUAGAAAUUUUUCAGUAGGAUUCCGCUGAGAAUAUGAAUCCUACUGAGAAUAUUGAAAAAAAAAACAAAAACAAGACAUUUGUGGGUUUUAUAUAACUUUCAGGAGACAUAUAGCUCCAUAGUUGGAAAACAAGUGCAUCCUUAUAACUUGGAAAAGAGGCUCAUUAACUGAAAAAUGAGUUGGAAACUGGCUGAGACAAGGUCUGAAUACAUAGGCAGCCGCAGUAGGAGGAUUCCUAAAGCCAAGCCCAGGGGCAAGAAAACUUCUUAAAAUUGUUGUUGUCGACGUUGCUGUAGCAAUAGAAAAACAGCCUUACAUUUUCUCACUAGCUUUCUAACCCUUGUCAUUCAUGUGCCUUUCUUUGUAAUUUUGGUUUUAUUCUUUUGUAAUUCACUUGAAAGUGCACCAUCUAUGUUUAUGUCAUGUGAAAUAUAUUCACGAAAAAUUGAACUUUUCAUGCAAAAGAAUAUAUAUAGAUAAUUUACAUCGAAAUCCGUAACGUAUAGUAGUUGUUCUUAUUCAUCAAAUUGUUUUACAUUAAGUAGAUUGUCAUUGGAAAAACAUAAUAAAAACAAUUAAAUUACAUGUCAACAUAGGUUGUUAAAAAGUAUCGCGUCAUAAUUGUAUCGUAAUAUUUUCAUAUGCUCUUUGCAGGAGAGAAUAUAUUAGGUAGGGCAUACUGGAUUACCUUCCGAAAUGUUUUUCUUGACUAUUCUUAAUGUAUUAAACGAAGUGUGUAGAAUACAAUCAAUCUUUUGAUUAAUAUCUUAGGUAGGCGGAUAAAUUUUUUCCAGAAACUGUAUUAGAUCAUCUAAGUUUGUUGAGAUAAUGAAAUUGUUUAAUGUUAUACUUAUUUUUCGUUAAGCAAUUACUGUUAGAGUUAGUUCUAUGUUUUCCCUGAUCAAUCACACUCUUUUCAUGAACAGGUUGACUUUCUACACAUGUCAACGCAAACUUUUGAAACAUUUGAACAUGCUUAUUAUAUAUUUUU
rnacentral:lncRNA from 1 species